UAAUUUGACGUGUUCAUCAUUUCAUCAUAAACUGCUAAGUCACAUUUCAUAACUUAGAAUCAAAAUAAUACUACACAUUGCCAUCUCAUACUGGCAUACUAAACAAGUGUAUGUACAUUUGUCUAUAACAUGUAUCUUAACAAUUUACAUUAGGUUCGUCUAUACACAACAAAAUAAUACUUGACUUCUAGCGGAGGGAUUCGGACGAAUGUACAGCUACUGAAUGCCGAGACACCUACCAAAAGAUGUAUAUAAGUCUACAAGGACACCUCAUCCUAGUUACCAAUUGCCUCGUGAUUUGAAAACAUGAAGUUGAAAACAGUGAGUAUAAACCCAAUGAGUGAACAAGGAAGGGAACAAGCAUACCAUAAGGAAUCUUUAACGAAAUCAUGAUGCAUUCUUUUUCAAAACAAUGCAAUUUGUUUCUGUUCUUAUUAAAAACCCUUAAUCAAGCCCUUAAAUGAUUAAUCAUUUGAAAAUCAUGAACCCAUACAUAACGAACCAUUUGAAGAAUGAAAGCUUUAAUAAUAUGCAAGCAAGUCAAGUACGAUAACGAAUCUUCACUGUAGCGGAAAGGCAUUUCACUGCAACUACGCUGCAGCGAAAAUGAAUUUUCAUUGCAGCGAUGUUGGGAUUAAGUUAUUAGCCGAACGAAGGUUUCUCAACUGGUCGAGGAUUUCUCACUAAACCUCCUCAUUUUAAACUUAACUCAUUUAGUCCUUAAUGUUGGAAGUCCAUGCUCCGAUAUGGUAGCAAAUAAGUGAAAAAUAGGGCAGCAAUUAGAUAAGAUAGGAGACAAAAAUAGAAGGUUUUUCGCUGCAGUGAGAUUCAAAAUUGUGACCCAGAAACAUAAUGUUUCUAGCUACAGCGAGAUUUAAUCUCGCUGCAGCGAAAUUGUAACCCAGAACCAGAAAGUUUCUUGCUGCAGCGAGAAGCUACUGUGUCAUUCUCGUUGCAGCGAAAAUGCAUCCUCUCUGCGGCGAGUUUUCGACCAGCCUACCCCUCCAAAAUCUGAGAGUUUCUCGCUACAGCGAGAAUGAUUUUCACUGCAACGAGAAACAGAGCACCAAUGCAAAAUUUACCUUUCUUCCAAAGGAAAAACCACUCUACUAAAAUGUUCAAACCAACAUGAAACACAUAACAAUUUCCCAAGGUUUAACAUGUCAAGUUUCACAUGCAUUACAACCAUAAACCAUUAUCCAUUAAUUUCCUAUAACACACAUAUUUACAUGUGUAUAUAUGUAUACGUAUAUACCCAUCAUCAUCAUACACACCAUCCCAUCAUCAUCAUCACCAGCUCAUGCGCACUCCCUACUCGCACAUGGCUGGGUCAUCAACGGGUUAUGCGCACUCCCUACUCGCACAUAACCGGGUCAUCCCCGACUUAUGCGCACUCCUUACUCGCACAUAGCCGAGUCAAUAUAAUUAAAUAACAUUAUAUCUAAACAUAUAUGUAUAUCAACAUAAUGCAGCCACAUAGAAAUCCAUGAUAACCACAUAUCAUAACAUAAACCAUUUCUCAAGAGCUUGUUCCCAAGGCAUUCAUGUUUGAGAAAAGUUAUAUAAAAUCAUUCAAACACUUUGUACAAAACAAUCAUAUUCCCAAAAUAAUUUUGAUAGGCAGUUCACUCACUGAUUGAUUGUAGAGCCUUUAGAUGACUCCAAUUCUCCUAAUUGUCCAAAUGAGAUUAUGGGGCUUCCUUAGAACCUAGGAUCACAUUGGCAUAAGCAAUAGGUCAAUUCACGCACUACGAACCCUAAAAGCUAUCUCUUAGCUAGCUUUCAAUUGCCACAUUAAAUGGCUAUCUAUGUUCACUAUCUUAAUCACUAAAAAGUAAUGAACAUACUCAACAAUAAAACAGCUCAUACUCCCAAUUACCAGCCAUUAUUCACAGCUAAAAACCAAGCUUAAUUCAUCACUUACCCUAGGGUUCCUUUGUAGUCAAAUUCUCUUCCAAUUGCUUCCAAAUCAAUGGGGUAAUUCUCUCUUUCUCUCUCUAAAAUGCCCAACUAGUGAGAGAAAGUAUGGAAAUAAACUUUACCAAGGGUUUUGAAGUGAGAGAGUGAAAGAAUACUAGAGUUCUAGUCAAAAGGGCUCAAAAGUAUGAAAACUAGAGCUAGACAGAGAAUUUUGCAAGCUACAUAUCAAGCUUCCAUGGAGGUUUUGAAGAAACGUGAAAGAGAAGAAGAUGAAGAAGACAAGCUGUUGGAAAAUGGGAGAAAAAGCUGUUGGAAGAAAGUAUUUAUAGGCCAAUCUUAUCCAUUCCACUUAAAAUUACCAAAUUACCCCUCCACCAAUUAACUUACUCUCCUCCAAUCUUUUAUGCAAUCUUUUUGUUCUUUUGACAUUGGGACAAGGUCCAUAAUGGUCUAAACAUACUCGGGUUCAUGAAAACAUAAAAUUUUAACUCGAGGUGAAAAAUGACCAUUUUGCCCCUACCGUGAAAAUCGUCGAAAUUUUGGUUUCCUUUUCGUUUUACCCCUAAUUUCACCAUCCAUUUAUGCCUUAGGCCUACUUAGACCAUAAUAUUGUUUAAAAAUCUUACUUUUAUGGGCUUACUAAGAAAAUGACGAAAUUAUCCCUGAUCAAGGAUAUUGCGUAUACUCCCCUUCACGAGUCUAUAAAGGUCAAGGUCUCACACUAAAAACACUAACAUAACUUGAAAUCAAAUCAAUCCAACACCAUUCUCUCUCCAUACCCAUUCGGCUAGCCAUGAAUUCACCAUGAAAACAUGAAAUUUAACCAUGAAAAAUAAGGAGAAAUGCUUAAGGAAAAUAGAUUUCAAGUUUAAAUUGAGAAAUCCUACCUUUUUCACUUGUUUUUCUUGAUUUUCCACACUUUUUCUCUUGAAAUUCUCCACCUAGGGUUCUUGUUCUUUCUUUUCUUCCUUUGUUCUUCUUUGGCCGGCCAUAUGAAUGAGAAAUGGGCUGAUUUUGUGCUAAUUUAUAAGGAAAAUAAUGAAUGGAUGAGAUUUUGACACGUCACCAUUCCAUUAGUCCAUGUGUCAUACUUAGCCAUUAAGCAAUCUCUCUCUACCACUUAAAUUUUCUCAAUUAUCCAUGAUAAUAUUGGGUAAAAUUCAUGUACUGGACAAGUGUUGGGUAGUGUAAAAUUACGAUUUUGCCCAUAGGGUGGCAAAAUGACUAUUUUACCCCUAUACUCGAAAAAAUGUUGGAAUUAAAAUUCUUUACUUCUCAAACUCAAAUUAUACUCCAAAUGAUUAAUCUUAGUCAAAAAUUUCAUCCAACAUUCCAAUUUUUAACCUCAGGUGGCAAAAUGACCAUUUUGCCCCUAGAUCAUGAAAAUUCCAAUUUGACUCCAAAUCGGUCCUCGAACUCCGAAUCAUCAUUUUAAGUCAUUCUGGAGUUUUAAAAUUCUCAAUUUCAUCUUAAAAUCUUUAUUUAGACUAGUUCGAGGCUUAAUUUAACUUAAUUGUACUAUUUGGUACAAUACCGUCUUUUAAUGAUUUUCAAGGUACCCAAGUAAGCAAACAUGCAUUCUUAUGUAAAAUUGGCAUAAUAAACAUAUUGUAGAGUUGGGCUUGACAUAAACUGCUUCCAAUAAAAAAAAUCGUUGAAUCAACCAACAUAGCCAAGAAAAAAAAAGCUAAUCAAAUUAAUUUCUAAAGCUUCCUAAUUUACUCUAAUGAAAAGUAAUAUUUUUGAUUGAUACAAAUAAAUGAUAAAAGAUUAGCUACUUUUUUUUAGAUUAGAAAGCAAAUAAUAAAAGAUCUGAAAAGGCAUAUAUAUGUAUCAAAACAGGAUAUCAAUGGAUGCAAAUAUGUGCAAAAGAAAAAAAAGAUUAAUUUCGAAUCUUUAAUUCUACACUCAAUAACUCUUAUUCAAAGCAACACCUUUUUUAAUAAACAAGUACUAAAAAUUGUCUUCCAAAAUUUAAAUGAAGUGAAAGUCCCAUAUUUCGCACCAAAAACAACCCAAAAGAGUAAAAUUUUUCAGCACAUCAACAAAAAAGCUAAUUAAAGACCACGAUCAAGAUCAGCAAACAAAUCAGUGAGGUCAUACCGGUAGGACUGCAUAUGCGUUAGAAAGGUCAAUCCCUCCCCUACGACACCCUAAACCGGGUAGAACUUCUAACAGGCCGCCAGCUUCGCUGUAACGUGGACCUAAAAAAUAGGGUAAAAAAUUUUAAAUUAAUGAAUGUGAAAAAUGAAACAAUAGAGGAAAGGCAGUUCUAGGGUGAGCAAAGGGGUAGUGAAAAUGGGUACAGAGAGGAUUGAAGGGAGAGUGAACGAAAGAGGACAUUCGGCAUAAUAGCAAGAAUAGGUACAAAGAAAGAGAAGACACAUCAUUUUAUCAUCACACCUUCAUUAUAAAAUUCACCACAAUAAUUCUAAACCCAUAGAAAAAAAGAUUCUGAAACAAAAAUAAAAAAUAAGCUACAGCAAAUGAAGAAGCAAAACGAGCUACCCUUCACACUGAUAUCACAGCAUCUGAUCUCAAAACCCCCAAAAAAUAGCACAAGAAUGUUUAGUUAGCAGCCAAGGGCGAAAAGUUCCAGCAACAAGUUUGGAGGGUUCACGGUCAAGCUCGGCCUCCGGCUCUCUUUGGGAUUUCUUCGCUUCGGGUUCUACUAUCUAUUAGAGCUUCUUUAGACCUCAAUCCAAAGAAAAAGAGAUGUGAACGGAGGCCGUAGAAAGCUCGACGGCAGAUAGGGAUGACGUCGAAGGAGAAUCGAUUUAGAUCUAGGUUUUGCACAGAAGGAAGAAGGAUUGAUAAAGAAAAUAACAAGAGGAAAUGGGGAAAUAGAGAGCCGGACAUCUAAUAAGCUUAAGUAUAAAAUUUCUUCUGUAAAAAGGACUAGGCCUUUAGCCCAUGAAUGGCCAUUAGCUCAAGUCCAAUGGUGUUGGGCUUAAAUGCAAUUAAUUGAAUAAGUUAUUGGAUCCUUUUUAUAUUUUUCAACCCAUUUCAUUUUCAUUCAUAUCAAUACAAAUAAAAAUAAUUUUAAUUUUAUUAAAAAUUAAAUAAAUUUUAAUAUAUUUAUAUUAAACUUAUUAUGUAAUGAAUAAUUAAUAAUAAUAAUAAUAAUAUCUUUAGAUAUUCAUAACAUAUUAGACAUUAAUUUACAAUGUAACGUAUUUAUUAUUAUUACAUUAUGAACAAAAUUAAUAUUAUUUUAUUAUUUAUUUAUAAUAUAAUAUUUUUUAAUUAUUAACUAAAUUUAUCAUUUUGUAAAAUAUUAAUUACUUAUUUAUAAUAAGCAUAAGUAAUUUUUAAUCAAAUUAAAACUCAACAAUUUUAUUACUUCAUACCAAAGUCAAAAUAACUUAAUUUGGAUUUUAUAAAUUACAUAUGAAAAUAAAAACAUGAAAUAAGCCCAAAGCACCCAAAAAAUCCAAUUUAAAAAUAUUAGGGAUCUAAUAUAAUAACUCUCCUUCCUAUAAUACAAUUAAAAGAACCUAAAACCAUCUUUGAUUUACAAUCACCAAUUUUCACUAAUGCAACUAAAAGCCAACCAUUAACAGUAUAUUACCAGAAGCUAACUAUUUAAAGUAUUUAUAGCUACCAUUUAUAGCAACUUUCAAUCUACAGUUUUCUGUCUAUUACCAGAAGCUAACCAUUUACAACCUACAGUCAUUUAAAGUAUUUCCUUAUUGCCUCUCUCAUAUUCAUUUAUAAAUUCUAGUGAUCCACUUAACUUAAGACUUUUUCUAAUUAAACCAAAGAGUCUUAAUCAAGACUUUAUUCAAGACAAUUAAACUCAACUCGAAUUUUGAUAUCUACACCCCUUAUCCAUCACUAAUUACUAAUCACUAAUAUGUUAAUUUUAUAUAAUAUAUAUUUAUAUGUAUUACUUUAUUAUUAUUAUAUAUAUAUUAAACUUAACCAACUUUAAUUAUAAUUUUUUGAGAUAUCAUAUGAAAAUUACAAUUUUAUAAAAUAAAAUUAGGAUACUUUGAGUUUUGGAAUUUUUAAAAUUUUAAGUCCCCAUAAAAUUAAAAUAAAUAGCAGUUAAAUAUUAAUUUUAUUUUACAAAAAAUAAAAAUAAAUAAUCAAUUUAAAUCCAAAAAAAACUAUAUAUUUCUUUCUAUCUAUCUCCGUACGAGCAGUGAGAGUGGGGAGAGACGAGGAUAGGCAUUUAAGAGGGCCCCGUGCAAAAGAAAACGUGGGCCCCACGUAAAGGGUGGCGCCAUAGGCCGAGCCCGUAUACGGACGCCAAAGAAUAAUCAAAUCCCAUUAAUUAAAAAGCAGAGAAAUUGUGGUUUUGUUUCCAUUUAUUACCUUGCUUUUGCACAAGGGGAAGGGAUUCUUCUGGAUUGAGAGAGAUGAGGGAAAUUAUAAGCAUCCACAUAGGCCAAGCUGGGAUUCAGGUUGGGAAUUCUUGCUGGGAGCUCUAUUGUCUAGAACAUGAAAUUCACCCUGAUGGAAUGAUGCCCAGGUUUUGCUUUUCUUUCUUUCUUCUUCUUCUUCUUCUGUCAUUUCCUUUUUAACUUGUUUCGGAAUUUCUCAGUACUCGAUUUUAACGGAAAUUAAUUAAUUAAAAUGUUAUCCUAGAGAAGAGAUCACCAUGACAAAAAUUUGCUACGCUUUUCAGUCCUGUAAAGGAAUGGUAGUUGAUGUUUUAGCUUGAAAGAAAGUGGGUAUUCUUUUGCUAAUUGUUCUUUUAAGUAUUGCUAUUGCUACUGUGUUAGUUGAUCGGUGUAACUUUGGUGAAUUGUUUUGAUCCAAUUAUGCUUUGAAAAACCGCGUGUUGAUGAACAUUAAUGGUGAUUGCAGUGACACCUCUGUGGGUGUUGCACAUGAUGCUUUCAACACUUUCUUCAGCGAAACGGGUUCCGGAAAGCAUGUGCCUAGAGCUAUCUUUGUUGAUCUGGAACCCACUGUUAUUGAUGAAGUUAGGACUGGUCCUUACCGUCAACUUUUCCACCCUGAGCAGCUUAUUUCUGGCAAGGAAGAUGCUGCUAAUAAUUUUGCUAGGGGCCACUACACAAGUAAGGAACAUCGAUUCUGCAAUUUCUCAAUGCUGUUGGUAUUUUUGGCUUAGUCUGAUUCCGCUUUUGUUUUGCAGUUGGGAAGGAAAUUGUAGAUCUCUGCCUUGAUCGGGUUAGGAAGUUAGCUGAUAACUGCACUGGUUUGCAAGGCUUUUUGGUGUUUAAUGCUGUUGGCGGUGGAACUGGCUCUGGUUUGGGCUCUUUGUUGUUAGAGCGCUUGUCAGUAGAUUAUGGAAAGAAGUCAAAGCUUGGGUUCACCAUCUAUCCUUCACCUCAGGUACUUGCAUGUUCUGAUGCUGGUAACGCAUGGAUAUCUCCAGAGUCCAGACACCACAGAGGGCAGAAAAACCUGUGGAAAUUACAUUUCUGUUUGCUAUGUCUACCCUUUAUGUUUAGCUUUUGAAAUAUUUUUGUGGUAUUAUGUAUGCUUUCUAAAAUAUGGAAACUUUUAUUUGAGCAUGAUUAUUUAUUUUAAAAUAUUAUAUAAAAAUAUUGACUUGAUAGUGUAGGACUUACCUUUUGAUAUUUCUUUGUUAAACUCACAGGUCUCAACUGCUGUUGUGGAACCUUACAAUAGCGUUUUGUCCACUCAUUCCCUUCUUGAGCACACAGAUGUCGCUGUGCUAUUGGACAAUGAAGCAAUUUAUGACAUAUGCCGGAGAUCUCUCGAUAUCGAGAGGCCAACUUACACCAAUUUGAACCGACUGAUAUCUCAAAUCAUAUCAUCCUUGACAACUUCUUUAAGAUUUGAUGGAGCCAUUAAUGUGGACAUUACAGAGUUCCAAACCAAUCUUGUUCCAUAUCCCCGUAUCCAUUUCAUGCUCUCUUCAUAUGCACCUGUCAUCUCAGCUGAGAAAGCCUUCCAUGAACAAUUAUCAGUUCCUGAGAUCACAAAUGCUGUGUUUGAGCCCGCAAGCAUGAUGGCAAAGUGUGAUCCUAGGCAUGGGAAGUACAUGGCAUGCUGCCUGAUGUAUCGAGGAGAUGUUGUCCCCAAGGAUGUUAAUGCUGCUGUCAGUACUAUCAAAACCAAGAGAACUGUGCAGUUUGUUGACUGGUAAGAGAAAUUUGGUAUUGAAGGAUGGAAAGCUCUGCAUCACUAGUUCUCCAUUGAUACUAGUCCACCCAAUCAGCCACUGUAGUUGUCAUUUCCUCUACGUAGCAAAGAAAGUUUGUCAAUUCCCAAACAGUAGAAUGUGCCUCAUGAAUGCUUUAGGAACAGCAUCUUGGCACCGGAAUUUUGUUUUGUGAAGUUUGACUCAUGCAACCUGAUAUGUGCCUCAUGCCUCACCAACAAAAUACUAGGUUAUCUAGAUUUAUUUUUAGGAGGUUAUCGAAUGCUAAGGGGUUGAUGUGGGCAUAUCUAUUACUUACAGUAAUGCAACCUGAGGUUGUCCUUGUGUUCAAUGUUCCCUUUUGUCUGAAAAGCUUUUUUAUUGGGUUGUGCAGGUGCCCGACUGGCUUCAAAUGCGGUAUUAACUAUCAGCCCCCAACUGUUGUACCUGGGGGAGAUCUUGCUAAGGUGCAGCGAGCUGUUUGCAUGAUCAGCAACAAUACAGCAGUGGCUGAAGUGUUCUCACGCAUUGACCACAAGUUUGAUCUCAUGUAUGCAAAGAGAGCUUUUGUGCAUUGGUAUGUUGGUGAGGGCAUGGAAGAAGGUGAAUUCUCAGAAGCCCGUGAGGAUCUGGCAGCUCUUGAGAAAGAUUAUGAAGAAGUUGGUGCCGAAGGUGUGGAAGAUGAAGAGGAAGGUGAAGACUAUUGAUGUACUUACGCAAAAAAAUUUUACUUUGAAGAUGGUUCAGUGUAUGACGGUUUGCCCACCCCUUUCCCCUUUGUCCUAUCCUUCUGUCUUCUUGUUUAGCGCUGUCAUCUUAUGGGUGCUGGACGAUUGUCAAAGUGUCCGUAUAAUCUCCUAAAGCCAUUGUAUGCCAUCUCAAUUAAGUAAUGUGUACUGUUGCGUUGCAUGCCGUUUUCUUCAGAAAUGUGUUUUUGUACUGGGUGAAUAUUGGAAAUAUUUUUUACAUUUAUAUAUGAAAGAUGCUUUCUAGGCACAUAACAGCCUUAUAAUCUUGCCAAAAAAAAAAAAAACGUACUAGCAGUAUAAUGGCCGCAUGUUAUUGGGUAUUUUGCAUAGGAUUAAUAUAUCGAACUUGAGGGUGAUAGAUGUUUAAUGUAGUCGUUUGGGAAAUGUUCAAGCACUGAAUUCUUUACAGAUUCCAUGAAAUUGCUAAAUUUACUUGGGAGAGGGGAAAAUUGUAGAAAUUACGGUCUUUUAUGCCGCAGUAUUUCUAUCUUCUUUCACCGUGCAUAAUGAGAGGGUAAGGAAAAGUUGCUUCGCAAGCUUUGCUCUACUGUCGGUUAUAAAAAUGGAAUAUUCUUGGAUUAAUGCUCGUGUGCUUGGUCCCUUCCUUUGAAGGAAUGCAGAUAAUAGAGAAAAAUGCUCAGUUUAGGGCUCACUAAACUCAGCAGUACGUUUCCACCGUGCAAACUCAAGUCUACAUAUUUCUCGGGUGAAAAACAUAUUGAUUGAUAAAUAACGCUUAUAUUGUUAUCUUUUACCAUCUCACUCUAAUUGCAGGAAGAUUUUCAACAUUUAUCUGCAUUGGGUGUUGCCUUAGUAUAAGACUAGGAUUUGUCAAGAAUUUGCCUCACGAAAAUGAACCGAAGCAACAUGGCGCAGAGUACUUGUUGAGGUAGAAAUGACCAGUAAAUUAUUAUGCAAAACCAACCUUUGGCUUCAAUAAACCAAAAGUUAGAACUCAAGGCAGUGAUCGUUUGCUGCAAACUUCUGCCAAACAAUGCUACAGAUCCAAACGAAUACAUGGCAUCUCAACGAGUUUGACCUGAACUUGCCUCGAGCCUCCACUUGUCUGAUUUGUGAUAGAUUUGGUUCUGUAGAUCUCACCCAUGCAUACUGUAUUCCUCCUAUCCCAGGGAGUUUUAGGAUCGGUUACAUGUAUAGUAAUCAUGUGCAACUUCAUUGAUGAUAGUAAAUAACAAGAAAGUAUUGAAAGAUUUCCUCUAACUCAUGAGGCUCAUUGAAAGAGAAAUAGGGAUGGAGUGAGGCUUAAAAGUUUGCUUUUCUCAAAAUGCUUGAAAGAGUUAAUUUAGUAAUGCUUCCCAAACUUCUAAGUUUUGGAUGGAUUUGCAUAAGAAUGUACAAAGGUCAAUAUGGAAAUAUAUAAUCAUGGAAUGGAAAGUUCAUUAUGGUUAGGAAUCAAUCAUGAACGAACCUAGCAAAUAUCUCUCCCCUUUGACAAUUCAGUCUAGGAAAUAUUGAUACUCGGAGAUUUACCAGCAUUUAUUCUGGACUUAAAGAGUAAGAGAAACAAGAUUUGCGGAGCACAACUGAAAUAAGUAGUAAUUUGCAUCCAAAAGUGAAAAAUUGUUGUUCCUGCCUCACCUAAUAGAAUUUCCUCCUAGCGACACUCGAAACAGACAAUCUCAAUUUUUCUCAUCAGUUAGCAACAUAGCUGCCGCCUGCCGAAGUCUUCUAGCUGCCUUCAUGUGCUUCAAAUUCCAUGGUAGAAAGGGAGAAUCAGCUUGGGCAGAACAACUGGCUAUGUGUGGGAAGAUCCCAGAGAGCAUCACCAAGGUCAAACGCAUUCUCGAGGUACUCAUCAACUCCAUUCAUUGCAUAUAGAGAUGCUGCUAUCUGUCUUUCUACCUUCAAGCGUUCGAAUUCCAGUGGCUCUGGAUCAAUUGCAUUAGACAGAGGACCAAGAGUUUGUGGCAACUGCACUUCCUGUUGGUUUAAAGGAAUCUGAUCAAACGCAGUUGAGAUUGGCCAGGACUGACCAAACUGCGACGUGGCUGGUUCAAGUUCCCCAAUGCGAUAGCUCAUAUCUGGCCUGUAUGCACCAUCAAAGAUCUGGGUGUCUUGUUUCAUGGAAUUGCAUACUAGAAAGCUAUCAUUGCCACUGUUGGAUAGAAAACUGUCAUUACUACUAGCAUUACUGCUACUGCUGCUAUUACUACUAAUUAUAGUGUUUGCUUUAAUCUUGGUUUUCUUCGAGUUGAUUGCAGAAGUUCCUUGCCUUAAACUCUUUUUGUGAUUGAGGAGGUUUCUAAUCUUCGAAGACAGAUGAGAGUUGCUAGGAACAGGAGUUGCGAAAUUGGUUCGUGUAUUCGAACCCCGGAGAAGACAUGCAGCUUCAUCAUAAGCUCUGGCAGCUUCUUCCGCUGUUUCAAACGUCCCCAGCCACAUUCUUAUCUUCUGUGUUGUGUCUUUGAUCUCUGCUACCCACUUGCCCGAAGGCCUCUGCCUUACCCCAACAAACUUGCUUCUGCUAAUAUUGUCUGCAAUUCUCUCCUUGAACUUGCCAUGUUUGUUGGAUGAAACACCUUUCUGCUGCCUUUCAACUCGGUGUUCCAUUGCAGAUAGAGUGAAGAGAAGUUUGGGUGGAAGAAAAGGUAGAAGGGGUCUGGUUUAUAUAAGGGGAAGGGUUAGGAAAGGGAUUCAAGUUUGAAGUUGAUAUAAGGUAGUGGGCAGGUUGUCGCAUUUUCUUGUCAGCCUGUCAGCUAGAAUUUGUUCCACAUUUUAGUGUGACUGAUUUCUCAAUGUUGAGUUGACUAAAUCAUUUGAUUAUCUGGAUAUAUUAGGCCAGGGACAUGCAAGCCAUUUCCUCCAGAUGAGAAAAACCAAGAAAGAAGAGAAAGAUUACACUCAUAUAGAGGCAGGAGUCAAUGCUUUGGAGAUUUUUGUGAUAAGAUAAUGAUAUGGGGUAGGCCUGAGUAGUUGCCCUGUCCUCAGCUCUCCAUUUCAUUUGGUCAACGAGGAAAGGAGCGAGAUUCGUGAAGGCACGAAGGCAUGACACUUGGAGAAGUUCGACUCAAAGUUGUUUAAGAAAACAAAAGAAAAUUAAAGAUUGGAGCGUUGGACGCUUCCAAAAAGAAGAGCAAAAGCGAGUAGAAAAGUGAAUGGAAUCUCAUGCUGCACGCUGCCUUGGCUUGGAAUCUCUCUUCCAUUUUUACCUUCAAAGCACCUUCUCUCUUAUAUACUUAUGCUGUCCCAAACCAUUCAUUAUUUCCUAAAAGAUUUCAUGCUCCUUUUACUAAUAUUUAACAUUUAGGACCAUCACGGUUAUAUUAUACAGCAAAGUUCAAUUGUUUGUUUUAAGUAAAGCUUAAAAGAAAUUUAGUUUGGUUCUACUUGAUAACCAUAAAAUAACUGGUUGAAGGAGAAUAUUUUUGUAUAAAAUAUUUAAUAAAAAAUUUAAUAUUUUUUAUUAUUUAGAUAAAUUAUCAAAAACAUUAUUUUUAAAAACAAAUGGUAGAUGAGACCUUUAUCAAACGUACGCCCUUUUACGUUGAUUAAUACAAUUUUUUCCGUUCAUCCGUAAAACAUAUUAUGUAAAGCCCGACCUUAUAAAAUACUAUUCAUGACGUACAUGUGAUGAUAGCAUGAUUGUAUGCUAGGAGAGUCCCGAAAAAUUUACAAAAGUCGGUAUUAUACCUAAAGGUACAACAAAGUUGAUUUAAUCAUCGAACUAGAUCAAAUAGGAAUUUUAAGGUGAGAUUAAGAUCGUCAUAGUCCAAGGAUGACUCAAAAUGGUAAUUCGGAGUUUGAGGAUCAAUUUGGAGUCAAAUCGAAAUUUUCACUAUCUAGGGACAAAAUGGUCAUUUGCCACUUGGGGACAAAAUGAGAAUUUUAGAAAAGAUUUUUUUGACCCCAUUUGACUUAUUGGAGUAUAAUUUGACUUAUUGGAGUAUGAUUUGAGGUUUAUAAGUGAAAAAUUUUAAUUUCGGUAUAAUUUGGAGUAAAACGGUAAAAUGAUAAUUUUGCCACCCCAGGGGGCAAAAUUGUAAUUUUCCACCAUCAGGACGUUUUUUUCAGCACAUGGUCUUCCUUUAUCUUCAUCUUUGACCCUUGACUAAUCAUGUGGUGGAGAUAAAAUGUUUAAAUUUUUAAAAUUUUAAAAAUGGACCAAUAAGAAAAUGCCAUGUGUCAAGCUUAGGAUAUUUUAUUAUUUAACUAAAAAAUCAGCAUAAAUCAGCCCAUUACUCUCCAAAUAUUCGGCCAAGCAAGGAAGAGAGAGAAAGAGAGGAAGAACAAACCCUAGGUGAGGAAUUUCAAGAGAAAAAGUGUGGAAAAUCAAGGAAAACAAGUGAAAAAGGUAGGAUUUUUCAACUUAAGCUUGAAAUCUAUUUUCCUUAAGCACUUCUCCUUAUUUUCCAUGCUUAAAUUACAUGUUUUUAUGAUGAAUUGUUGGCUGAUCAAAAUGGGUUAGGAGAGAGAAAGUUGUUAGAUUAAUUUGAUUUUAAGUUAUGUUAGUGUUUUUAGUUAGUUUAGCAUAUUUAGAAACAAAACAACAAGAAAAGAAUUUAUUUUAUCCCACAACCAUUAAUGGCCGAAUUUACCAUGUAUGAGUGAGGAUGAGUUUGAUUUUUAUUUUAGGAGAAUUGGUUAAGAAAUGAUGAAUUAUGAGCCUAGAAAAAUAAUGGAAAUUUUUGGAGCAAAAAUAUGAAUUUUUACCUAUUAGGGGUAUUGUCGUAAUUUGCUGUCGAGACUGAUAAUUUGCACCACACUGAGGGACAUUAAGUCAAUUUGGGUGCAAUUGAGGUAUAGAAACUGAAAAAAAAAUUAAUUUGGGAUUAAAUUGGACGCGUUAGUAAUUUAAUCGGGUGAUAAGAUGAAUUAGGUCAAUAUCGAGUUUAGAUAGUUACCAGUGCAUUUUUGCAUUCCAUAUUAUGCAUUAAUAGUCUAAAUUAGUUUAAUUUCAAUUUAGUACCAAUGUAGUAAAUUUUUCGAUUUUGUACUGUGUUAAGGUGGUGAGUCCUUCGAUAAAGGCAAGAAAAUUGCAUCCGAGAACCAGUAGACAGAGUGCUUCGAAAGUCUGCAUUCUAGACAUUGUGAGUAAACUUACUGUCAUUUUAAUUAUCUAGGGUGGUUUUUAGAUGAUUUCAUGAAUUCUAUGGAAAAAGGAAUUUAAAAAGGUAAAUUUUCAUGUUUUAUGAAUAAAUGUGUUUUAAUGAAUUAAAUUAUAAAUUGUUUUGAAAUUAAUAGUGAUUUUGAAAAAUAGAGUACACGGAGACUGUUAUUUGUGGCAAUUUGAUUGUUUAAAUUGAUUAGCUUAUGCUAAAUCGGGCAUGAUUGGCUAGUUGACAAUUUUAUUGAAAUGCGAAUUGUUUGAUUGCCUUGAAAGACUGUGAAUUACAAAAUUACCACAUCAUGUUAUAGAGUUUUAUUGUAUGGUGGAUUAUAUAUAUUAAUUAAUCACUGCAGUUGGGGGUUUCUGUGGACCAGCCUUUUAGAGGGGCACAGUAAACCCCAUUAUAUUCUUACCUCGAACGGAGAGGCGCGUAGGGUAUCUCCUGGGAUAAAGUUUAGGGUUCACUUCACGCCAAACCACCACAUGAGGGGAAACUCAGCCAACGCCAAGGAACGGCUAUGUUUUCAAAACAAAAACAUGAUUUAUGUGAAAUGUGAAUUUUAAUAGCCUUGGCGGUCUCGGUAGGAUGCCUCGGCCAAGGUGUCCCUGAGAAUGGAUUUAUGGCACAAGCCUAGUUUUUAUGAAAUUCAUAAACCUCUUUACAUAUUUUAAAUGAAAUGUAUUCUUAUGUUGUGACCCAGUUUACGAUGAUUUAUUUUAUUGUCUCCAUGUACUCAACUCUAGAUAUUUAUGAUGAUGUCUAUUUACUCAUUGGGAUUUUAUAAUCUCACCACCCUCCUUUCCACCCAUUUCAGGUUCAGUAUAGGCUGUAGAUAGCUGAUCUCAUCGAGGACUACCGUUGGAUCUGCAUUUUCCAAACCGUAGGUUCACAGUACUCUUUACUUUUGUUUAUUCGGGAGCCCUCUUGUUAUUGUAAAUUAAAUUAAAUAUUUUGGCUUACUGUAUUUAAGUCUGUAUAAAUUUAUUUAGCUUUUACGCUAUAAAAAUUAUUCACGUAUAACUCUAUAAAUAUUGUUUUAUAAGAAAAUAGAAUAUUUUACUUAAUAUUUUUUUUAUUUUCUUAUUAUGUUCAAAUAACCGUAAUUUCGUUUUAAAUGAAGAUUUUAGACUUUUAAACUCAUUUUGAAUAUGAAUUAUGUGUUUUGUACUUGUAUAUUACGUUUUAGCCAGUUUCAAAAUUUUUAAGAAAAAUGACCAAAAUACCCCUGUGAGACGAAAAAUUAAUAUUUUAUUUGUUUAAAGUUGGAAACAGCUUAAAAUCUUUUAGAACAUGAUAUUUGACAAUGGCUGCUCAUAAGGGAACAGAGAAACUUAUAGUAAAGCCUUGCAGGGUUUCGGGUUGACAUUUCAGGCAAUGAGUGUCUACCAGGACACCACGACGGUUGUCACGGGCUCGAGGGGAGUACCGGGUCGUGACAAUUCGAUUGGUAUCAGAGUCUUUGGUUUUAAAGAUCAAAGUUUUUAGUUUUAAAGUUGUUUUAAAAUUUUAUAAUAUCAGUGUGGCCACGGAUUAAGUUAGGUUAGGUUAGGUUAAAUAGAAUACAUGCAUCUGCAUAUAGAGCCUAAGGUUACCUAAACUUGCUCGUAUUCUUUUAUAGAUUAUAAUGCCUCCUCGACGCAGACGCCCACCUCUCACUAGAUCGGUUGGGAGGGGAAGAGGUCGUUCCCAACGUCAUCAGCUAGAUACAGUAGAGGAGGAAUCAGCUGCAUCCACCAUUCGGGCAGCACCUGCUACUGAGCAGGCCGAGAGUCCUCCACCUCCUCAGCCACCUACUGGUAUUCCCGUCAUGCCUACCGAAGCAGCACAGGCAUUGACAGCUUUCUUUACCGCAAUGGCUGGUCAAGCUCAGACUGGUCAAGUUCCACCUAUAGUGCCUCUAGUUACUCCUUUAGUUCCACCACCAGUACAGGAUGUAUCCAUUUCUAAGAAGCUAAAAGAGGCUAGACAGCUCGGUUGUGUGUCUUUCGCGGGUGAGUUGGAACCACUAUGGCAAAGGACUGGAUUAAUUAGGUUUCAGAGACUCUCUCUGAUAUGGGAUUGGAUGACGACAUGAAGCUGAUGGUGGCUACGAGAUUAUUAGAGAAAAGGGCUCGUACCUGGUGGAAUUCAGUGAAGUCUCGUUCCACUAUUCCUCAGAUAUGGUCCAAUUUUCUCAAGGAAUUCGAUGGUCAGUAUUUCACUUACUUUAAUUAGAAAAAAAAGAAAAGAGAAUUUCUGAGUUUGAAACAGGGGAAUCUAACUGUAGAGGAGUAUGAGACUCGUUUUAAUGAGUUAAUGCUAUAUGUGUCGGAUCUGGUGAAAUCUGAGUAGGAUCAAGCCAGUUAUUUAGAGGAAAGGCUCCGUAAUGAGAUUAGAGAGUGAAUGACAGUGACUGGUAGGGAGCCACAUAAGGAGGUGGUACAGAUGGCUUUACGGGCUGAGAAGCUCGUGAUUGAGAAUAGGAGGAUUCAGACUGAGUUUGUAAAAAGGAAGAAUCUUGGUAUGUCUUUUAGUCAGCCAGUAAAAAGAGGCAAGGACUCAGCGACUUCAGGGAGCACUACUUCUGUUUUCGUGACAUCUCCUCGACCUCCAUUUCCACCAUCACAGCAGAAACCUUCGAGGUUUAGCAGAUCUGCUAUGACUGAUUUUGGGAAGAGUUUCGGAGGUUCUGACAAAUGCAGAAAUUGUGAAAAUUAUCAUGUUGGGCUGUGUAGAGGGCUUGCAUUAUGUUUUCAUUGUGGUCAGCCGGGUCAUAUUAGGAGUAAUUGCCCACGGUUAGGACGAGCCACUGUAGCUACAUCAUCUCCACCAGCUCGCACUGAUAUGUAGAGGAGAGAUUCUUCUGGGUUACCAUCGAGACAGGGAGUAGCCAUACGGUUCAGUGUGGAGAGUAAUACCCCGGUGCAUCCACCUUCGAGACCAUAGACUCGUACUUCGACAAGAGUUUUCACUGUGACAGAAGAUGAGGAACGGGUCCGACUUGGAGCAGUGACAGGUAUUAUGUCUUUAUUUGAUAAAGAUGCUUAUGUUUUGAUAGAUUCUGGCUCAGAUAGAUCUUAUGUGAGUACGACAUUUGCAUCAAUUGCUGAUAGAAACCUGUCACCAUUAGAGGGAGAAAUUGUAAUGCAUACCUCUCUAGGAGAACAGUUGAUUAGAAAUACUUGUUAUAGAGGCUGUGGGGUAAGGGUAGGUGAGAAAGAAUUUAGAGGUGACUUAAUUCCUCUAGAGAUCUAGGAUUUUGAUUUAAUAUUGGGUAUGGACUGGUUAACUGCACAUCGGGCGAACGUGAAUUGUUUCCGAAAAGAAGUUGUUCUUCGGAAUUCGGAGGGAGCAGAGAUUGUGUUUGUAGGGGAACGUCGAGUAUUACCAUCUUGUGUAAUCUCGGCCAUCAAAGCUUUGAAAUUAGUGCAAAAAGGGUAUCCGGCUUAUUUGGCAUACGUGAUUGAUACUUCAAAGGGGGAACCUAAGUUAGAGGAUGUCCCGAUAGUAAGUGAGUUUCCUGAUGUAUUUCCUNNNNNNNNNNNNNNNNNNNNNNNNNNNNNNNNNNNNNNNNNNNNNNNNNNNNNNNNNNNNNNNNNNNNNNNNNNNNNNNNNNNNNNNNNNNNNNNNNNNNNNNNNNNNNNNNNNNNNNNNNNNNNNNNNNNNNNNNNNNNNNNNNNNNNNNNNNNNNNNNNNNNNNNNNNNNNNNNNNNNNNNNNNNNNNNNNNNNNNNNNNNNNNNNNNNNNNNNNNNNNNNNNNNNNNNNNNNNNNNNNNNNNNNNNNNNNNNNNNNNNNNNNNNNNNNNNNNNNNNNNNNNNNNNNNNNNNNNNNNNNNNNNNNNNNNNNNNNNNNNNNNCUGAACCGAGUGACCAUCAAGAAUAAAUACCCUUUACCCCGGAUAGAUGAUCUUUUUGAUCAAUUACGAGGUGCUAUGGUAUUCUCUAAGAUUGAUUUGAGAUCUGGGUACUAUCAGUUGAGGAUUAAGGAGCAGGAUGUACCUAAGACUGCCUUCAGGACGCGUUAUGGGCAUUAUGAGUUUCUGGUGAUGCCGUUUGGUUUGACUAAUGCCCCGACAGUUUUUAUGGAUCUUAUGAACAAGGUGUUCCAUCCAUACUUAGAUAAGUUUGUGAUAGUAUUUAUAGAUGACAUCCUGGUUUAUUCAAAGAAUGAUGAUGAACAUGCUGCCCAUUUGCGCAUUGUGUUGCAAACUUUACGCGAGAGGCAACUCUAUGCCAAGUUCUCUAAAUGUGAAUUCUGGUUGAAGAAAGUGGUUUUCUUGAGACAUGUGGUGUCCGGAGCUUGAAUUUAUGUCAAUCCCAAAAAGAUUGAGGCAAUCUUGCAAUGGGAGCAACCGAGAACGGUAACUGAGACUUGUAGUUUCCUUGGCUUAGCCGGUUAUUACCGGAGAUUUGUUUAGGAAUUUUCUUUGAUAGCAGCUCCUUUGACUCGUUUGACUCGUAAAGGAGUUAAGUAUGAGUGGGAUGAUGUUUGUGAGAAUCGAUUUCAGGAGCUAAAGAAUCGGUUAACCUCCGCUCCCGUUUUAACACUUCCUGUUAGUGGAAAAGAAUUUGUGGUAUAUAGUGAUGCAUCUAAGUUGGGAUUAGGGUGUGUAUUGAUGCAGGAUGAGAAAGUAAUAGCUUACACUUCCCGGCAGUUGAAAAAGCAGGAGACGAAUUACCCUACUCAUGACUUAGAGUUAGCAGCAAUAGUUUUCACAUUGAAGAUUUGGAGACAUUUUUAUAUGGUGAGCGUUGCCGAAUUUUUACUGAUCAUAAGAGUUUGAAGUAUUUGCUCACCCAGAAAGAGCUUAACUUGAGACAGAGAUGAUGGUUGGAGUUGAUUAAGGAUUAUGACUUAGUGAUUGAUUAUCAUUCGAGAAAAGCAAAUGUGGUAGUGGAUGCCUUAAGUCGUAAAUCCUCAUCGUCGUUAGCAACACUUCAGAGUUUUUAUUUUUCGAUGUUACUUGAGAUGAAAUCUCUAGGGAUCCAAUUGAAUAAUGGUGAGGAUGGAACCCUACUUGCUAGUUUCGUCGUGAGACCUUCAUUGUUGAAUUAGAUCAGAGAAUUGCAUAAAUCUGAUGAUUGGUUGAAACGGGAAGUUCAAAAGCUACAAGAUGGAGAAACUAGUGAGUUUAGACUCAGCGAUGAUGGUACUUUGAUGCUUAGAGACCGAAUUUCUGUCCCUAAGGAUGAUCAAUUGAGACGAGCUAUUUUGGAGGAAGCUCAUUCUUCCGUUUACGCUUUACAUCCUGGAAGCACCAAGAUGUAUCGGACUAUUAAAGAAAGUUAUUAGUGGCCGGGUAUGAAACGAGACAUAGCAGAGUUUGUAGCGAAAUGUCUCACAUGCCAACAGAUUAAGGCGGAGCAUAAAAAAUCGUCAAGUACUCUUCAACCUUUAUCGAUUCCUGAAUGGAAGUGGGAACACGUGACUAUGGACUUUGUAUUGGGUUUACCGCGGACACAAAGUGGGAAGGAUGCUAUUUGGGUGAUUGUGGAUAGAUUGACUACGUCCGCCCAUUUCUUGGCUAUCCAUAGCACGUAUUCUAUUGAGAGGCUAGCAAGACUUUAUAUAGAUGAGGUUGUGAGAUUGCAUGGAGUUCCAGUUUCUAUUAUGUCAGAUCGAGGCCCUCGGUUUACUUCUCGAUUUUGGUCAAAAUUUCAAGAAGCUCUUGGAACCAAAUUGAGAUUUAGUACUGCCUUUCAUCCAUAGACAGAUGGUCAAUCUGAGAGAACUAUUCAGACCUUGGAGGAUAUGUUACAGGCUUGUGUCAUUGACUUUAUUGGGAGUUGGGACAGACACUUACCAUUGGUGGAGUUCGCGUAUAAUAAUAGUUUUUAGUCUAGUAUUGGGAUGGCACCAUACGAGGCUUUAUAUGGAAGGAAGUGCCGAACUCCGCUCUGGUGGGAUGAAGUAGGUGAGAGGAAAUUGGUGAAUGUGGAAUUGAUUGAUUUGACAAAUGAUAAGGUCAAGGUUAUCUGAGAGCAGUUAAAGACAGCUCAAGAUAGGCAGAAGAAUUAUUCGGAUAAACGAAGGAAAGAUUUGGAGUUUGAAGUCGACGAUAAAGUUUUUCUUAAGGUUUCUCUUUAGAAAGAUAAUAAUUUGAAAAUUCCAAGUAUUAAAUCUUAUUUGAUUAAACUAUUGUGAUAAUUUGUGGUAUUUAUUGGAUGAUGAAAGGUGUGAUUCAAUUCGCGAAGAGGUGAAAGCUCAAUCCAAGAUACAUUGGACCCUUUCGUAUCAUUGAAAGGAUUGGGCCAGUGGCUUACAAACUUGAAUUACCCCCAGAGUUAGAUCGGAUUCAUAAUGUCUUCCACGUCUCGAUGUUGAAAAAGUAUGUUCCCAAUCCCUCUCACUUUAGAGACACCUCCCAUUGAGUUGCAUGAAGAUUUGAAGUUCGAGGUGCAGCCUGUACGUAUUCUAGAUCGAAAGGAUCGAGUGCUAAGGAACAAGAGCAUUCCAAUGGUGAAAGUAUUGUGGAAGAAUGCUAGAAUUGAGGAGAUGACGUGGGAAGCCGAGGGCCAGAUGAGAAACCAAUAUCCACAUCUUUUCUUCGAAUCCAGUAAGUGAAAUUUUGAGGUCAAAAUUUUAUUUUAAGGGGGGUAGUGCUAUAAAGCCCGACCUUAUAAAAUACUAUUCAUGACGUACAUGUGAUGAUAGCAUGAUUGUAUGCCUGGAGAGUCCCGAAAAAUUUACAAAAGUUGAUAUUGUACUUAGAGGUACAACAAAGUUGAUUUAAUCCUCGAACUAGAUCAAAUAGGAAUUUUAAGAUGAGAUUAAGAUCGUCACAGUCCAAGGAUGACUCAAAAUGGUAAUUCGGAGUUUGAGGAUCAAUUGGAGUCAAAUCGAAAUUUUCACUAUCUAGGGGUAAAAUGGUCAUUUGCCAUCUGGGGACAAAAUGAGAAUUUUAGAAACGAUUUUUUUGACCCCAUUUGACUUAUUGGAGUAUGAUUUGAGGUUUAGAAGUGAAAAAUUUUAAUUUCGGUAUAAUUUGGAGUAAAAAGGGUAAAAUGGUAAUUUUGCCACCCUAGGGGCAAAAUUGUAAUUUUCCACCAUCAGGACAUUUUUUCCAGCACAUGGUCUUCCUUUAUCUUCAUCUUUGACCCUUGACUAAUCAUGUGGUGGAGAAAAAAUGUUUAAAUUUUUAAAAUUUUAAAAAUAGACCAAUAAGAAAAUGCCAUGUGUCAAGCUUAGGAUAUUUUAUUAUUUAACUAAAAAAUCAGCAUAAAUCAGCCCAUUACUCUCCAAAUAUUCGGCCAAGCAAGGAAGAGAGAGAAAGAGAGGAAGAACAAACCCUAGGUGAGGAAUUUCAAGAGAAAAAGUGUGGAAAAUCAAGGAAAACAAGUGAAAAAGGUAGGAUUUUUCAACUUAAGCUUGAAAUCUAUUUUCCUUAAGCAUUUCUCCUUAUUUUCCAUGCUUAAAUUACAUGUUUUUAUGAUGAAUUGUUGGCUGAUCAAAAUGGGUUAGGAGAGAGAAAGUUGUUAGAUUAAUUUGAUUUUAAGUUAUGUUAGUGUUUUUAGUUAGUUUAGCAUAUUUAGAAACAAAACAACAAGAAAAGAAUUUAUUUUCUCCCACAACCAUUAAUGGCCGAAUUUACCAUGUAUGAGUGAGGAUGAGUUUGAUUUUUAUUCUAGGAGAAUUGGUUAAGAAAUGAUGAAUUAUGAGCCUAGAAAAAUAAUGAGAAUUUUCGGAGCAAAAAUACGAAUUUUUACCCACUAGGGGUAUUUUCGUAAUUUGCUGUUGGGACUGAUAAUUUGCACCACACUGAGGGACAUUAAGUUAAUUUGGGUGCAAUUGAGGUAUAGAAACUGAAAAGAAUUAAAUUGGAGUUUAAACGGACCCGUUAGGAAUUUAAUCGGGUGAUAAGACGAAUUAGGCCAAUACCGGGUUUAGAUAGUUACCAGUGCAUUUUUGCAUUCCAUAUCAUGCAUUGGUAGUCUAAAUUAGUUUAAUUUUGAUUUAGUACCAACUUGGUGAAACUCUCGAUUUUGUACUGUGUCAAGGUGGUGAGUCCUCCGAUAAAGGCAAGGAAAUUGCAUCCGAGGACCAGUAGACAGAGUGCUUCGAAAGUCUGCAUUCUAGACAUUGUGAGUAAACUUACUGUCAUUUUAAUUAUCUAGGGUGGUUUUUAGAUGCUUUCAUGAAUUCUAUGGAAAAAGGAAUUUAAAAAGAUAAAUUUUCAUGUUUUAUGAAUAAAUGAGUUUCAAUGAAAUUAAAUUAUAAAUUGUUUUGAAAUUAAUAGUGAUUUUGAAAAAUAGAGUACACGGAGACUGUUAAUUGUGGCAAUUUGAUUGUUUAAAUUGAUUGGCUUAUGAUAAAUCGGGCAUGAUUGGCUAGUUGACAAUUUUAUUGAAAUGCGAAUUGUUUGAUUGCCUUGAAAGAUUGUGAAUUACAAAAUUGCCAUAUCAUGUUAUUGAGUUUGAUUGUAUGGUGGAUUAUAUAUAUUAAUUAAUCACUACAGUAGGGGGUUUCUGUGGACCAGCCUUUUAGAGGGGCACAGUAAACCCCAUUAUAUUCUUACCUCGAACAGAGAGGCGCGUAGGGUAUCUCCUGAGGUAAAGCUUAGGGUUCACUUCACGCCAAACCACCACGUGAGGGGGAAUUCAGCCAACGCCAAUGAACGGCUAUGUUUUCAAAACAAAAACAUGAUUUAUGUGAAAUGUGAAUUUUAAUAGCCUUGGCAGUCUCGGUAGGAUGCCUCGGCCAAGGUGUCCCUGAGAAUGGAUUUAUGGCACAAGCCUAGUUUUUAUGAAAUUCAUAAACCUCUUUACAUAUUUUAAAUGAAAUGUAUUCUUAUGCUGUGACCCAGUUUACGAUGAUUUAUUUUAUUGUCUCCAUGUACCCAACUCUAGAUAUUUAUGAUGAUGUUUGUUUACUCAUUGGGAUUUUAUAAUCUCACCACCCUCAUUUCCACCCAUUUCAGGUUCAAUAUAGGCUGUAGAUAGCUUAUCUCAUCCAGGACUACCGUUGGAUCUGCAUUUUCCAAACCGUAAGUUCACAAUCCUUUUUACUUUUGUUUAUUCGGGAGCCCUCUUGUUAUUGUAAAUUAAAUUAAAUAUUUUGGCUUACUGUAUUUAAGUAUGUAUAAAUUUAUUUAGAUUUUACGCUAUAAAAAUUAUUCACGUAUAACUCUAUAAAUAUUAUUUUAUAAGAAAAUAGAAUAUUUUACUUAAUAUUUCUUUUAUUUUCUUAUUAUAUUCAAAUAACUGUAAUUUCGUUUUAAAUGAAGAUUUUAGACUUUUAAACUCAUUUUGAAUAUGAAUUAUGUGUUUUGUACUUGUAUAUUACGUUUUAGGCAGUUUCAAAAUUUUUGAGAAAAAUGACCAAAAUUCUCCUGUGAGACGAAAAAUUAAUAUUUUAUUUGUUUAAUGUUGAAAACAGCUUAAAAUCUUUUAGAACACGAUAUUUGACAAUGGUUGCUCAUAAGGGAACAGAGAAACUGAUAGUAAAGUCUUGCGGGGUUUCGGGUUGACAUUCCGGAUAAUGAGUGUCUAUCGGGACACCGCUGCGGUUGUCACAAGCUCGAGGGGAGUACGGGUCGUGACAUAUUACAUUCUUAAAAGUUUUUUCUCCUUCCAACUAGGGAAACAAUUUGAAAAUUUUCUUUGAAAAACUUUUCAAUUUUCAGUUUGGUAAUAGGAAAAUAACAUGUUGUGAAAAUUUUUUUCUAUAUAAAAUAUUUUAUAGAAAACUUUAAUAUUUUUUAUUAUUUAGAUAAAUUAUCGAAAACAUUUUAAAUUAUUUGUUUUGUCAUGUGAAAAAUAUUUUCCACUAUUACUGGUGUAGUUAUCUAGGGUUAGAUAUAAAUAGAAGUUGAUUACAAAACAAUAGUAUCACUUGGUUUUCACUAAUUUAAGAUCAAAAUUAACAAUGAAAAUGAAAAUAGGCAAAAUCAAUAAUGAUAUUUUCCAAUGCAUUUAACCACAUAUUUGUAAUGAAAGUAAGCUCUAAUUUUCAAAAAAAAAAUUUCUUCCCAUCACUUUUUUACCAUAAUAUUAUAAAGAUAUUAAUAUUUAUCAAUUUUGUAAGUCAUCCAAAACCUAUAUUUAUAAGUGUAUAUUUAUCAAAAAACGAUUAUUGAAAUUUUUUUAUUAUAAUUAUUAGUAAGAUUUAUUCAAUUUAUAAAUAAAAAUUUUAAUUGCAUUGAAUGAUUUCAUUAAAUUUUUUUAAUUCUAAUAGUAUUGAAUAAUUUAAAUUUAAUAUUUUAAGUUAAACUUUUUGAGUUAAAUAUUAAUAUUUUUUAAUUUCUUAAAUAUUUUAAGUUAAAUAAUAAUAUUUAUCAAACUUAUACUGUUAAAUUUAGUAUAAGAGGUUUUUUUUUAUUCUUUGAAAAAUGUCUUACGCCCCCAAAAAAAUGUAAGACAUUUACGUGAUUAAUGAGUAUUUUUCAUGUUGACUUGUAAAAAGUUUUACGUCUAUAAUAAAUUUUCCGUCUUACAAACAAAUAUAAGUUUUAAAAAUAUUUUUUAAAAAAUAUUUUACAUCAAAACAAAUGAAACUUUACGAAACGGAUUUAUCUUAAAAUUGAAAGUUAUCAAAACAGAUUGGAGUAAAAUGCACUGAUAGUUCUUUACUCGCAUAACAUACAAUACCGAUUGAAAAGAACAUGAACAACUCAAUUAUAUAUAAACUACUUAGGUAGAUUUAUCCUUAGAAAAAGAAAAAUGAUACUAAUAAAAAAUUUAGCUAGCUUGUCAAGGUAAUAAAUUGAAACUCUCGGGAAUUUCUACAAGUCAAACUACUUCUCUUGAAAAUAAAGAAAUAAAAUUUACUUUUAAACUAAAGAGUUAAUCCUAAUUUCUUAUCAUUUUUAAGCUAAUUAUUUUUUUCUUUUUGUUAAAAAAUUAGCUCAAUAAUAAUGCAGAAAUAUCCUCUAGUGAAUUAGAUUUAUAAAAAAAUUUUCAACAAAUUCAACUUUUAAUAAAGGCGAGUUUGAAGAUAAGUUUCUUAAAUUUGUUUGCACUUUAAAACAUACCAAAAGUAAUUUCAUAAAUAAAUCAUUGAAUAAGCAAGUUAAAAAUAAAUUUUCCAAACUCUUCAAAGUUAAAUGUGCAAGUGUAUAUAAUGAAGAGAAAAGACAAAAUUACACAAACGAUUUAUAGAGGUUUGGUAUUCUCUCUUAUGUACUUACGUCAUCUCCCUUAGCAAAUUAAGGAGUUUAACCACUAUUGAAUGAAUUCAAUACAAAUGAAUUCAAUAUAAUACAUUUUCAAAAUUUCAAUCAUGACCUUGCAUUUUCAAGGAUAUGAUACAACUUUCUUAACUUUUCAAAACUAAGUUAAAACCUUUAUGUCUUUUUAAGAAUCAAGCACAACCUUGCAUUUUCAAGGAUAUGGCACAACCUCUAAACACUAUCUUUUAAAGGCUAAGGUAUAACCUUUUUUUCUCAUUUACAAGAUGAAAGGAAAGAUACCUCUAGGAGGUGGGUUUUGCUAAAUGAGUAUAAUGUUGGAAGGGUAUGAUUGAUACAAAGAAUAGGAAUGAAAGCACUAAGAUUUGAUUUGCUCAAAGAUAGCUUAAAAGCUAAGUAAAAAAAUGUGGUUUGCUUGUUCUAGAUUGGUUUCUUUUUCUUUUUUGAUUUCCUUUUCUUCAUAAGAUUUGAUUCUAAAUCAAAUGGUGUUUUUCUCACUUCGUCUAACUUUCAAAAUGGGUUGGAGAAGCUUUGGAGCUGUUAAAGAUGAUUAGGUGAAGAAACUAGUCAUUUUUCCUUUGAAUUUCAUGUAUAACGGCUAGUUCUAGACCCCAAGGAUUGAUCCUUGCAAGACAGCAAAGAUCAUGGUCAUUCUUUGAAGGGGAGAUCGAUCCCUGAACUUAAAUCAUGAAAAAUGCUUCCUUUUGAACCAAUUUGAUGCCAAAUAUUUAGACAUUUCAAAAGCAAAUGCAUGGGAGUUUUUAACAUGAAUAAUUUAAGUUCAAAACUCAUUCAAACAACUUCAAAAAUCAUUCAAGCAAUUUUGAUCAUUUUGUCAUUUCGAAACUAUAAUCAUUUUAAAGCUAAUAAAGCUAACAUAUUUCUUCCAACAUUUUUUCUAGAAAGUAAAAACCAAAAAAAAAUAUAUAUAUAUAUAUAUAUCAAACAAAGGUAACUUAAAUUAUUGGUACUCUAUAAAAAAAAUGUGGAUUUAGUCUUUGUACAACAACUUGUGUAAAUUGAGUCCUUGUAUAUUUCUAAUAUGUUAAUUUUUGUCCCUAACUCUAUACCAUUAAAUUUCUACCAUUAAGUAUGUUGACAUAACAUUUCAACAAAGUUGACAUGACAUUUCUUGUUGACGUGGCAUUAACUAUGUGUUGAUAUGGAAAAAAAUGUUAACAUGGCACUUGUUUACGUGGCAAAAAUGUUAACAUGGAAAUUGCUAACAAAGAUAACCCAAAACAAAAAAAAAUUCUUUUGGUUUUCUUUAUUCUUUUCUAAUAUCCUAAUCGCAAUCCAUUUUUCAAGUCCCUAAAUUAUGCAUUUUUUCUUAUUUUGGGUUGAAAAAAAUUGUAAUUCUCUUCAAUUAUGUUUUUUGAAAAGAAAAAUCUAUUUUAGUAUAUAUUCGAGAUUUCCUACAUCCAAUGGGAAUUCUUUCAACAAACAAUUAAGGCUAAAUACCAAAAAAAGCCCUUGAACUAUACCAUAAAAGUCAAUUAAGCCGCUAUCUUUUUACUGUGUUCAAUUAAGCCUUUGAACUUUUUAUUUUGGGUUAAAUAAACCCCUUUCACUAACUGUUGACUAACUUUUGUUAGUCAACUAUACAGUUGGCACUUUUUAUACCACAUCAUCUAUGUCACGACCCCAACUUUGGGCUUAUGAUCGACACAAGGAUCUAAUGAGAAGGUCCCACUUAGCUCAAACAAGCCUUAAAACAAAUAAACCGAAUCCACUAUUCAUUACCUCAUGGUAUGCAUCACCAUGGAAUGAAUAUAUAUAUAUAUAUAUACUAUCAACAAAAGUAGGAUCCGGUGCUACUAUUUCAAUUGCCUUCAAUUGUAUGCUCAAUUGAAUGAUAAGUGUCACUCAAUUGAAUGGUCUGUUUUUUUUUUUUUGGGUUUUGUUGCAUCGAAACGAUGUCGUUUUAAGCUUGCAUAUAUAUGAAGCAAAAAAUUUCCCAAAUAUUAAAGUAUAAAUAUAACAUUCUUUACAAAUAUAAGCAAAAUUCAGAGUAUAUCAAACGGACAAGUCCAACAAAGUUCAACUUAAAGAAAAGGUUCGGCGCCUACCAUAUGCCUUAUCAAUCACUUACUAAAACCAACAAUAAUAGUUACACCUAAAGGAUGGUGAGUCAAAUAGUCUAUUGAUCUAUAAACAAAAUAAGGGAAACUAAUGUGUGAGUCACAAAGACUCCAUAAGCAGAUGCAGGGAGAGGGAACAAGCGUAAACGGAAUAGUGUUUAUCAAAAUAUACUUUCAAAUUCAAUGUGAACAAGCAAGGUUCCAAAUAUAUCCACGUUUCAUUUCUCAAGCAUUAUUAAAUCAUUUCAAGGUAUUUCUAAUAAGUCUAUUAUAUAGAGUUAUCUUACACAUUUUUGGAACCUAAAUAGAGCUAAGUCCUUUAGUUUUUAAGUAAUUUAUAGGUAUUUUAUAUGCUUUCUUAGUAAUAGCUUAAUCUAUGUUAUAGCAUUUUCAUUUAAGCAAUUUUAGUUAAUUUCUGGUCAAAAAGUCGUAAUUUAAUCCCCUACUUAUUUAGUCUUUUAUUGUUGAAGGCGUGCAAGAACAUGGUGCUUAAAUGGCAAUGAAUGAUGCAAGUUGGUUUUAAGAGGGCUUGAACAUGUUGCGCUAUUUUGAGUUUAAUUUGAGCUAUAAAAGUCCGAUUGCCAUGAAUUUUGAACCAUUAGAAAGCUAAGUAAAAGGCCUACAACUUUCAUGUUUAUCACUUCAUCUAAUUCUAAUUAGAUCAUGGUCAAAAUCAUGAAGGAAGUAACUAAAUUGCAUUAGGGAUAGCACAGAGGCUGGAAUGCACAAGGCACCAACACAGCAGCUUCAAUGCCACAGCGCCAUGCUUCCAGCGUCACGACACUGCCCCUAUUAGCCAAAUAGCAUCAACACAACAAGCUUAGUGCCGACUCAUAACAAGUUUUAUUCUGCACCCUCCGAUAUUUUAAAUCAAAAGGAUAAGUUAGAGUGGUUUAUAAAAGGGCUUUUUUAGGCUGAAAAUGGAGGAGGUCAGAGCAGCUUUAAAAAAAAAUCAUUGCAAAAAAAGAAAGGAGGAGAAAGAAAAGAAGAUCAAGGCUAAAAAAUCUGUAAAAAUUUGUUUCUAUCUGGAUUUGUUCUUUUCUCACUUUGUUUUUUGCUGUCUUUAUGGUUUCUUUCUUGUGGAUGAUGUUUGCUAAGAAUAUGAUGAACUAAAUAGCUUUUUCUAGGAUUGUGGUUGAUCUCUUCAUGUAGUUUGGAUAUUUAACUCUCUUUUACUUAUUAUUAAUAGGUAUUGUGUUGUUUAUUUCAAAUCUAUGCUUAUUGAUUCGAAUAGCUCGAUCAACAAUUAGAUUGAUUUAGAUUUCUAAAUGCAACUUAACAAAGGGAGUUUAGAAUAUACCAAGGGUUUGAAUAUACCUAAAUAUCAUAUGCAGCCAAAUUUAGAGCCUAAGCUUAGUGAACCUCUCUUAAUUAAUUUACAUAAACAUAUGGAGAAUUAAUUAUGAGAGGUAUGUUUACAAGGAUCUCUACGGAAACUUAUAGAUAAAUAUGGACUCUAGGAUAGCAACCAACCCAUUGAUUUAAGUAUAAAGAGAGAGAUUAAAUUCAAAUGAAAGGUUGAGCAAUUCCAUAACUUAGAUUUUAAUUCAUUGAUUUUCUAGUAAUUUUUAGCAUUAACUCCCUAGUUUAGCUUUGUUACUUUAGUUUCAUUUGUAAUUAAGUUUCAAAUUAGAGUUACUUAGAUAAGAUUAGGAUGCCCAAUUUUAAUAUUUAGCAAGAAUUUAGACACAAUUCUCUAUGGAGACGAUACUUUUCUUACUACUAUAUUACUUGUGCGAUACGUGCGCUUACGUGUAUGUAAAGUCAACAACAAUUUCAAAUGUAAACGAAUCUUUUACAAAAGAUGGUAGUCAUUAACCAAGCUAUUUGUAUCUCAAAGUCCUUUUAAAAUAGUGAAAACUUCACAAAUAACCCUAAGUAUCGAUAUUCCCCACAAGCGUAUCAAUACUUUUCAAAUAGAAUUUCAUUAAAGGAUUUCUAGGUUCAAGGUAUCGAUACUUUUGUCAUAAGUAUUAAUACUUUCCAAACAGAAUGAAAUUCUAGAAACUUUUAAUGAACAAGUAUCAAUACCUCCUCUUGGAGUAUUGAUACUUUUGUUACCAAGCCUAAUUUUCAGCCAAAAACAAUAUUCCAAGUCCUCAAACAAGUCAAUAAUCGUUCUAGUUCAAAUUCUCAAAGUUCAAAUACCAAAAUCAAAGUACAUUUUCGAUUGAAAUAGGUUUUCUUCAACCACAGCUAAAUUUGAAUAAUGAUCAAAGAUUCAAGCUCAAAACUCUCAUUGUUAGUGUAAUAUUUCAAAUAAAUAAGUCUAAAAGGGGGCAAAUUGGGAUUUUUGAAAAAUUCUUUGCAAAUUAAGUGAGAAAAUGAUUCUCUUUGAAGCAAGUAGUAGCAAUGGAAAUCAAAGCAGAGUAAAAAUAAAGACAUAAGAUUUUUAUAUAGGUUUCGCUUUCUUGCCUACGUCUUCUCCUUUAGCUCACUAAGGAAUUUCAAAGCUACUAUGGAAAAUACUUUUUCAAGGCUCAAGCAUAACCUUUACAAUACCUUUUCAUAGAAUCAAGCACAACCUUUACAAUGCCUUUUCACAAGGAUCAAGCACAACCUUUCUACCUUUUACUUAGGCUAAGGUAUAACCUCUACAAUCAACCUUUAAUGGCUAAGGUAUAACCAAUACGAGUUUUAUAAUAAAUGAGUAGCAAUAAAUUCUUGGCUGCUAAGCCAAGUGUUUAAGCUUGAAAAGAGUAGGAAUAAGGAAUAUCAGAAAAUCAACAUAAUAAAUUCUUUGAAGGAAGACUUAAAUGAAGUAUGUGAAGAGAGUAAAUGAUCUCGAAGCUUUUCUUAAGUGUGGAAUGGUUUUUUAAAGUCUUCCUAUUCUUCAAAUCAACUGGGAACCUUCCUUUUAUAGUCUCAUUAAUUAAAGCCGUUAGAGUCUAAAUAGGGUAGUAAAUUGGAAGCGUUAAAUGCUAGUCCGCUGCAACUUUAGGAUCAAGCUUAGUGUUGAAGGUGUUGAUCAUGGUUUGAAUUUUUUCCUUGAAUUAUACUUGUUGGAUCUAGCUUUUAAAUGUUGAUGUUGAUCCUGGCUCGAUGUGUCUAAAUUUUUUUAUCUUCCUUCUUCAAGAAUUAAGCUUUGUUGUGUAAAUGUCAAUCCUUAGGGCUUUAGGUGGUUUUCUUCCAUUCUGUUUCAAAAUUGAGCUGCAAAACAUGAAUGUUGAUCUUCUAAGCUUGAAGUGCCUUUCUUGCAUUCUGUCUUAGGAUUGAGCUUCAUAGCAUGGAUGUCGAUCCGCAUUCAGAAGCCAUGUCAUUCUUGUGAGUGCCUAGGAUCAAGCUUUUUACUUGAAAUGUCGAUGCUUGUACAGAAGCCAUAUUUGCUCUUUGUUUCCUCUAGGAUUGACCAUUCAUCAUGUGGAUGUUGAUCCUCACAACUGAAAGCUCAAUGUUUUGAAAACCUUUUGAUUUCUUUUAAGUGUCAAAGGCUUGUCAAUCAUUUUUUUAAAUCUCAAGGAGUUAAUGAGGUAAAUCAAAUCAUUUCAAAUGCUUGUGUGCAAACCUUAAUCAAUAUAAUUUUAAAGCAUAUCACAUUCUUCCAAUACAAUAUCCAAAUAACUAAGCAAGUAGUUUGUGUAGCUCACUAUUAAGAUGAACAAUUGAAACAAAAUGGUAGGAUUGAAUCAACUACCGAGUAAAUACAAAGUUAUGCCAUAGCACCAAAUAAAACUAGUAUAAUCUCUCCAUCAUCUAUAUAACAAAAAGAUAAGACCAUGUCAACUACCUAGAAAAUACAAAGGUUGUCAUCACACUUUGAUGGUUCGGUACACAAAGUCACCGACAUCAAAUAUACUAAGCAUUUUGCACAAUGGAUAUCGUUUACUUUCGCUAGCUACAAGUUCCUAACUUAAUAGGCACCACUAAAUAAUUCUCCAAUUUCCAAGGUUAUGCAAAGUUUAUUUUGAAAGCGAAAAGGUGAAGUUGUUCACUAAUGAAAUCAAAGUGACUUAAUGCUAGAGUUUUCCUCACCAUUCUCAGAUUCCAAGUUAAUACUAAUUUCCAUCUCGAAAUUAAAGGAGUGAAUUUUUCACUAACAAUAUCAAAAUGACUCAAUGCUAAAGUCUUCCAAAAUCAUCUUCAUUUCAAAUUUUCAAAGUAAUUUAUUCAAUCAACCCAUAGACAAAUAUUUAGGAUUUUGAGGUAUCAAAACAUUCAAAGUUCUUGUUCCCCAUGCAAAAAACUAAAUACAUAAUAGGCAUAGUGUCACAACCGGAACCUCCAUCGGGCCCAUGACAACCGUCGCGACGUCUCGAUUGACACACAUUACCCGGAAUGCCAACCGGAACCCCACAAGGCUUACAUAUCAGUUUCUUUCCUUUCUUGUGAGCAAUUGUUUUUAAACAUUCCAUUUAAAACAAUUACCGGUCGUUUCUGACUCAAAUAAAUCCAAAGAUAAAUUUUUUUUUAAAAGGAUUUAUAGACAAAUAUCACUAUUCAAAAUAUUGAUUAAAAUAUAGCAUUUUUAUAUAAAACAAUAUUUAUAGAAACACGUGUAAGAAAUCUUUUGUAACGUGUAAGUAAAAUAAAUUCAUACAUACAAAAAUUUACAAAGUUAUAAUGUACAAUAAUGGUUACAACGACAAGUGGCCCAAAAUACACCCAGUGUUGGUGCUAGAAACCUACUGUCUGUGUGGUAGAGAUGUCAACUGGAAUCCUCAACAAAAUAGGGUAUCCACAAGCUACCACAAGCCUGAAAUGUUUGGAAAGGAGGUGGGUGAGAUUUUGCAAUCCCAAUGAGUAAACAGACAUUAUCAUAAAUAUCUAAAAGCGAUUAAUAUGGAGGCAAGUUUAAACAACAAUUUAUAAACCAUUUCAUAAGGUUUUUAAUUUAUUCCAUAAACCAUAAAAUAUUUAUAAUUUACCAAAAUAGUUGUUAAGGCUUAUGUAUUUUAUUAAAAACAAGGCUCAAGCCAAAACUAAUCCUCGGGGAUACCUUGGCCGAGGCAUCUAACCAAGUCCACCAAGGUUGUUAUAACAUUUACAUGUGAAACACAUUUUUAUUUUUAAAACAAGUCGUUCCUUGGCGUUGGCCGAGUUACACAUUCACGUGGGGGUUCGACGUGAAGUUAGCUCUAAUACUACCCCGGGAGUUACCCUCAUCGUCGCUACAAUCGGAGUAACUAUAUAAUCGGGUUUACCAUGCCCCUCUAAUAGGCAGUCCACGGAAACCCGUCAUUGCUGUGACCAACCCACCAAUUUUAAUAAAAUUUCGACAGUAUAACGUGACUUUUAUUUAUUUAUCUAGCCUGCAUAGUAAAAACAGCUUACAUAAAUUUUCCAAUACACUUACAAAAUAUAAUCACAUAUACUCAUAUCUCAUAAGCCAUUCAUAGGAAAAUAUAUAAUUUUCAAGACAGUUAACAGCCUCAAAUUACUCAAUUUCAUAAUCAACCCAAUAUAUCUUUAUUUGUCACAUUUAUUUGUAAAACAUCAAAAAUCCCGUUUUAAUCUCGUUUUCAUUUCAUAAAAUACAUAAAGAGCAUUUAAAAAUAAACUCUAGAUAAUUUACAAUAAUAAUAAGUUUACUCACCGUUUGUACAAAUUAAAAGCUUUCUAGGUGCCCCGAUAACUACUCGUCGGGUACGAUUUCUUUGCCUUUACCGGAAGGCUUUCUUCUUAGACACAUUGCAAAAAUUUACUCAAUUCAUCAGAUUAAUGCUAAAUCACUAUAUAAUUGACUUAAAUCCUAUACUAAUGCAUGGUAUGAAAUGCAAUAGCCUAAAACGGCUUAAACGCGGUAUUAACCUAUUUUUGGCACUUUACCCGAUAAAUUGCUAACGUGCUCCAUUUUAGCUCUAAAUCGUCCCAUUCUCUCUCCAACAUUUCUAACUAUUAAAUAUCAGCCAAUAACCUCUAAAAUCACCAAAAUCAGUUCACUUUCCUCCUUGGAAAAUUUGACCAAAAAAGGGAACAUUAACUCGGUAAAUUUUUCACUUUGUUUUUUAAUCACAUUUAACCAUUUUUCAUCAUUUUCUCUUCAUUUCUCUUAGAAUAAAAAUCAGAUUAUCAUCAUUGUACCUCAUUGCAGAUUCGGCCAAGGGUGGGUAUUGUGAAAAUUUAAUGCUUUCUUGCCCAAUUUAAUUUCUAAACACAUUUAACUAACUAAAACUAUCAAUUUAACUAAAAAUCAAAACCUAAAAAUUUCAAUUUCUCCCCCCUAGAAUUUCGUCCAGCCCUUGAUAUCACUUUUUGAUCUCUCUCCUCAAGCAUGCUAAAUGGAAAUAAAGGCAUAGGAAAGGUAGAAAUCAAGCUAAAAUCGAAAAAUCUUACCGUUAGACGCGUAAACGGGUAAAAAACGCGAAUUCUCCUUUGAAUUUUUCUAGUUUCCCUUUGUUUUCUUUCUUUUCUUCCUUUCCUCUCUAUUUCCUCUCUUGUUCUUCCUUAAGGCCGGCCAGCACUUAAAAUGGGGUUUAAAUGGGCUGACUUUUCAUUAAAAUAAUCUUAUAUCAUUAAUAAAAUGCCACAUGUCACUUUCCCAUUGGCCCAUUUUUAAAAUUUCAUCCAUUUGUUUCCAAAUUUUCACCAUACACUUGUCCCACAUAUCCAUAGCUUAGAUAAAAUUCUCAGACUUAUCCAAAGUCUCGGUGGAGUAAUUUUUGAAAUUUACACUUUUGCCCCCGUAAAAGUAAAAAAUUACAUUUUUGCCCAAAAAACUGAAAAAUUGCCGAUAGACAUAUUUUUCAUCCCUUAUACUCAUACAAUUCUCCAAUUUGUCAAAUUUGAUCUAAAUUCUCUCAAAAUCUCAAAUUUUGUCCGCGAAUGGUAAAAUUACGAUUUUGCCCCUACACUCCAGAAAUCACCAGAAUUAAACUUUUUCACUUCCUAUCAUUAAAUUAUACUCCAAAUAGUUAAUCUUGGUAAAAAAUUUCACUCCAUUAUCAAAUUAUUAUCUUAGGUGGUAAAAUGACGAUUUUACCCCUGAACAUCAAAAUUUUCAAUUUUACCCCUAAUGAACCCUUGAACUCCGAACAAUCAUUUUUAGUCAUUCCUUGACUAUAAAAUAUUAAAUUUCAUCCUACGAUUCCUAUUUGAACUAGUUCAAGGUUAAAUCAACUCAAGUGUACCGUUAGGUACGAUACCGGGUUUCGUCUUUUCUUAAGUGCUUUCCUAGCAUAAUAACAUGCUACUCAGUGCAUGUAUGUCAUGACAUGUGUUUAUAGGGUCGGGUUUUACACAUAGUUACAUAAUAUAUAUAACUUGCAUCAAACCAUUCUAAAUCAGCUUUUCACAUCACAAUCCUUGAAGUAAAUCAUUCUUCAUGGAAAACAUAUUAAAAUGCGAGGUUGUGGGCAAGGCAUGCCUAAUUAAAGACACCGUAUCCACCCACCUUGUUGAAGCAUGCUUUUCCCUUUAGCACAGUUCAUUAAAAGCUCGAACUCUCCAAAAUACUAACUUCUUCAAUCAACACUUAUCACAAAGUUUCCAUCACAAAUAUCUUAUUCUCUAACUAUGCUUUUAACAAAUAACCUGUUAGCCUUGAGUUACAUCAUGUUUUGAUUUGACAAAAAUUACAUGUUAUCUUGAACUUAAUGUCAAGCAUUUGAAAUUGUCUCAAAUAUAUUUCUAAUCCCCUAAGGUCACAUAAUUGUUUGAAAAGCCAUGCAUCAUUAGAAAAUAUCAUAAAAGCUUUCAAACAAUGCAUAUUCAACUAAGAAAACAAAGAGCAAACAUGCCUUGAAUUAUUAUUUGAUCGUAGGAACGAGGCAAGGAAGAAAUAGUUGAUGAGAGGCACCAAAAAGCUAAGGAAACCUCAAAACCCUAGUCAAGUGCGGACCCUAAAGAAGCUCAAGUCAAUCCAAAGGUAGAAAGAGUGAAAAACUUGAAGUAUACAAAGCCACAGUUGACCCUAAAGUGGCUAUAGUCGACUUUAAAGUAAAAAGCUCAAAAAUUAGAGAACUACACGACCAUAGUCGACCUUAGCCUUUAUGUAGUCAACCUUGGCUACUCUGAUGCAUGAAAAAGAGAGAAAUCAGGAGACAUAGUUGACCCUAGUAAAGCCAUAGUCGAUCAUAUUAGCCUAGACUUGCACAAAUCAUGGUCUUAGGAAUUGGAUCGAGUAGAGGAAGUUUAUACUUGACUAUAGAACCCUAAUUUGAGAAACUAGAACAACAUAGUCGACCUUAGGAUGUUGUAGUCAACCUUCAAGCUUCAGCAAUGGUUAGAUUUGAUUCAAACUUGUGUCUAACGGCUCCAUACUUCACAUUAACUAUAAAUAAAUGCCUUUGACUCACUGAAAGCAAGAGAAGACCUAAGAUAAAGUUUCAAACCCUAGAAAAACCUCCAAAAGCUUAUCCUCACUCUCUAACUUCAUUUUGGCCUCCCACCAAGCUUAAAAAAGUUCUACACUUGCUUUAUUUGAGUUAAUAUUUCUUCUCUCAUUACACUUAAGCUUAAACUUCUGGCACUGAACCUUUGUAGAGGCAUUUUCUUGCAAAACAUUGUACUCCUCUUGAAAAAGUUAUAGCUUAACCUUGAAAAGCUAUUUAUGGGUUUGUGGUUCAGCCUAUGAAAAACUAUUGUUGAAAGGUUUCACUUGAUCUCAUGAAAAAGCUAUUGUAAGGCUUUCUCUUGAUCUCGUAAAAAGCUAUUAUAAGGAUUUUGCUUGAUCUCGUAAAAAAAACUCUUGUGAAGGUUUCACUUGAUCUCAUAAAAAGUUUGUUUCCCUUAAUGGAUUAGAAAUCCACCCCCUUAAAACACUAAAGAAUUUCAAAUCCACUAAGGAAAAUGAGCUUUUUACAAGAUCAAGUGAAACCCUUGUUGGUCCCGUUAAUAUGUGCUAGAGGGGGGGUGAAUAGCACAAUUUGGCUCUUGACAAGAUGUGGAACUAAUUUUCAGAACUUAAGAAAGUAAAAACAUAGUAUAAGGUGCACAACAAUUUAGAGUGUUUUGGUCCAAGACCUACAUCCACUACCUUGAUUAUCCAACCAAGGAUUUUCUCAACGAUUCACUAAGAAUCAAGUGAAAUUCACAAGCUUUCACCAAGCUUUUACAAUGGCUUUUCACAAGCUCAGCCAAAACCUUUACACUAGUUUUUCACGGGCUCAACUAAAACCCAAAAUGGUUUUCCAAGGCUCAACCAUAACCUAUAACAUUCAAGCUUUCCCAAGCUUGAACAACCCCUUAGAGUGACUCCCUAAGUCUAAGUAUACAAGAAGAUAAGUUACAGAAAGUACCUAUGAUCACAAGUUGAUCUGAUUGGUACAAGAUUGAGUGCUAAAUACAAUGACAAAGAGUAAGCGUUUAAGUGCAGACAAGUGCAGUGAAGCUUUUUUUGUUUUUCUUCUUUCUAAAGCUCAAAUCUCAUUCAAGGCUUCUAAAAACUAGUUUCUCAUUGUUGGAAGACCUUUUUAUACUUGGAGAUGUAACUCUGAUGGUAGUUUGGCAGUUUAUAUCCAUUGGAAACAAUUGAGGAUGAGUUCUAGCCUUUAAUUUGUCUUGUAGUGUUCUAGUUCAAAAUGCAGACAGAGAGCUCUUAGUCGACUAACUUGGUUGACUAAGUUGAUUAUGUUUCUAGUUUGCAGAUUCUAGCAGAGGGCACUUAGUCGACUGACUUGGUUGACUAAGUUGGUUUUGUUUCUCAAACUCUUCAACCCGUUAUUUCUCCAAUUUGAAAUUUGGUCAACCAAUGUUCUUCCUUGUUAAACCAACAAGCUUCCUCCUUGUUGUUCAGUUACAUCUUGUUGAUUUUAUCCCUCUUUUUCUUUCAAAAAUACUCUUUGAAGAUUUAAGAAAUUAAUUUCAUGUAUUAAUUUCCUGCACACUUAAGUAAAAGAAUUAGACACAGAUAAAUGGGAAUGUUUUAUUAUCAUCGAAAACUAAUGGAGCCAACAACCCUCACAAUGCUCUUUCACAAAAUCAAGCAAAACAAUUGCAAUGCUUUUUCACAGGAUCAAGCGAAACCCUUCAACAUUGGCUUUUACAAGCUCAAUUACAAACCCACAAAUAGCUUUUCAAGGUUAAGCUAGAACUUUUAUAAUGAAGUAUAAAGUUUAGCGAGAAAAUGCCUCUACAAAGGUUGAAUGUUAGGAGUUUAAGCUUGAGUAUGUGAAUAGAAGAAAUAUCAACUCAAAUGAAGCAAGUGUAGAACUUUUCAAAGCUUGGUGGAAGACUAAAAUAAAGCAAAAGAGUGAGGAUAAGCUUUUAAAGGUCUCUCGAGGGUUUAAAACUUUAUACACGAUCUUUUCUUGCUCCCAAAUGGCUCAAAGGCUGCUAUUUAUAGCUAAUGUGAAGUUUGGAGCUGUAAACAGAAAUUUGAAUCAAAUCUAACCAUUGCUAAAGCUUGAGGGUCAACUAAAAUGCUCCUAAGGUUAACUAUGUUCUUCAAAUUUCUCAAAUUAGGGCUUCAUAGUCGAGUAUAGCCUUCCUCUACUUAAUCUAAUUUUUGAGAACAUAUUUUUGCAAGUCUAGGCCGUGGUAGUCGACUAAACCUUUACUAGAGUCGACUAUGGCUGUGUAAAGUCCUUUUUUUCUUGCUCUUAACUUGUCAAGGUUGACUAUACAUCGAGCCAAAGUUGACUAUGUUUGAUCAAUUCAAAAUUUUCUUAAGCUUUCUAGAACAGGGUUGAUUAUAGGCACUCUAUGUCACGACCCGGUACUCCCCUCGAGCCCGUGACAACCGCCGCGGUGUUCCGGUAGACACUUAUUGCCCGAAAUGUCAACCCGAAACCCCGCAAGGCUUUACUAUCAGUUUCUUUGUUCCCUUGUGAGCAACCAUUGUCAAAUAUCGUGUUCUAAAAGAUUUUAAGCUGUUUCCAACUUUAAACAAAUAAAAUAUUAAUUUUUCGUCUCACAGGGGUAUUUUGGUCAUUUUUNNNNNNNNNNNNNNNNNNNNNNNNNNNNNNNNNNNNNNNNNNNNNNNNNNNNNNNNNNNNNNNNNNNNNNNNNNNNNNNNNNNNNNNNNNNNNNNNNNNNNNNNNNNNNNNNNNNNNNNNNNNNNNNNNNNNNNNNNNNNNNNNNNNNNNNNNNNNNNNNNNNNNNNNNNNNNNNNNNNNNNNNNNNNNNNNNNNNNNNNNNNNNNNNNNNNNNNNNNNNNNNNNNNNNNNNNNNNNNNNNNNNNNNNNNNNNNNNNNNNNNNNNNNNNNNNNNNNNNNNNNNNNNNNNNNNNNNNNNNNNNNNNNNNNNNNNNNNNNNNNNNNNNNNNNNNNNNNNNNNNNNNNNNNNNNNNNNNNNNNNNNNNNNNNNNNNNNNNNNNNNNNNNNNNNNNNNNNNNNNNNNNNNNNNNNNNNNNNNNNNNNNNNNNNNNNNNNNNNNNNNNNNNNNNNNNNNNNNNNNNNNNNNNNNNNNNNNNNNNNNNNNNNNNNNNNNNNNNNNNNNNNNNNNNNNNNNNNNNNNNNNNNNNNNNNNNNNNNNNNNNNNNNNNNNNNNNNNNNNNNNNNNNNNNNNNNNNNNNNNNNNNNNNNNNNNNNNNNNNNNNNNNNNNNNNNNNNNNNNNNNNNNNNNNNNNNNNNNNNNNNNNNNNNNNNNNNNNNNNNNNNNNNNNNNNNNNNNNNNNNNNNNNNNNNNNNNNNNNNNNNNNNNNNNNNNNNNNNNNNNNNNNNNNNNNNNNNNNNNNNNNNNNNNNNNNNNNNNNNNNNNNNNNNNNNNNNNNNNNNNNNNNNNNNNNNNNNNNNNNNNNNNNNNNNNNNNNNNNNNNNNNNNNNNNNNNNNNNNNNNNNNNNNNNNNNNNNNNNNNNNNNNNNNNNNNNNNNNNNNNNNNNNNNNNNNNNNNNNNNNNNNNNNNNNNNNNNNNNNNNNNNNNNNNNNNNNNNNNNNNNNNNNNNNNNNNNNNNNNNNNNNNNNNNNNNNNNNNNNNNNNNNNNNNNNNNNNNNNNNNNNNNNNNNNNNNNNNNNNNNNNNNNNNNNNNNNNNNNNNNNNNNNNNNNNNNNNNNNNNNNNNNNNNNNNNNNNNNNNNNNNNNNNNNNNNNNNNNNNNNNNNNNNNNNNNNNNNNNNNNNNNNNNNNNNNNNNNNNNNNNNNNNNNNNNNNNNNNNNNNNNNNNNNNNNNNNNNNNNNNNNNNNNNNNNNNNNNNNNNNNNNNNNNNNNNNNNNNNNNNNNNNNNNNNNNNNNNNNNNNNNNNNNNNNNNNNNNNNNNNNNNNNNNNNNNNNNNNNNNNNNNNNNNNNNNNNNNNNNNNNNNNNNNNNNNNNNNNNNNNNNNNNNNNNNNNNNNNNNNNNNNNNNNNNNNNNNNNNNNNNNNNNNNNNNNNNNNNNNNNNNNNNNNNNNNNNNNNNNNNNNNNNNNNNNNNNNNNNNNNNNNNNNNNNNNNNNNNNNNNNNNNNNNNNNNNNNNNNNNNNNNNNNNNNNNNNNNNNNNNNNNNNNNNNNNNNNNNNNNNNNNNNNNNNNNNNNNNNNNNNNNNNNNNNNNNNNNNNNNNNNNNNNNNNNNNNNNNNNNNNNNNNNNNNNNNNNNNNNNNNNNNNNNNNNNNNNNNNNNNNNNNNNNNNNNNNNNNNNNNNNNNNNNNNNNNNNNNNNNNNNNNNNNNNNNNNNNNNNNNNNNNNNNNNNNNNNNNNNNNNNNNNNNNNNNNNNNNNNNNNNNNNNNNNNNNNNNNNNNNNNNNNNNNNNNNNNNNNNNNNNNNNNNNNNNNNNNNNNNNNNNNNNNNNNNNNNNNNNNNNNNNNNNNNNNNNNNNNNNNNNNNNNNNNNNNNNNNNNNNNNNNNNNNNNNNNNNNNNNNNNNNNNNNNNNNNNNNNNNNNNNNNNNNNNNNNNNNNNNNNNNNNNNNNNNNNNNNNNNNNNNNNNNNNNNNNNNNNNNNNNNNNNNNNNNNNNNNNNNNNNNNNNNNNNNNNNNNNNNNNNNNNNNNNNNNNNNNNNNNNNNNNNNNNNNNNNNNNNNNNNNNNNNNNNNNNNNNNNNNNNNNNNNNNNNNNNNNNNNNNNNNNNNNNNNNNNNNNNNNNNNNNNNNNNNNNNNNNNNNNNNNNNNNNNNNNNNNNNNNNNNNNNNNNNNNNNNNNNNNNNNNNNNNNNNNNNNNNNNNNNNNNNNNNNNUCAAAAAAAUCUUUUCUAAAAUUCUCAUUUUGUCCCCAGGUGGCAAAUGACCAUUUUGCCCCUAGUUAGUGAAAAUUCCUAUUUGACUCCAAAUUGAUCCUCAAACUCCAAAUUACCAUUUUAAGUCAUCCAUGAACUGUGAAACUCUUAAUCUCACCUUAAAAUUCAUAUUUGAUCUAGUUCGAGGAUUAAAUAAACUUUGUUGUACCUCUAGGUACAAUACCGACUUUUGUAAAUUUUUCGGGACUCUCCUAGCAUGCAAUCAUGCUAUCAUCACAUGUAUGUCAUGAAUAGUAUUUUAUAAGGUCGAGCUUUACACUCUAGGGUUGACUAUGGCUUUAUAUUCUUUAAGUUUUGCACUCUUUCUACCUUUAGAUUGACUUGAGCUUCUUAGGGGUCGACUCUUGACUUGUGUCUUGAGGUUUCUUUAGCUUUUUGGUGCUUUUCUUCAGCCCUUUCUUCUCAAAAAAGCCUUAAAUUAAUAUUUGAUUGUAAAAACAAGACAAGGAAGAAAUAGAUGAAGAGAGGCACCAAAAAGCUAAGGAAACCUGAAGACAUAAGUCAAGAAUCAACUCUAAAGAAGCCCAAGUCAAUCCAAAAGAAGAAAGAGUGCAAAACUUGAAGAAUUUAAAGCCAUAGUUGACUUUAGAGUGCUUAUAGUUGACCUUAUUCCAACAAGCUUAAGAAAAAUGAAGAAUUGAACAAACAUUGUUGACCUUGGCUCAAGUAAAGUCAACCUUGACAAAUCAAAAGUGUGAGAAAAAGGGCUUUACAUAGCCAUAGUCGACCCUAGCAAAGGUGUAUUUGCGUACCACAACCCAAACUUGCAAAAAUCAUGCUCUCAAGAAUUGGAUCGAGUAGAGGAAGGUUAUACUCAACUAUCGAGUCCUAAUUUGAGAAUUUGAAGAACAUAGUUAACCCUACGAGCAUUGUAAUAGACUUGAAGCUUUAGCAAUGGUCAAAUUUGAUUCAAACUUGUGUUUAAUGGAUUCAAACUUCACACUAGCUAUAAAUAGCCGCCUUUGAGCCAUAUGGAAGCAAGAGAAAAUCGGUGAUAAAGUUUCAAACCCUAGAGAGACCUCCGAAAGCUUAUCUUUACUCUCUAGCUUCAUUUUAGUCUUCCACCAAGCUUUAAAAAGUUCUACACUUGCUUCAUUUGAACUGUUAUUUCUUCUUUUCACACACUUAAGCUUCAACUUCUAACAUCUAGCCUUUGUAAGGGCAUUUUCUUGCUAAACUUUGUGCUCCAUUGUAAGGGUUCUAGCUUAACCUUGAAAAGCUAUUUAUGUGUUUGUGGUUGAGCCUGUAAAAACCAUUGUUAAAUGGUUUUGCUUGAUCUCGUGAAAAAGUAUUGUAAAGAUUUCACUUGAUCCCAAGAAAAAGCAAUAUAAGGGUUUCACUUGAUCUAGUAAAAAGCUAUUAUAAGAUCUUGUAAAAACUAUUAUGACAGUUUUGCUUGAUCUCGUAAAAAGCUCAUUUUCCUUACUGAAUUUGAAAUUCCUUAGUGUUCCUAGGGAGUGGAUGUAGGUACUAGAGAAAGGCAAACCACUAUAAAAAUCUCGUGUCUUGCUGUUAAGUUUUUUGCAUUGUGUUUUAUUGCUUGCAUUUAGCUUAGGAAAAUAUUUUGCUUAAUUCGUUAUUAUGCUUUGCUUGCAUUUGGCUUAGGAAAAUAUUUUACCUUGACUCAUUAUUUGGUCUUUUCAAUUUGUUAUUGAAAACUUGCUAAGGAAAAUUACACAUUUUAUUUUUGACACAAAAAGAAAUUUUUGGUUGUAAAAGUCUUGAUUUUUAUACUUCGUUUUCAAAAGAAUAUUUAAAUACCAAUUCACCCCCUCUUGGUAUAUCGCUUAUUGAGAAUUCUACACUAACAAAAAUAUUGAAGAAAUUUAAUAAAUAUGAUUGUAAACUCGUGAGUAUGCCUUAUGAUCCGAAUAUGAGACUAUGGAAAAAUGUUGGAGAGCUUGUUUCUUAGUUAUUAUACUAUCAAAUUAGUAGAACACUCAUGCAUCUCUCAAAUGCUAUAACACCUGAUAUAGCAUAGGUAGUGGUAAGGUUAAGUAGAUAAACCAGUAAUCUUGAUAUAAAUCAUUGGACGGCGUUGGAAAGGAUACCGAGAUUUCUAAAAGGUACCAUAUCAUUGCAUAUAAAGUAUUCGGGUUAUCCCACUAUACUCAAAGGCUAAAGCGAUGCAAACUAGAUCUCUGAUUCAGAUGAAACUUAAGCUACCAUAAGAUAUAUUUUUACAUUAGGUGGAGUUGCUAUUGCUUGGUAAUCUUCCAAACAAGCAUGCAUUUCUUGAUCCUUUAUGGAAUCCGAGAUGAUAGCCCUAGAUGCGACGGCACAACAAGCGGAAUGGCUCAAACAUUUAUCAAUGGAUAUUCCAAUUAUUGAAAAACCAAUUCCUAUGAUUUGCCUCCAUUGUGAUAACCAAGUUGCUAUUGUGAAAUGUAAACAAAAGAACUCAAAUAAGCAAAAGAGAUACCUGCGUUUGAGACAAAAAACAAUUAUGAGUUUAGUUAAAAAUGGAGCAAUCACGUUGGAUUACAUUCCUUCUUCGAAAAAUAUUACAUAUCCAUUAACAAAAGGGCUGGCUAGAAAGUAAGUCAUUGAAUAUUCAAGAAGGGUGAGACUAAACCAUUAAUUAGAAAUUAUUUCAAUGGUAACCCAACCUUUCUUACUAGAAAUCCCAAGACAAAGGUUCAAUACAGUAAAAACAAACUAUUUAGUGAUUGAAUAAGUACCAUCUUUUAAGAGUUUUAUAGUCCCACUUUUAUUUUAUGGCACUUGAUGUACUGGUUAGAAAAAGUACAUGCUUUGAAUGAGUUUGUAGCAAAUUAUGCAAGACAUGCUUCUGUUACACAUGUCCAUCAAGAACUCACCUAUUUGAGUGUAGUUGUGAGGUCGCAACCUAUGAGAUUGGGCUUUUCUCUAGAGUUCUUAAAAAGAAAGAUAUGAGUGCAAGGUCCUUAAAGCAUGACCCCAAUAAAAUCUUAUAUGAUGUGUAUAAUGAAUUAAAGCUCGAGCUAAAAGAUCCUAAUUCAAGAAAUAAGUUCACUACGGUUUUUUCAAAUGGAUUUUCUCAUAAUAAGUGAGGUUUAAGUCCACAAGACACCUUCACCAAAUACAUUGUAAAAGUCUGUUUUUGUAUUUCUUAAAUUUCGAAUCAUAUGGGGGCUUGUUAGCUUUUUAUUUAAAUUCUUAUUUUAUUUUGGUGAUUCAAAAUUUAAUGUGUCCAUUGGGAGACGUAUGACCUUUGAUUGUAGAAAGGAAUGUCUUUUUAGAAGGAUACAUUUGUUCAUUUCAUGAAUAGGUGUGUUUGAAUAAACAGGCAUGUUGGUGAUGUUUCACUAUCUAUAAAUACACACUCUUUUUUUAAAAAAAAAAUCAUUUUAAGCAUUCCAUGUUUCAAAAAACUCUAUUCUUCUUCAUUCUAAAAUUCGUUCAAGAGCAGUCGAAAGAUUUAUGAGUUUGCCAAAUUUUCUAUUUAAGUGUAUAUUAGGAGAUCUUUGAGUGGUUCAUUGUAUCAUGGAAGUACGAUGUCAACAAUUGCUAUUUGCACCAAGGUAGCAACGAAAAUUUACUUUAAAGUCAGCACCUUCCAUAGGUGCCUUGAACCGAUUUUCACAUUCAAACUCUUUCUCAUUUCUUUUUGUUGUUAAUUGUUGAGUCUUUAUUAUUUCUUCGUGUGUUUUUUAUUUUUUCGUAUAUAGAUUCCAACAAUAGUUGCAACCUUUAUCAUGAAGAAGAAAAUAACAAAACAAAGACAUGAUGCCCAAACAAUUGAAAGUGAAAAGGAAUUCACCAAGAAAUACCAUUUAUUGAAGAAAAGGCUAUUGAUGAGAACAAAUUUACGAAGUUGACUGGAAUUGAAGAUCUACUAUGAAGUAUGUGAUUUGCAGAUUUAGGCACAAAUGCAUUUGCCUGGGUUCCAAGGUUUUAAUUUACAGGUGAGAAAUGAAUGUUAACUCAAUCUUCAGAAAAAGUUUGAUACAUAUUUAUUGGUCCCAAAAGGAGUGUUAGAAGGGGGUGAAUAGCACUUUAAAAUAUUUUAAAGGUAAAUCAGAAAUUUAAAAAAUCGAUUGGAAGAUUUAAAAUGGAUGGUUGAGAACUUGUAAAGGUUAGUGAACACCAACUAAAGAGAGGUUAAGAGAAGUGGACAAAAUACAAUAUUUAUAGUGGUUCGGUCCACAUGACCUACAUCCACAACAUUGAUCUUCAUAAUCAAAGAUUUUCCACCCAACUUCACUAGAACCAAUGGAAUUAACAGCUUCCACCAAACUUUUACAAGGUGAGUUUCUAACCCAAACUCCAACCUUUUUACAAUAAGUCCUAAGCUUACCUUAGCUUAGACUAUCCUUCAAAGUGUCUUGCACAAUCUAAGUAAAAAAGAAAUAAACGAUAAAAUGGGGUAUAACUGAUCACUUAACUUAUCUAAAUUAUACUAGCUUUAGCUCAAACACUUUCACAAAGUUAGGAGUGGAAUACAAGUGUAAAAGAGAAGGUUUUUGCUCUUCUAAGUUUUUUCAAACUCUUUUGAACUUUUCUUUUUCAUUUUUGACAAUUGGAGAACUGUUAAAUACUUGAAAAAUACUUCUAGCCAUUGGAGACAAAAACUAGCCAUUACAAACAGUUUCUGCCCAUUAUUUUGUCCUUUUGUGCUUAAAUUCAAACGGACAACUUUAACCGAUUAAACCUCCUCUGACUUGCACUGUCUAGCAGCUCUUUUCACUGUGUUAACCGAUUAAAGUAAGCUCUAACUAAUUAAAAACAUUAUGUUUUAAAACAUCUUCAUGCACUGUUUUUGGCCAACCUUCUUUCAACUAAUUAAUACUCUUUUUAACUGCUUGAAGCUUCCUCUUCUUUCAUCCUUAACUGAUUAAAUUAUGCUUCAACUGAUUAAGAAAUCUUUAAUUUUGAAUUUCUUCGUUUGGCUCCUUUUAACAAUCACUCACUCUUUGAAUUUAAAUUUUGGUGUUUCUUGGUACUUCAAACUUGAGAUUUAACCAAUUAGCUCCUUUGCUUAACCGAUUAGCAAGCUUUUGUGUUUCGCUUCUAAUACCCUCUUAAUCAGUUAAGCCUUGUGCUAACUAAUUAAGGCUUUUCUCUCUUAUUUUUUAUAUAUAGCCCAGAUUUUCCUUAAUUGAUGAAGGCUUCUUGUUAAUCAGCUAAUAAUGUUUUGUUUUCACUAAGUCCUUUCUUUUUUGCCUCUUUAACUGAUUAACUCAUCUUGCAGCGGAAUAGGCAUCUUGACUUAUUUUCAAAUAACAUAUAUGUUAAGAAAUUUAAGCUUUCUCCUGCAUGCGUAAAUAAUAUAAUUAGACACCAAUAAAUAAGAAAUGUUUUGUUAUGAUGAAAAAUAUAUGGAGUCAACAUUCUCCUCUUUUUUGAUGAUGACAAAACACCUCUCGAUUAAGAAUGCAAUAUCUAUGUUAACUUUGUUUCUAUGUGCAGUUAAGGGAUUUUUCCCUCUUAAUAUAUGCUCUUAGUUUUCUUUAAAGAUUUGCAAGAAAAUAUUCACAAUACCCACAGUAACUAAGUAAGAUAUAUUCAAUAUCCAUAAUAACUAACACAUAAUAUUCAACAAAACCAUAAGUAAGCAUCACACACAAAUUAAACAUAAAGCCUAGAAAACGCUAUUUAACUUAGUCUUCGUUUUCCCCCUCUUUUGUCAUCAUUAAAAAGUAUAUUCAAAACUCCCCCUUAAUGAAUGCAUCAAGAUUUUUCUUUACUCUUUAAAUUAGACUUUAAUGAAUGAUAAUCAUAAGCACCCAUACCAUUAAGUCAUACAAGCUUAUAGAUAUAGUUUAAUAACUUCAAGAGUCAAGCUUGUAGCUAUAUAAGAACAAAUGUUUGAGAGUUAAAUCAUUUCAAAAACUUGUCAAGGAUCACUCAAAUAAUUGUCAAGCAAAUUUGAUCAUUUUGUCAUAAUCAAAACUAUAAAAAUUUUAAAGCCAAUAAUUUCUCCUUUUUUGAUAUAAUAAAAUUAUGAGCAUAAUUUUCAUUUAAAAUGAUUUUAAAAUCUCCGAUUCAACAUAUUUGCUCAUAAACCUUUUUUCCCUCUUUGUUAUAUCAAAAAGUUUAAGAAGUGUGAGCAUUUAACACUUACGUUCAAGAAAUAAUGGUUAGGAAAAAUAUCAAGAAUAUAAGCAUUAAGACCAUAAAGCCGCCAAGUCAUCAUAUAUAUGCACUUAAUAACCUUAACCAAGUCAUUAAGAAAUAUAGCCAUUAAACACAUUCAAGUAGUAAUUCAUCAAGAAAAUCAUCAAUAAGAAUGCAACGUGUGUGUGUGUGUGUGUGUGUGCAAGCGAAAUGUGGACAUAAUAUUUAUGAAGUUCAAGAAAGAUAAGCAUAAAGAUGUUCUAUAAGCACGUAAGUCAUAUUUCAGCUCCAAUACCAAGUGUUAAAACUCAAUAUACCAAUUGAUAGAUAUAAAUAAAAUCUCCCUUAUUGUAAAAGCACAAUAUCAAUUAUGGAAUCAUUUUAAAGCUCAUUAUAUCAAUUGGUAAAGCAAUAGUAAAGACUUCCCUUAUCAUUAAGUAUUCCAAAUAUAUCAACUUCAAGGAUCAAACACAUUUAGAAAAAACAUGAUCAAUUUAAAGCUCAAGCGAGAAGAAACAAUUCUAAAGCUUGAUGCUAAAUUUAAAGCUAGAUACUAAUUGAGAAAACUUAAGGCUUGAUACCAAUUAUGCAUUUCAACAUUCAAGUUUAAGUGAGAAGCAAUAUAAGGCACAAUAUCAAUUUUGGUGUUUAAAAAAAUGUUACCGAUAGUGAAGAACACCAAAUAUUAAAUUCUCACCAAAUCUAUUAUUGAAGAUCUCAAUUCCUCCAUGAUAUCAAUGACAAUGAUUUACUCCCCCUCAAGAAAUCAAGAGCUCAACACAAAUUGUUAGAGAUCCUUAGUGGAUCAAAUAUUAGGAGAGAAAUCAUGAGCCUAGAAUAAAUGAGCAUUCAAGUGGAUAUUAAAUUUAUUUCCCUAAUACUUAUGUAUUCAUGGAACCAAAAGAAUAUGAGCAUUUGAUUAGAUGUUCAACAUAUGCAUCAAAUACUCAUAUUUUCAAGAAAUAUUUGCAAAGUAGUUUCUAAGCAUGUCUAAGGUAUCAUUAGUCUUCAAGCAUCAUUCUCAAUUAUCAUCAAGUAUUAUCAAUAAUUAAUCAUCAUCAAGCAUUCAUUAUUUAUUCUCAAUAUCAAUCAACCAAGCAGUAUCAAUCAAGCAUUUCCAAGGAAUUCCCUAAUUCAUAUAUAAAAAUAGCAACUUAAGAAGACAUUAAAAAAUAUCAUUAUUAAGCAUUUUAGUGAGUAUUCUUCCAAAUCAUUUUCAAUCGAUCAUUCAUCAAGUCAUUUUGAAGCAAGCAUUGCAAGAUGUAUUCUCCAAAUUAUAUUUGAAAUUAUCAAUUCAAGGAGAACUUUCACAAAAGGCAUAUAUUAAUGAGCAUGAACAAAGCAUUUUGCACUUAUUGCAAUCAUGUAAGAGAAUAUUGUGAUCAAGUAAGCAAUAGCAUGAUUACAAAAAAUAAAAUGGCUAUCUUCAUUAAUCAUGAUUCCAAUUUUCAAAAAUAUAUAGACAUAUACCAAAAAAAAAAUACAAGCAUUGAACUUUAAUGUGGUACAUGCUAUUUCUCAAUAUUCUUCAUAAUUCAUGAGUGAUACUAAAUAAAAAAUUUGAAAAUAAAGCACUAAACUCAUGAAUAUGUUCAAAGUGAACAUCCAAGCAUCAAUGAAUACCAAUUGUCUAGAUUCAAGAAAGAGAUUAGGCAUUCACUGCUAACAAAAGCUGUAGGCCAUAUUUCAUUUGACAUGUCAUGUUGUUUAUGGUAACCUAUAAGCUAAAGUUAGAUGCACACAAAAUCUUUAGAUCAUAUAAACAUUAAGGCUCAAUGAAGACAUAGUUAACAUUUAAAUGCAUAUUCAAAAUAAAUUUCAACUAUGUCAACUCACCAUAUAUGUCAUGAUCAAACUUGACUUGAGUUUUGCAAUUAAGAAUUAUAAGCAAUUCUAUCACUUAAGUCAAGUUAUAGUCUUCAAUCAUUAAAGUCAAGUAAGAUUAAAUGUCAUGUAAGUAUGUGACCUAACCAAUACUAUAACACCAGACCCUAAAUUAUCUGUGAUAUAUCAUUCACAUGCUUUGGAUAGCAUGUUUGUAUAUUGAAUUGCCCCGAAAAACAAGUUAAAUGAUUGUAUUACCCCUAAUGGUACGGUUCAGUCAAAUAAGUCUUGAACUAGUUUAAAUAGAAAAUCGAGGAUGAAUUUGAGAAAACUAAAACCCAUGGGUUGAUUUAAAAUGAGGAUUCAGAGUUUGAGGUCCGAUAUGGAGUUAAUCCGGAAUUGAAGUAUUCUAAGGGCAAAAUGGUAAUUUACCACCUGAGGAUGAAUAUGAAAAUUUUUAAUCCCGUUUGAUUAAGAUUGAUUAUAUUAAACUUAUUGGAGUAUAAUUUGAGGGUUUGGCAGUGAAAAAGUUUAAUUUCGGUGAUUUCUAGAGUAUAGGGGUAAAAUCGUAAUUUUUCCACCCACGGGCAAUUAUUCAGUUUUUGGGGCAAAAAUGUAAUUUUUAACUUUUACGAGGGUAAAAGUGUAAAUUUUAAAAAUUACUCCACCAAGACUUUGGAUAAGUCUGAGAAUUUUAUCUAAGCUAUGAAUAUGUGGGACAAGUGUAUGGUGAAAAUUUGGAAAUAAAUGAAUGGCUAGAAUUUAAGGAAUUAAUAAAACAAAAAAAAUGAAUAAAAUAAUAUUAUAUUAGUUUAGCCUUUAAAAAUGUCAAAAUUCCAGAAUUCUCAUCUUCUUCAGCCGUCCAAACCAGGAGAGAAAAAGGGGGAAAAGAAAUAAGAACCCUANNNNNNNNNNNNNNNNNNNNNNNNNNNNNNNNNNNNNNNNNNNNNNNNNNNNNNNNNNNNNNNNNNNAAAAUCAAGAGAAAUCAAGAAAUCAAGCAUUAAAAAGGUAAAUUUCAUUGAUUUUCCUUGUGAUUUUCACUACCCAUGCAUUUUUUUCUCAUUUUCAUGCAAAAUUAGAAAGUGGGUAUGGACACCCAUGCUGGCCAAACCUCCAUGGAUGAGUUUUGAACUUGCGUUUUAGUUGAUUUUAAUUAAAUUAAGUGAUUUUAGUUAGGUUAUAUUGAAAUAUAGCAAAAAUAAGCUAGAGAAAUAAUUUUCUCCCAUUGAAACCCAUUAUGCCGAAUUUUCUAAGGGAAUAUUGGCUGCUGAUCUUGAUGUUUAUUUGAGGAAUUAUGAUGAAUAAUGAUGAAUUAUGAGCCUAGAAAAAUAAUGAGAAUUUUCGGAGCAAAAAUAUGAAUUUUUACCCACUAGGGGUAUUUUCGUAAUUUGCUAUCGAAACUGAUAAUUUGCACCACACUGAGGAACAUUAAGUCAAUUUGGGUGCAAUUGAGGUAUAGAAACUGAAAAAAUUAAUUUGGAGUUUAAACGGACGCGUAUAUCGAUUUAUUGGGUAAAAGACCGAAAUAGGCUAACAUCUCGUUUAGGCAAAAUUUAGACAUUUUGCACUUCAUAUCAUGCAUUAGUAGUAUAAAUUAGUUUAUUUUGGUUUAGUACCAAAGUAGUAAACCUCUUAAUUGUGCAAUUUGUCAAGGUGGCGAAUCCUCUGGCAAGGGCAAAGAAAUCACACCCGAGGAGUAAUAGUUGGAGUACUCGAAUUUAGUUUUCGGAAACUGUGAGUAAACUUACUAUCGUCUUAAUUAUCUAGAGUAGUGUUAUACAAUUGUGUGAUUUUAUGAAAAAUGGGUUUAAAUGGUAAAUUGCUAUGUUUUAAGAGAAAUUGUGAUUUUAUAAAAUGAUUUUAUAAAUUUUUUGAAAAAUCGAAUACUGGUUUUGAAAAUAGAGUAAUUGGAGACUGUCUGCUUGUGUUGUAAAUUUAUGGUUUUAAAUUGAAUGGCUAAUGACAAUAAAUGAGCAUGAAUGGCUAAACUGAUUUUGGUGUUAGAAUUAUUUGUACUGUGUAUUUAGCCUUGAGAGGCUAGGUUGCGAAAGAUUGCCAUGUCAUGCAGAAAAAGAUCUUAUAAAUCAGGUGGUAGAUAAAAGAUUAGCUACUGCAGUAGUGGGGGGUUCCGUGGGCCAGCCUAUUAGAGGGGCACGGUAAACUCCUUUAUAUUCUCACCUCGGUCGUAGAGGCGCGUAGGGUAUCUCCUGAGGUGGGCUUUUUGAGUGCACUUCACGUGGACCAUCGCGUGAGAGUGAGACUCAGCCAACGCCAAGGAACGGCUAUGUUUCAAAAUAAAAAUAUGAUUUAUGCGAAAUAUGAAUUUUGAAUAGCCUUGGAGGACUCGGUUGGAUACCCUUGGUCCAGGUGUCCCCGAGUACAAGAUUUAGCAUGAGCCAAGUUUUGAGUAAUUCACGAGCCAUAUUGAUUAUUUGGUUGAAAUGAAUAUUCAUGAUGUGAAAAAUUUGCUGAAGUUAAUUAUUUUUAAUUGUCUCCAUUUACUCGCCUUUAGAUAAUUUAGAUGGUGUAUGUUUACUCACUGGGAUUUUAUAAUCUCAUCACCCUCAAUUCCCCACAUUUCAGGUUCGGGAUAGCCGGUAGAUAGUCGAUUGCAUCAAGGACUUCAGUUAGCCUUGCAUUGUCAAAAUUAUAGGUUCACAGACUCGCAUCUUAUUGGUUAGUUGGGGGUCCACGUGUCAUUGUAAAAGUAAUUUUAUACUUUCGUUAUCUGAUUUAAAAUAUGUAUGAACAUAUUUAGCUUUUACACCAUGUUUUUGACGAGUUUCGAUAUUAUCGAAGAAAAAUGACGAAAAUACCCCUGUGAGUCAGAAAAUAAUAUUUUAUUGUUUUGAUUUGGAAACGACUUAUGAUUUCUUGAAAUGCAAGAUUUAAUAACUAUCACUCACCGGGGAGAUGCGAAAGCUGAUGCUAAGCCUUGCGGGGUUUCGAUCGCCAUUCGGGGUAAUGAAUGCCUAUCGGGAUGUCGCAGCGGUUGUCACGGGCCCGAUGGGAGUUCCGAGUUGUGACAAAUACAAUAGAUGAACCCAAAAAAAAAAUAUUUCAUUAAGUUCAAUGAUUUCAUCCUAGUCAAUUUUAUGAGCCUAGACAAUGAUUCAAUCAUGAAACAAUCAUUUAAGUACAAACAUGAAACAUGUUUGAAGAAUUAUUCCUAGACUAAUCAUUUGAACAUUUCAAUUCUCAAGAUAUGAUUUUUCAAUGUAAGCACAUGAGAAAUAAUAAAAUCAAGCACUUAUGAGCAAUUUCUCAUUUUUCAAAUUUUGUCAAUUAAUCACAAAAGAAUUAAUAAUAUCAAUAUGAGCGUCAUGUUUUGGAAUAAACGAAUUCAGGCAUUCAUGAGAGUUAUCCCAUUUUUCAACAAGUUUUGCAAUAUCAAGAACAUGUGUUACCUUUUCAAAAAAAAAAAAGAACAUGUAUUUACACCAAAUGAUCAUGAGAGUGUUCCUAAUACACAUUUUUAAGGGCCAAGAUUUUUUUUUAAGCUAACACAGAAUCACUUUAAUCGAUUAAAGCCAGCUUUAUUCGAUUAAAGUGUAUUUUAAAAGUAGGUUUAAAAACUCAAAACUGUUUUAAUCAAUUAAAACAUUUUUUUAACUUUAAAUCUUAACUUUGCACAUAUGCAAAGUAAUCAAUUUAAAAGACUUCUUAAUCAAUUUAAAAUCAUAUUCAAAUCAAUUCAAUAAAAAAGAACAAAAGGUUUAAUCUCUCUUUUAAAAAUUAUUGCACUUAAAACACACAUGAUUUGAGUUGGACAUACUUUGUGUAAAAUCAUGAGCUCAAUGUCAUUCAUUUUGUUUAAUUAUACUCUAAAUGAUUUAUGAAAUAUGCAAUGAGUAUAAUGAAUCAUGUUUAUGCAUGUCAAGGGUCAUUUUCUAAUUUCUCACAAUCAUAUGCCCAAAUGCCCUUAUGACCAUUCAAGCUUACAAGUAAGAAUGCACAUCCAAUAAGAACAAGUCAAUAAGUAUUUUCAUCAUGAAACAAACUUGUCCAAUUCGUAAAUCAUUAUAAACUUAAAGAUGGCAAACAUUUUUCUCCUAUAAGCUUAUCUUGCUUUAAAAAUACCAAUUCAAGUAGUCAAAGCUUAUCAUACACAAUUUUAACUAACUUGAAACAUUCAAAUGAGUCUUAAAUGAUAAAGCAAAGUUGUUCAAGUGGUUAAAUUAUCUUAGACACAAGGAAACACAAAGUCAAAUCUUCAAACUCAAUUUUCCUUGUUUAUGCGACUAGAAUAGGAAAUUAGGCAAAUCAAUCUAUUAAUCAUAUUAGCCACUUAACAUGCUAUAAACAUCAAAUCUUUUAUGCUUAAAAAUAUGCUCAAAAAUCAUUUUUUCAAAAAAAAAUAUGAAAUCAAUUUCACAAAACAUGAGAAAAUUAUAUCAAAACAAUUUUCCACAAUUAAGCAAAAUCAAUAAAACAAACAAGUAAUUUUAAAAAAAUGAAUAACUUUUGACAUAAGCAUGAGGAUAUAAUCAAGUUCAAAGAUAAGCACACACUCACUAUUCAAGCUCAUAUUUCCUUCAAAAUUAUGCAGUUUAUGGCAUCUAUCAUAUGAAAUCAAAUUACAUAACCAAAAUUUAUCCAUAAAGAUCCAAUGAGAAUAGACAAAGAAUUAUACACUUAGAAUUUAAGGAAGUAAAGGCAAUCAAAGUUCUCAAUUAAAAAGGCAAACAAAAACCAAGCUAAAUCAAUCAAUCUCAAGAAUUUGAUAACCAAGCAAAAUAAAAGCAAACAACCAAAUAUCACAAUUUGACAAAUAAAUUACUUUUGGUAUAGAAAUCACCCAAUUUUCAUUCUGUCUAAAGGGCAUUCAAUCUUCAAGAAUUUGUUCAUCCUUGCUCUAGCACACCUACAAGAGACACCUUUCAUAUGAUCUUUAGUAUCCAAAUUGCUUUGGAUCCUUUAUAGUUAGUCUCAUUAUACAAAGUUCCUUUUGGAAUCCACACUUGUUUAACUUUAUAAGGUAAAUAUUUCUUAAUUGACCAAGUGUGUGAAAUAUGACCAUGAAAGUUACCAUAAUUGCAUUUGGUCAUCUUUGAAAGCGGGGAAUUCAUGAAAGCUUUUUGCAUUUCAUUUGUCAAAUUUGCAAGCUUUAUUUUCACAUAUAAAUUCUCUUUUCCUUAAACAAUCUUUGCCUUCAUUAAGAAAUCAUUUUCAACACUAAAUUUUGAAAUCAUUUUUUUGUAUUUCAAAUUCUUUUUCUCAUAUUCACAUACAUAUUUUCAAACCUUUUGCCAAUGGAUACAACUUUGUUAAAUCAAUGUCAAUCACAUGGCAUACAUGAGAAUCACAAAGAUGACUAAUGCUUAAUAAGUUAUGCUUUAGACCUUUAACAAGAAAAACAUGAUUGAUUUGAGUUUGAGAAGUAUUACCAAUUGUUUCAAUUCCUUGGAUAAUACCUUUGAAGUUGUCACUAAAAGAGACACCAUCGUUUUUCUUUCUAUCAAGCUUGACAAAUAAAUUUUCAUUUCUGGUCAUAUGCCUUAAGCAGCCACUAUCCGAGUACCAAGAUUGCCUCUUAUUUGGUUGAGCUUUCAAACAUUGUUCCUUUUGCCCUUGCUCAAUCUACAAAAUAAUUUUUCGUUUCUUUUUUAAAGGUACCCAUGCUUUGGUGGGUCUUUGAGGGUUAGCAAGCACAUAAGAAUCUUUCGGCACCCAAACCAUCCUGGUUUUGAGGUUAUUACCCUUAUGAUAACAAUCAUAAAAAAUAUGACCUCUCUUACCACAAGCAUAACAAUAUAAUGAAAAUGCAUCAUUUUUCCUUCUAAAAAAAGCAUUUCUUUUUGGUUUUUGUUCUUUGUACAACUUCCAUUUUGAGCUCUCUUCUAUUAAAGCUUUAAGAGCAACAUUCUCAUCCAAUGCCUUUUGUAAGGCCUCAUUUUUGCUCUCUAGUUUCAACAUCAAAGAUUCAAAAUCUGUUUUGAAAUGCUGUAGCUUAAUUUGAAAAACAUUUCUCUCAAGUUCUUCAUUUUUGACCAUCAAGCAAAAGUUGGCUCUUACUUCUAUUUCUUCCUUAGUUUCCUUCCUUUCUUCUUUUUCCAUCAUCUCUUGCUCAUAUGUGAGCAGUGAGCCAUAUAUCUCAUCUAAGGUGAUGACAUUAAGAUUUUUGACUUCUCGAAUUGUUGUCAUCUUUAGCUUCUAAGCCUUUAGUAAACUUCUAAGCAACUUUUUACCACUUCUUGUUUGAAAAUUUCUUUCUCAAGUUGCUUGACCUUGUUGACAAUGUUUGUGAACUGAUCAUAUAUGGUUGUGGUGUCUUCUCGUGGUUUCAUCUUGAACAUAUCGUAGUUGUGAGUGAGAAAAACAAUCUUAGACUCCUUAACUUAUGAAGUCCCUUUAUGAAUGAUCUUCAACUUCUCGUAGAUUUCUUUAGCUAUUGUACAAGUAGAAACUUCAUUGAACUCGGCAAAAUUUAGUGCACAAUGGAGAGUGUUUAUGGUUUUGAAGUUUAUUUGAACUUUUCUCAUUUCAACUUCGGUUCACUCAUCUCUAAUUUUAGGAGUUUUCUCACUAGUGACAAGAUCAAUUUUUGUAAGAACAUAAAGACUUCUAGUGAUGACAUCCCACAUUUCAUAAUCCGUAGCCCUUAUGUAGAUGGAUAUCCUAAUACUCCAAAAUUGAUAGUUUGUUCCAUCAAAUAGAGGAGGCUUAUUUGUGGAUUGACCUUCUAUAACGUUAAAAAUUUGGCUAGCCAUUGAUCUACCCUUCAAGAUGUAAAGUCUAAAUUUCAAGAGUUAGGCUCUGAUACCACUUGUUGUUCUCGAAAAGAAUGCUAAAAUGGGUGAAUAGCACUUUAAAAAUAUUUUGAAGGCAAAUCCAGAAAUUUUAAAAUCGUUUUGAAUGUUUAAGAUUGAUGGUUGAGAAUUUGUGAAGGUUAAUGAACACCGAGUAAAGAGAGGUUAAAAGAAGUGGACAAAACACAAUAUUUAUAGUGGUUCAGUCCACUUAACAUACAUUCACUACCUUGAUCUUACCAAUCAAGGAUUUUUUACCCAAUUUCACUUGAACCAGUGAAAUUAAUAGCUUUCACAAAGCUUUUGUAAGGUAGACUUCUAACCUAAGCUCCAACCCUCUUACAACAAGUCCUAAGCUUACCCUAGCUUAGAUUACCCCUUAGAGUGUCUUGCACACUCUAAGUAAUAAAGAAAUAAAAGAUAAAAUGAGCUACAAAUGAUCACCUAACUUAUCUAAGUUGUACAAGCUUCAAUCAAACACUUUCAUAAAAAUAGGAUUAAAAUACAAGUGUAAAAGAGAAGGUUUUUGCUCUUCUAAGCUCUUUCAAACUUUUUAAAACUUCUUUUUUUCAUUUUUGACUAUUGGAGAGGCUUUAAAUACUUGAAAAAUCACUUCUGACCAUUAGAGACAAAAACUAGUCGUUAUAAACAGUUUCGACUCGUUAUUUUGUCCUUUUGUGCUUAAAUUCAAAUACGCAGAUAAUGUUCUAUUAACUAGUUAAAGCGUGGAAUACAAGUGUAAAAGAGAAGGUUUUUACUCUUUUAAGCUCUUCCAAACUCUUUGGAACUUCUUUUUUUCAUUUUUGAAUGUUAAAGAGGCUUUAAAUACUUGAAAAAUCAAUUCUGGCCAUUGGAGACAAAAACUAGCUAUUACAAAUAGUUUUUACCAGUUAUUUUGUCCUUUUGUGCUUAAAUUCAAAUGUGCAAAUAGUGUUCUGUUAACUAGUUAAAGGUAAGCUUUAAUGGAUUAAACCUUCUCCAACUUGCACUGUCUGGUAACUCUUUUCAUUGUGUUAACCGAUUAAAGAAAACUCUAACCAAUUAAAAACAUUUUAUUUUAAGACAUCUUCAUGCACUAUUUUUGCCCAGCCUUCUCUCAACUAAUUAAUACUCUUUUUAACUGAUUGAAGUUUUUCUUCCUUCAUCCUUAACUAAUUAAAAUAUACUUUAACUGAUUAAGAAAUCUUCAAAUUUAAAUUUCUUCCAUUGGUGCCUUUUAACAAUCACUCGCUAAUUAAAUUUGAAUUUCGGCACUUCGUGGUAAAUCAAACUUAAGAUUCCGAUACCCUCUUAAUCAGUUAAGCCUUGUGCUAACUGAUUAAGGCUUUUCUGUCUCACUUUUUUAUAUGGCAUCCAGAUUUGCCUUAACUGAUUAAGACUUCUCGUUUAUUAGUUAAUAAUGUUCUAUUUUCACCAAGUCUUUUCUUCUUUGCCUCUCUAACUAAUUAACUCAUCUUGCAACUGAACAAGCAUCUUGUCUUGCUUUCAAACAAUAGAUAUAUUAAGAAAUUUAAGCUUUCUCCUACACACUCAAAUAAGAUAAUUAAACACUAAUAAAUUAGAAAUAUUUUGUUAUCAUCAAAAACAUAUGGAAUCAAUAAUAUUGAUAAUUUUUUUACGAAGUACAAUUUUGUUAGGUGACAAAUAGAGCUCUAGAAUAAAGAACAACUAGUAAGUUUAAGAUUGAAGAUUUCAUCAUUCAUGCAUUAGUUUUGUUCGGUUAAUGAUUAAUUUAUUGUAAGAAUGGGGCAACAAUUAGGGAUGGCAGUGUGUACCCUUUAACAGGGUACUCGUAGAUACUCAACCUGAUUAAAUAGGGUUAGGGUACCCUAUAUUCAAGUUUGGGGCAUAAUUUUACUAUCCGUAUUGGGUUCGGAUAGGGUUAGGGUACCACCUCUUGGGUAUCCGAUACCUAAACCUAAUUAUGCAUUAUAUAAUAUAUAAUAGAUAAUUAAAUAUGUAAAAAAAUUUUAAUGUUAAGAAUCAAACGCAUGCAUGGAUGAGAAUUACUUUAAACCUUCUCCAACUUUACCAACCUUUCAUUUAUAAUCUACUAUUGUUAGUCAAAUUAUUAAUGAUAUGUUAUAUGUUAAUAUUAAUAUAUGAUUAAUAAAUAUCUUACAUUUUAAUAUUAUAAUUAUUACACAUAGUAUAUAGUAUUGUUUUGCCUAUGUAAACUUAUAUCCUAUAUAAAUAGCUUAUAUUAAUAGGUUAUAAAUAUUAUUAUAUUUAAUUUACAUAUAAACAUUACUAUUUACUCUAUACUUAUUAACAUAUUAAAUAGGUUAUAUUUAACAAAUUUUUAUUAUGCCUAUAUCCUACGUAUUAAUAUGUUAUAAUUAUUACAUUUANNNNNNNNNNNNNNNNNNNNNNNNNNNNNNNNNNNNNNNNNNNNNNNNNNNNNNNNNNNNNNNNNNNNNNNNNNNNNNNNNNNNNNNNNNNNNNNNNNNNNNNNNNNNNNNNNNNNNNNNNNNNNNNNNNNNNNNNNNNNNNNNNNNNNNNNNNNNNNNNNNNNNNNNNNNNNNNNNNNNNNNNNNNNNNNNNNNNNNNNNNNNNNNNNNNNNNNNNNNNNNNNNNNNNNNNNNNNNNNNNNNNNNNNNNNNNNNNNNNNNNNNNNNNNNNNNNNNNNNNNNNNNNNNNNNNNNNNNNNNNNNNNNNNNNNNNNNNNNNNNNNNNNNNNNNNNNNNNNNNNNNNNNNNNNNNNNNNNNNNNNNNNNNNNNNNNNNNNNNNNNNNNNNNNNNNNNNNNNNNNNNNNNNNNNNNNNNNNNNNNNNNNNNNNNNNNNNNNNNNNNNNNNNNNNNNNNNNNNNNNNNNNNNNNNNNNNNNNNNNNNNNNNNNNNNNNNNNNNNNNNNNNNNNNNNNNNNNNNNNNNNNNNNNNNNNNNNNNNNNNNNNNNNNNNNNNNNNNNNNNNNNNNNNNNNNNNNNNNNNNNNNNNNNNNNNNNNNNNNNNNNNNNNNNNNNNNNNNNNNNNNNNNNNNNNNNNNNNNNNNNNNNNNNNNNNNNNNNNNNNNNNNNNNNNNNNNNNNNNNNNNNNNNNNNNNNNNNNNNNNNNNNNNNNNNNNNNNNNNNNNNNNNNNNNNNNNNNNNNNNNNNNNNNNNNNNNNNNNNNNNNNNNNNNNNNNNNNNNNNNNNNNNNNNNNNNNNNNNNNNNNNNNNNNNNNNNNNNNNNNNNNNNNNNNNNNNNNNNNNNNNNNNNNNNNNNNNNNNNNNNNNNNNNNNNNNNNNNNNNNNNNNNNNNNNNNNNNNNNNNNNNNNNNNNNNNNNNNNNNNNNNNNNNNNNNNNNNNNNNNNNNNNNNNNNNNNNNNNNNNNNNNNNNNNNNNNNNNNNNNNNNNNNNNNNNNNNNNNNNNNNNNNNNNNNNNNNNNNNNNNNNNNNNNNNNNNNNNNNNNNNNNNNNNNNNNNNNNNNNNNNNNNNNNNNNNNNNNNNNNNNNNNNNNNNNNNNNNNNNNNNNNNNNNNNNNNNNNNNNNNNNNNNNNNUACAAAAUGAAAUUAAAAAAUAUUUUUAUUUUUAAAAGUUCAUUAAAAAUUACAAAGAGGAAAUAAUUUUUAUAAUUUUAAAAAAUUAUGAGCAUAAAAAAGAAUAUAUUCUAUUUUUUCAAAAAUUCUAAAUAUAUUUUUUAUUUUAUGGAUUUUUUAAUCUUUUUAUAAUUUCUUAAAAAUAAAAAUUAUUUCUAUUUUUAUUAUUUUAUAUUUUUUAAUAAUUAGGAAUUAUUUUUAUUUUUUAUUUUUUAUUUUUUAUAAUUUCUAAAAAUUAAAAAAUUAUUUUUAUUUUUCAAAAAUUUAAAAGUAUUUUUAAUUCUUAAAAAUUUUUCAAAGUGAUAAAAAUUAAGUUUUAAAAUUUUAAUGAUUGGAAAAGGGCAACAAUGUCAAAUCAAGUUUGAUAACAUUAUAAAGCAAUUUGUAAUCUGAUAUUGCAUUAGUUUUUUAAUGCAAUCAUAUUAUAUACAUAGAUUAUAAUAUGAUUGUAUUGCAAUCUUACAUUGUAUUGACUUGUUUCAAAACAAACGUUACAAUAUUAUUUAAUUGGGUAUAUUGCAAGAAUUAUAAAUACACAUCCCUGAUAUCAAAUACCACCUUAGUGUGUUAGUUCUUAAAAAAAAAAAAGAAGAUUGUCAUAAAAAAAUGUGAUUUGCUUUUUUUUUUUUCCUUUUGAAUCUUUUUUUAAUUUUUGCUUUUAAUGGCUACAUGAUCAAGUGUACUUUUUGGUUUUAAUGAUUUGGGUAUCUUAAAAAGAUGAUUUCUUUUUACAUAUCCCUUGUUUUCUAAAAAGUGGAUGUUGAGUUUGCUUUCUUAGUUGAUUUUUAUAUAUGCCAUGCAACAAUUAUCACGUCAGCGUUUUCACCACAUCAAGAUGAUCAUGAUAUGUCCACACAUAGUCAAUGUCAUAUUAACUUAAUCAAAAUAUCACAUCAAUAUACAUCAUUUGUGAAAAUUUAACAGUAAAUUAACAAAUUAAAAAAAAAAUAAAAAAACUCAAUUUAUACAAAUUAUGAUACAAACUUUCAUACAAUAUAAGAAUUAAUUACAUAAUUGAAUCUAAAUUAUUUUAAUUAAGAUGACACCAUCUUUUACUAUUUAGAGCAUCAGUUGGCUCAAAGCUUAAUGGAACUAGGCAAAUAAAUGAAGCUCCAAUCUUCUUCCAACUCAGUUGUUGUAUUCAAUAAGGAAAUGAAGUCAUGCUUUCUCUCAUAACAACAUAUUAAUUUGGAUAGAUGUAGCUAUAGAAGAAGGAAAGAAGACUAAAUGCUUAAUUUGUAUUUUUUAUCAAUUAAAGGUCAAACGUUUCAAUUAUAACAAUCAAAAGUUAAUUAUUUUCGAUUCUUUAUAAUUAAAGGUUAAAGUAAGAGCUAUCUAAAAUGUGUAAGACACACACAUGACGUGAACGUUAACUUGAAAAGAUAAGAUAUGAAAUAGUAGUUUUGUCAAAAUGUUUUAGUUGUCAAGUCAAAACGAUUCAAAUUAUGAUGUGUAGUAUAAUAACUUUUUCAUCAUAACGUAUAAUAAUUAAAUAUUUUAACAUGACGUGCAACAACUAAAUCUUUAAAAUAAUAUAUAACAAUUACAUUUUUCAAUAUGACGUAUAAACUAAAUUUUUUCACAUGACCUACAAUAACUAAAUUUUCAACAUAUGUAAUUAAAUCUUUAACAUGACAUAUAAUUACAUCUUUUAUCUAUGAUAUAUAAAAAUUAAAUUUUCAAUAUAACGUGUAACUACAUUUUUUAAUAUAACAUAUAACAAUCAAAUUUUUUACAUAACAUGUACUAAUUAAAUUUUCAACAUAACAUGUAAUUACAUUUUUCGACAUUACAUAUAACUAUUAUAUUUUCAACAUAUAACUGCAUUUUUCACACUUUUUUUAUAACAUUUGAUACACACUCUAUCCAUCAAUUAACUUAACCGUAGAUUAUAAAAAAAAAAAAAAAAAUUGACCAUUGACCAUUAAAAUCGAAACAUUUACAUUUUAAUUCAAAGGAAAAAACCCAAACAUUUAACCUCAAUUUGAACAUUUAACCAAAACAGAACAAAAACAAGGAGUGGCCCAAAAAGGCGAAAAUUCUUCCAUCCAAAGACAAAGGAGAAAAAGAAGGAAGAAACUUUGUGCCCACUUUUCCACGGUUCCCCAACAAUCAUAAUUCUAGGUAUUCAGAAGCUUAAAGCAAAUCUUCAAAAACUGACAAUCCCAUUAACAUUUUUAUUGCUUUUUUCCAGGAUCAAAAUUUUGCAAACAGUGGCGAAAGAAUAACCAUUCAAAAUUUCAGUCCAUAUAUAAUCACAAACGGAACUUUUGUGUAAAACUCAGACGGAAAAACAAAAAGCCACAUUCUGGGACCAAAACUGCUACAGGAAUUGCCCUCACUAGCAACCCCUCAAACCCACAAAAAUGCUCACAAACCACAAAUCACCUAUUGUUUCUUCUCCAGACUCGAUACCAUACCCCAUAUUAUAAAUAGACGCUUUUAAUAUACACAUUCUAACAAAAAGAACAAAAGAUUCACUUCAAUCGCACUGAUGACUUUUUCACCUUCAAUCAAACCUUUGCUGGAUUGAUGUAAAACAUCAUGCAAAAAACAAUGGGAACCUCCUUCGAGAAAAGAAUUGGGUAAUAAAUAAAAUAUACUUCCAACACAGACAGGACACUGCAUUCCUCCAAAACCAGAAAGAUGCCUGUCAAACCAAUAUACUAUGAGAGGAUGGAUUGCAAAGCAAGCUGUUGCUCUGGCUGCAAAGAUGACCAAGUUGAGGCCAAUGUUGCUGCUGGCAACGUCUGCUGAAGCUGCCUCAGUAGAUUCACCAUCCGACUUGCAGUUUGUUCUGUGGCUAGAUCCUUACCACAUAGAACCUACCAAACAGCAACUAUUGGUAAGAGAACAUACUCAGGCAUAUUUUACACCCACAGAAGAAUUUAGCAUUUUAUCUUUUCGGUUGUUAUUUCUUUAUUUAUAUGGUGGUAUAUGUACCCCGCUCCCCCAACCAAACCAUUUUUCAGUUGUUAUUUCGAUUUUCUUGGUUUUGAUAUUAAUUGGUUAAGAGGGGCAAUUUAUUUGGCUAUUUUGGUCAGUUUUUGGUGUCCAAACCAAACCAAAAACCAUCCAUUAAUAAUUUAUUUUUUAAAUAUAUAUAUUUAUAUCAUUAAUAUUAUAUAUAAAUAUAUGGUUAAACUAAAAGCAUUUAGGCUUUAUUAGUGAAACAUUAAGCAAAGUUUUUUAAAUAUAUUAUAUAUAUAAAUAUUAUUAAUAUUAUUAAUAGUUUUUUUUUUUUUUUUAUAAUUGAGGAAGAGGGGAUUCGAACCCUACUGCUCUUAAGGUAAGGAGAUUAUGCACCAACCAAUAAGCUAAACGCUCGGUUGCUUAAUAUUAUUAAUAGUUAAAACUGAACAAACCAACUGAGAUUUUUGGUAUCAGUUAUUUUUGGUUUUCGGGUAUAGUCCGAUCAGUUUCGGUUAUUUUUUACAAGAAUUUAAUUUUCAAAAUUUUAAACCAAAUCAACUGAAUGCUCACCCCUACAGCUUUACCCACCCUAAAACCAAAAGAAUAAGAGACAGGUUUGGCAACAAUGAGGCUAAGACUCAUCCAUAUCCCACUUGAAAACACAAUAGGAAUUAUUCAGGCUUUGACAUGCCCAUAUGAAUCUUCUAUUAGAUAAUAGAAUUAAGAAGAGGGGCUGAAAGAAAGAAAACUGAUUAAUGAAUAAAUUACAUGUUCACAUGCCUAGACAUAGAAGACAUGUAAACAUGAUGUAUAUGGAUAUGCAUGUUCAUGCCAAAUUUGUCAUUGGAGCAACAAAAGCCAGAUAGUUGAUGCAAAACAAAGCUACAGCAUUAAAGCAAUGUUUGAUAUGGAAUUAAGUAUGCAACAGUGCCUCCCAUGGUCAGAGUUGGAAGUGAUAUUAAUUUAAGAGGAAAAAGUAUAAUGCUUUAAGAAAAUAAAUUAAAUACUUAACUAAGAUAUAGAUAAAACAUACAGGAUGCAGGACAGAAUUUCACCAUUUCUCAUUGUAUCGUUUGUUCAGAAUAAGCAGUUCAUUUAAAAAUAGCCAUAGGUUAAGAAAUUUUAAUGCAAUAACUUGAAAUUCUUAGUGGUUGCUAACGAGUGCAUUUUACCUCGGCAAAUACUGCAACAAUCUUAGGAAGAUACUGAUGGUUGGGACCCAAAACUUCAUUGUCUGACCUGAAGACAAAUUUGAUACAGUGGUUGAUAAUAUGCAGUAACAGCAUAUCAAAGCAAAAAAUAAACAGUGGAAUGAGAUCAGAAAUAUGCAGUAAGGUUAAAUCAACAAAGCAGAUGGUACCUCUCUACCAUUGAACAAAGUUGUUCAUGAACAACUUUGGCUUCAAUCAGAUCACCUUUUAUUGGCAAGCAGUUUAACCAUGCAGGAACAACCUAUCAAAAUCAAAGCAUAUACGUUCAAAGGAAUCCAACACAAAGAAAACAGUAAUAAAACAUCAAAAUAAGCAUAAAGACAUGCAGCAACCAGCAAAAACUUUUGUGAAAACUGCAAUGCAGAAAAAGUAUAAUUAUAGAACCACUGCAAUCUAUCUAAAAUUAUACAACAUAUAUGUAUUAAUGCCAGAGAUGAUCAACAAACAACAUUACCCAAUCAUCAACAUUUGGAAAUGUUUUUACACAUAAAGCAUAACAUAAUAUCUAUAUCUAUAACAUAUAUAAAAAUAUGAAUGCAUGUAAUUUGAACAAAAAACGACAUCAUAGCUAAUUAUAUUUCUAAAUUUCCAUUUCAAAAAAAUUUUGUUGAUUAUAAUUUUCAAUUAUAAUUAAAGUAUAGAAAAAAUUUCUAAUUCCACUAAAUCGCUUUCCUUGGAGAAUGAUUUACUUUUAACCUAAUACUAAUACUAUUUUUAUAAAAUAGUUUUUAGAGGAAAAAGAAAACAUCAACAAAUUUAUGAAGUAUCUUGUAAUUGGGUAAUCUGGCAGAAGCAAAGGCCUUCGUGGGCUCACAGUUUUAUAUAUUCUAUAACGGAAAAAGAAAUUGCCAUAUUAAGUCAAAAAAAUUAGUUUUCAAUAAAAAAAGAUUCAAAUUCAAUAGGCCUAAAGGAAACUUUUAUCCUCCUUUUCUUACAAUUGGUGCCAAAAUUGCAUUAACUUUCUUUUAGACUACAAUUUGAAACCCAACACGCUAGACAUUUAGAUAAGUUUUUAUCAAUAGAAAUCAGUCGAGUGUUACUUAUAUUCAUUAUCAUUGCUAUAUAUCCAUAAAUCACUAAAAUUUUGCCCAUCUUAUAAUCAAAAUUUCAAAAUAAUAAGCAACUAGCAUGUUUGAUCAAGUGCAACGCAUGUGACAUAGGCUAGUGUAACACUAUAUAGAUGCCCAUUUAAUAUACUCACAGUUUAUCAAAAAAAAUUAUAUACACAGUAAUGUCUAUUAGAAAAUGGGUAGGACUGUGAGGGUGUGUGUUGGGAGGGGGGGAGUGGAGUUUGGGAGGAAGUUACACAUAUCUAUGUCAGUAUAAAAGCUGCCUUUAACAUUUACAUAUCCACUGUCAUCAGAAUGUUCACACAAUAAAAUCUCUAAUUUAAAUAUCACAAAAGAGAUAGUCUGAUAUAUCAAGUGAUUUUAUGUAAAACCAUUGUCCUUUAUGCACCUUUAAAGGGCAUUUGGCAUCCAUGACUCCUCAAUGAUGAAGGAUUAUCAGUGAGGGACAAAUAUUCCUAUCACUAGUUGCUCUAUACAACUUUAUUUGAAACAAAGUUUAAAGAUUAGAGUAUUGUUGAAUGUUAUCAAUAUCAAACUGAUACCAUCCAUUACAUACCAGUUUUUUAUCAAAACUAGUACAUCCUGUUCUCUAUAUCGUCUAGUAUCUGGUACUUAACAGUAUCACCAUGCACCAGUCAUACUAGUGUGUUUCAGUUGUUUCAACAUCCAGCCAAAAAGCCCAUUGAAAAAGAAACUUAGACCUUUUGGGUCUUCUAGUUCUUUUAUAUCCAAGCCACAAGGCAGAUAACAGCUUCAUUCUGUCCUUGAUCAACUCUACAACUUGCUUUCAAGGCGAUGAUGGAGGAAGGCAGCAUGGGGCAAUUGCACACAAUACAUACAGAGCGGCAAGGGAACUAAGAGGUGUAACUUCUGAUCAGGAGUUGAGGACAAGGGUACUAAGUACAAUAAGAUGGCUUUUCUAUACCUAGGGUAUCUUUUUAUCAGGCUGGCAGGGCUAAUGAAGAGUUAGUUUCAUUUGUUUACUAAAAUCUAGGUCUCCUUUGUCCAAGUUAAGAUUUGAAGGAUAGUUGUCUUGUUUCUUUUUUUCCCCUUUCUUCUGCCUUUUUUCCAAAAAUAAUAGGAUCUCAAAGAAAUAACUUUGGACUCAAAUUUUAAAUCUUGAUUAAGAAGAAAAAUUACCAUUUUAUAAAUUCUCAAAAAAUUAAUUUUGGUGAAAGUUAAAAUAAUUAUUAAGAAAACGUUACAUUCUUAAUAGAAAAUAAUUGUGAACUAUAUUAUUAAAUACCUCUAAAUCCAAAAUGGUACUUGGUGUUAUAUUGACAACCUUACUAUUACCCUCAAGAAAGUGGUUAAUCUCUUUUCUUAAUGACAAAAUUGUUCCUAAUUUGCUGUUCAGCUAUAUACACAUGAAAAUAAAUAUAUAAAUGACAAUAAGCAUGUACACACAAAACACCCCUUAAUUUCUUAUUGUUGCAAAAUUUCCUGAUAAUAAGAACAAAGAGGCAGGAGGAGCAGAAAAUUGAUUUUCAAACACCAAGGUUCUCUACCUAAAGAGUCAAUUGAUCAAUUUUGAGCCAUUGCUAUAGCUUCAAGUAGCUCAAACAUAUAGAACCUCAUACGAACCCAUAGUAGAAGUGAUACUAUUUCCAUGCAUAUGGCUCAUAGUACAUUGCAAAUGGCACCGGUUCUAGCAAGAGAAGGCAUUUGGAGGAGAAAACUUCACACAAUAGCUCAGAAACAUGCAUGUGUUUUAUGCAAAGCACAUAGCCCAUUUCCUUUCAUAUCGCAACAUCUAAUUAAGUUGGAAAACCAAUUUUACUGGUUGCCAUACCUGAGCUGCAUCAAUCCUGUCACGAUGGAACAGGCAUAUUUUUCCUAAUGCAGAAACAGCAUUAUCAUAUGCCAUCACAUUUUCAGGUUGUAAAGCAUUAGGAUGCCGUAUUACAACAUUUAACCUUGAUAGAGCCUCUGAAAGAAGUCAAAAUAUAGGUUAUUCAGAUAAGAAAUAGAUAAAUAACCUUUUCAACAAUCACACAAAAUUUACCUCCAACAAGAGGUUUAAAUACAGGCCCACCAAAUUCCGCACAAACACCAAGCCCAUAUACUGCUGCCUGAAACAUAUGAUACAAUUGAAAGGCAAUAUCCAGAGUCUAACGUGCUUUAAGCACCAGAAGAGAGAAGGUACAGACCUGUCGCACAUCUGGGUUCUCAUCAUUGCAAGCCUCCAAUAUGAAAGGAAGAUAUGUCUCAUAAUAUCUGUUUCAACCACAUUACAGAAUUACAUCAAAUGGCAAUUCUCUAUGACAGUAACCAGAAAAAAGAAAAUUAAGCAGCUUACUUUAGAGCUGCCUCACGACACUGCUCUGCAAUAUCAUCAAAAAUACAAAUUGCAAUUCUUCUUUCUUCAGCUGUCUUAUCCUUGCCCUGUAUUUUAGACGCACAAACACACAGAGAAAGAGAGAGAGAGGGGGGGGGGGGAAGGGAUGAGCAUACUUCAUAAAAGAAAAUCUUUCUGAAUCUUUCUUUUGGAUGUUCCUUCAAAAAUUGAACUGAUUUCCGAAACAGACAGAUUUCACACAUUACUUACCCACAUAGGUGUAAGAUAUGAAGAUAGCUCAUCAAAGAAUGGCAAGAAAGAGGCUUUAAAUGUUUUUAUCAAAGUUCCCAAGAUUUCACCCACCUGGAAGCAGAAUGUUCAUUAGGGCACGAAUGAGAAACUCUAUGGAUUCAGAAAGAAAAAAGAACAAUUUGACAAAUAAACAUUACCUACAUAAUUAUGUGCCCUAUAACUACAGAUGUUAUUUGAAGACUUACUUGGUCAAAAACUUCUUCCUCCUGCUCAUUUUCCUCUUUAAUAAACUCUCCCUCCUCAGCAUCAAAGUCUUCAGCUUUGGCUCUUUCAGCUCUCUCCCUUUUUCUGCUCGCACUAGCCGUGAUUACUUGUUUUAUCUCGUCCACAAUAGAUCUAACCUGGCCUUCAUCUAAAAGUGGACCAGUGAUCUGAAAGAACAUAUGCUCAAAAAUUUAUGACAAAAAGUAAUGAAUUCAUACAAUAUAAAUGCAGGCAACAGCAAAGAGACAAAGAUUAGAACAAAGAACUCCAACAAGUAAUGAUGCAUAUCAAUUCACAAUGAAACACAAGGGUCAUGAAUGGAACUCUGAAAUGUUUUCUUGGAUGCUUAAUAACAUAUAUAGACUAAAAUGAAACUCAAAAACAGCCCAGGAAAGAUACUUAUUACAGUUUUUAACAAAAAUCAUCAUGACAGGUUUAAUUAAGGAAUUAGUUCAACUUAUUAGCAGAUACAACUGAAAUACCAUAUUAAAUUCAAGUUACGUUCAGCUGAUUUAAUUUAUUUAAAUGAACUUUUUCUUCUAACCAUUUGUUGCCCCACAAUGUCAAUUAAUAUCCAAAACCAGAGUAAUUUCAAACAGACAACAAUGAACACAAUAGACACUACGUAAUUCACUUCAUUUCAUAAUAGAACAAACCUGCAAGCAUUCGUUCAAUGCAUCCAACAUGCUUGCACAUAUUUCCGUAUCAGGCUCCUGCAAAGAUAUCACUAUUCAAUUACUUCACCCGUGACAAGCAACACAUAAACAAAGUAAUUAGAGCAUCAAUAGAUGAAUACUCCUAAAAUUAAACAACAACAACCUUAUGUAAUGCCUCCACCAGAGCUGGAAUAAUGAAGUCAGACAAUUGCUUUACAUAAGUCUCAUUACGCCCCUGAGCCAUCCCCUUCUCCACAGCUAAUUUUGCAGAGCGCAGUAACUCCGGCAUAGCUAGAAACAAAUUUACACAAUAGGCCAAGAGGGAAUUAACAAGAGCCAAACAAAAUUGAAAGACAAAAAUUAUAUAUUUAAAGUAAGAAGAAAAGUGUAUAUAGCAAUCUUAUACCUGAAACAGCAGCUUUUCUAACUUCCUCAUGGAAAUAAAAUUUAAGAAGAGGAACUAGAGUCGGGGCAACCUGCACCAUAUAUUCCUUCUGUUAGUUAUUGUUACAAAGUCUAGAAAAAUGAAGUCCAAAAUAGUAAGUUGAAACAAACCUGAUCUAUCCAUGGAAAAAAUCCUUCCUUCAACUCAUCAGCAUAGCAGCACAGCAUGUUACAUGCUGUAGCCUUUUCCUCCAGGACGCUAGUCUUGAUCCCAAUUCUUUUGUCCCCAAGAGUAAUGGUUUCCAUACUGUGCAAUGCCAGAUAUAAAUCUUAGUAUAACACCAAAUAACAUGGUGGAAAACAACAUGCUAUUGUUAUAAGCCGACCAACAGCCAGAGAUGAGCACAGCUAAGUUCAGGACUCUGUCUGGGUGUGUGUGUGUUAGUGCGUGUUCACACACUCGUGUGUGAGUGUCUUUCUCAGAGUGUCUUUGACUUUCUACAUAACAUAGAGAGAAGUGGAAGAGAGAGGAAAUAAAGUUUUUCAUCUAUUCAAAUGAGGGAGGAGAUACACAAGAUACAAAUGCAUCAUUGACAUUUUAGUUGCUUAUUGGCACAAAAUAAUUGUGAAAACAGAAUGAUAUAUAACCUUUCAUCAUCAGAGUCCUCAAUGUCAUUAUCUGAAUCUGCAGAUGUAAUAGUUACAUCUGGCUUAAGUUGAGCAGACUGGAGAAGGGGAGGCAUGACAACUCUCAUGUAAGGGAGGAAGUCUUGUCCCAAACACUUGCACAGUCUGGCCCAUGCCUGUAACAUGGUGAAAGCAUCAUAAGCAAGUAAAAAUAAACAUGCCAAAGUUAUUAUGAUAAAUCUUAUUUCAACACAUUUUCUGUGCUAUGGACUUACUUGCAGCAUGUAACUUGUUGUCGGAUCAUCUGUUUCCAUUUGGGAUCCUUGCAAUGACAUAAGCACUUCCAUAACCUUGCAAGAAGAAGAGAAAGCAAUACGUAAUAUAGAGGCAUUUCUACGUUUAAUGAAAGAACAUACAAGAUACCCAACUUUUGGUGCAAAUGCCAAAUACAAUCGUGAAGGUAUAAUGACAUUAAACAAAGACCAGUGGAAAAAAACAAAAAGAAAAAAUACUUGCUACAAAUAACAGCACACUCAGAAUGGUGAAGUUCUAUAGCCGUAAAAGAGAAUAGCAUGCAAUGACUGCAAUAUGUCCUUAGGGGCCCAUUUUGGCAUCAUAAAGAGAGGAACUUGAAUAACAAUUUUUUAUUAAUUGGGAAUAAAAAAACUAGACCCAACAACUCAUUACAAAUGUGGAAACCAAUGGGAAUCUGCAAACUGGUGCUGCAGUCUGCAUUCUCAUAGACAAGGCCAGGCAAAUUAUAAAACUAAAAAAUUGGUCUAUUCCAUGUCAAGCAUAUGAGAAACAUGCAUUGUGUAAGCAUUCAAAAUUUCUUUAGAUUAUACUAACUUGACAUGUAAUAUAAUUAGUGGCAAAACUCCAUAAUAGAUCAACCUGAUGGGCACCUCCCUCAGGUUUAUAUCUAGCCCACCCCAAUUACUUUCAAGGAACAAAAAACAUGUAUUUUCUUAAGCCAGAAAAGGGGUGGAUAUUUGCUGCAAACUACACCACUACAUACCCUAGAAAAUGCCAUUCUCAAAUACCUCAAAAUUCUACCAUCCAUCCAUGACUUUAGAGAUCUAAGAAAAUAACUAGAAGAAUUAAAAAGCAACAACUUGAUACAGGACAUGGUGUUUCUAGACAGCUACCAACCUGCUUGGCAUCAUCUCUGAACUUCUCCUUCCCGACAGCCAUUCCAACAAGACUAAUGCAUUCCAUGGAUUUGGCACGAAGCAUGCGGUUAGAUUUGUCAGUCGCAUUCACCAAGAUAGCUUUCAGGUAAGGCAUAACUGCAUCAUAAUAUUUUUGGAAGUGCUCCUGCAAACCCCCAUAUCAUUUAACUGUGUCGACUAUAUUAACGAUCAAACUAGCUUUCUUUUGGGUAAAAUACCUGAGAUGAGUCAGCAACUGAUGCCAAAGCUGUCAAGGCACCUUCUUGCACCAUUUGUUUCCCAUUCUGCAUGAUAUAUAUAAUCGACAAAAAAUAAAAUCUCCUUUCAUAUAGUGAAUCUAUGCAGUUUUUAUGCGACAUUUAUAACUCCAAUUGUCAUACCUGUAAAAGUACAAGUAAUUUGCUAACUAUUCCAUCCAAGUAAGGUGUUAAAAUUUCCGGAGUGCAGUUCUCACUGAAGUUGAGCACAGCUGAAGCAGCAUGUGCCUGUUCAUACACAAAUUACAUAACAAAACAAACUGUUAUUUCAAAGCAAACAAUUAAAUCUUGACAAUAGAAGUACCUGACUGACAGGUAAUGAGAUAAAAAAAAAAAAACUCUGAUGUUAUAACAAGACUACUAAAUUUUCAUGCAAAGAGCGGAAGCUAAUUUAGUUCAGUUUCCUGAACCAGAAGGCAUAGCUCCAUCCAUCUAUAAACAGGAAUUAAGUAUCAUCAUCCAGUAUCUAAAUUUAGACUUAUACAUUAGUUUUAUCCAUAUUCAACAAAAUAUCCAGGAAAUUCCCACUGAUGCAGCUUUCAUUUUCAAAUGAAUUAAUUCCCUUCACAAUCAGUUAUGAGGCUCUUACAUAUGCAUCCACCAUUUUAAGGGCUAAUCUGUAAAGAUGCCAGCGACACUUAAAGGUCAAGGUUCUAUUUUGUCUUUCAAGAAGUGGUAAGACAGAGAAUUGAAUAAUAUUUUUUUUUUUCAAAAAAAGGAACAUAUCAGUCAGCUACUUAGAAAAUUUUUAUAAUGACCACAAUUUCUAGUGAGUUACGACAAAUAAUUUGCUUGUAACCAGUUGAUAUGUUCCAAUAGAAAACAAUAACGAGUUCUUAUUAUAUGAAGUGCGUUGAUGACCACAAAGCUAUUUGACAUAACCAAAUGAGAUCAUAUCCACUCAGAUAAAUUUAAGUAAAGCAAGGUAUCCCACCACAAAGAUGUGACCCAUAUGCAUAGAUAACUUUAGAACUAGAAAAUUAUAGAAAAAGGAAUGGGUUAUUGGGGGCAGGAGUUAUCAAUUACAUCAAGACACAACAGAAAGGAAGACAGGAUGAACAAAUUAUCUCUAUGUAAACCACCAUGCACAUUAUUAAUGCUGCAAUUUGAAUUUGUAUCCAGCCUAGAGUGAUUCAACCUGUUUCUCUCUACUUGAAGGUUUAAGAUCAGGCACCCAUCUAAUACCAUAAAGAAACCAUACCAUGCAACAAAAGAUCCUAACAGUCAAAAGCAUAAUCUAGAGACAUCAAAGCAAAAUUAUUUAUCUCUGACUAACCUGUACUCGUGGAUUCUGGAAGUCGUCCAUGGCAGCGGCUAGUGCUGGUAAUACUCUUUGAUGAUAUUGGUUUUGCAAAUCCGGGCCCAAAUCAGUAGACAAUUGUCCAAUUGCAUUAAUAGCUGCCCACCUCACACGGGGAUGGGAAUCAUGAAAGGAGUUCAAGACCAUCGAAACCACUUGUUCCAGAUUUUUAAUCAUGACCUACAAAUAAAGCAACAAAUUACAAAUCAAUGAAAAAGGGAACAUGUUCCCAGCUCUCUACUUUCACUAUCAAACAUAAGGCAGAAAAUAUGUAAUCCAAUUCUUUCUCCCAACAUAAACUGAAUCCUCUGAAAAAGCUAUGCCAAUAAGCUAUGGAUUGAAAUAUUAGUAUCAACUUUCCGAAUAAAGUUCUAUCCCACUAUGCACGCAGUAAAUAGAAAACACCAUGACUAAACUGAACAAGCAACUCCAUUAGUAGUGCAUUUAGAAUCAUAUUCAGUGGGGGCAGGGGGGACUAACCAUUCCCAAGGAAGCAAUUUUUAAUAGUCAGUUUCAAGUCUAGGAGAAACGAAUAAUGUCAUGUAGCGAAUAGCACUUACUUGCAGCAACUUGGAACGAGAAAACAAUGUCAAUACUGAAUUACCUAAAAGCUUGGAUGCUACGAACUACAAAGGAGUAGAAUAAUGGCAAUGACCACAUUAAAACAUAUCCUAAUAUCAGGUAUACCUUGGCACAACCCUCAGCAAUCUGUGCAAGGGCAAUCAAUGCAGCAUGGUGCUUUUGCCACUCAGGAGCAGCCAAAUAAGCUGGCAACUGCUCGGAUGCAACUGGAACAAUUGUAUUUCCACCCAAGGAUAUAGCCAAACGAUCCAAACACUCCUGCCCAACACUGUAAUUGCUAGUCUCUCCAGCAUCUUCGUCCUCAGUUUCUGCAGUGUACCAUGCUGGAUCAUCCUCAAUAUCCAGCAACAUUCCCAUCAAAAUUGCAAAUAGCCUACUAAUAAACUGCGGCAACUUCCUCAUCAUUCCAGGGGCACGUUCCCUUGCUUCUGCCAAGGUAAUAACAAACUCAAUCGCCAAGUGACGUGUCCCUUCCUCAAGUGAUUCUGCCUCCGCAAUCUGCAGCAUAGACCCCACCACAUCAACAAGCUGCCUCCGAAGAAACCGUGGCUCCGUCCCUGCCAACUCAAUCAACAACUCCAGCGCUUCCUGAGCGGUGGCCUCAUUCCCGUUAUUCAAAGCUUCCGUCAAGGUCCUCAUCAUCGCCGGCAAAAGAUCCUGAAACCUAUCCCGAUCAGAUAAGCUGGUCAAACACUGAAUAAAGUUGAUGACAGCAUUCAACGCGGCGAUUUUGACGUCGGCAUUAGAACUUUCACUCAAGCACCUCAAGAACACAGCGUGUAGAUCCUUUAUAAAAGGAGUCAAGACAUCACCGAUAUACUGACUCAGCUGAGCGAAUAUCAAAAAGGCGGAUUCCUGCAAUCUUGGGGAAUCCGAAGAGACACACCGGAACAUAAACGGCAAAAGCUCGGGCCAGCCAUUCUCUGGCAAAAUACUGGAAGCAAGCUCCGCAACAGUGUCGCACAACUUUUUAGACAAAGUUUUAGUGUUUUCGACUUGGAUUUGAGCCAAAAGCACCGAUUUGAGGGAGGACUGGGUGGAGAUGUUGAGGCGAGGCCAGAUAUAAGAGUCGUCACGUGUCAAGAGCUUACGGAGGAGAAUAGCGGCCAUGGCACGAGUCUCAGGUUGAGCGCAGACUUGGAGGAGGUGAGCGAGGCGGAGACAGAGGGCGUCUGGGUCCGACUGCUUGCAAAGAUUGAAUAAGACCUCGGCGUGAGAACGUUGUUCGUUGGAGGAGGACAUCAAGUGGGAGAUUAGGGUUUCGAAAGGAGCCGGGUCGGGUCCUAAGAUGACGGCGAGCUGAGAUUGCUGGUCCAUGGCGGAGGCUGCGCGAAGGAGAAGAAAAAAUGAAGAAGAAGAAGAAGAAGAAGAGGAUGAUGCGGAUGAUGAUGAUGAUAUUGAUCCCUCUCUCUCUCUCUGGCUUUGUGUGUGUUUUUCUUCUGUUGUGUUGAGAGAGAGUGCGUGUGCGUGGGCAAAAAUGAGGGAUUUUAAGAGAGAGCUAAUUAGGGCUGACAAAGAAAAGGAGGGUUUGAUUAGCUGUGUUUUUAUGUGUCAUGAUGAUUAGUGUGAGUGCCCACCUUCUUCGGUUUUUUCCCAUUUUAUGGAGGGAAAAUACACUCAAUACCACUGCUAAUACUAGUACUAGUACUAGUAUUACCUUUCCAUACCAAUAUUAUCAUAUCAUAUGGCUUUUAUUUUCAAACCAUUGACGGAGGAAUGCAUUUCAGACUGCCCCAAUUUUGGUGCCUGCAUUAGAUUUGGUCCAUGCUUAAUCUAGGGACAAAUACUAGUCUGUCUUAAAUCUUUUUAUUAUUAUGCCCCAUCGCUUACACGCUCCGACUUUGAGUACGAAACCAGCAGUUCUUAAUUGCACUACUUUGCCACUUUAAGCGGCUUUGUGCCUAUUUUACCCAAAAAGAAAAAAAAAUAAAUAAAUAAGUGCCUUUCUGGCUCACUUUAUCCAUCCUUUUUGGUUUUAACACAUAUCCACCCAUAAAUAAAUCAACAUUUCAUUACCCUAGUCUUCUUCUUUGUUGACUUUUAAUUUAGGAGAAUGAGAUGCUUUUUCUUCAACCAGCCAUAUCUACAAAAUUAUUAUUAUUAUUAUUUAAUUAAAAUGUAUUGUUACGAGAAACAUUGAAACCCUAAACAAAACUAUAUAAGAUAAAACGUACUAGUCAAUUUGGUUUGUGAAUCAAUUAGGCUUUUUCUAGUGGAAUGUACUAUGCAUUGUCAUAUGUAUUUAUUUCAGGAAUGGAUCACAUGAGACACGCUGGUCAAAAGUUUUGUUUUGAAAAGUGAAAGCUUUAACUAUAAAAAGAAAAUUGAAAAUUUUAUUCCCAUACUAAAAAAAAAAGAAAGGAAUGCUGAAAUAAUUUAUUCCUCUAGAAAAAAGGAAAAAUAAAAACAAAUAAUUUCACUGUAUAACAUAAAUUUAUAAAAUAUACUUGGUCCCCCACUCCUCUUCCACUUUGUGUCUCACUUAUUUGCUUCCAUUAUUAUCAGCUUUUAAUACGAGGCCAAUGUUGCCUUGGAGAAAAGAAAGCACAUAUAUUAGUAAGGUUUUUAAUCUCAAAAAAUUGAGAUAUUAGUUUCAUAAAAAAAAAAAAGGUAAGGAUAAUCAAUAAUAGUAUAAUUUAAUUUUAAUUAGGCCAAGAUUUUUUCUUGAGCUUUCUACCUAAAAUAAUUUAAUUUAAAAUUUUAUUGUCUGUAUUUGAUAGUAAUAAAAAUUAGAAAUUACAUAACAAACCUACCUAAUUACUUUAGCAUUAAUUGAUGAGGAAGUUUCAUUAUAUGGGAAAUUUGUCUAAUUUUAUGAUGAUUUUAUUUGAUUUGUUCUUUUAAUUGGUUUCUUCAUUAAUUUGUUCCAUGAAUGUACAAUGUGAUGUUUAUUGAAAAUUAUUUGAUUGUCAUUAUAAUUUUAAAUUAUAUAUGUAACCUUAUAAAAUAAAACUUUUAGCAUUAACUUGAACGUAUAAAUGCAAUAAUUCUCACAAGUUAAACAUGUACCUCACAAACAAUCACUUAAUUUUUUUUUUUAGUGAAAAUUUUUAUUUAAACUCUAACCAUUAUAAGGAAACAAAUUCCUAAUAAAUCAUACACCAAAACAUCCCUAGCUUUAGCAGGAGGGUCACUAUAGAAAACAAAUAAUUCCUCUAAAGCAAAACCCUUAUUGGCCAUGAUAUCAGCUAGAACAUUCCCUUCUCUGUACACACAUCUUGUGUGAACUUUCCAUUGUCUCUACAGUAAACUCUUAAUACCAUUGAUUAAGUUCGAAUUAGAGCAUGGGCGUGUUCUAGGCGAAGAAUGGUGUUGACCACAAGGAAACUAUCUAUUUGUAAGUCAACCUUGCGAAAGCCCAUAUCCCAUGCCAAUCCCAAACCCCUGCAUACACCCCCACAAUUCCGCACAAUAUACAUUACACUUAUCCAAUUGUAUGGCAUACCCUCCUUGUCACAACUCAAACCCAAGGGUCCAUGACUAGCGUACAAGCCCAACAAACGAAGCCUGCAAAACCCAAGUAAGCUUUAAGUUUCCAAAUCAUAUGCACAUAGCCAAAGGUUUCUAAAUCCACAUAUUCAUAUAGUAUUUAAAUUCAAAUACAUAAACGAUGCCCUUUAGCACACAAUUCAUACAUAACAUUUAAUACAAUAAUUACAAGGCCAUACAUUGGCCAACAAAUGCAGGUUCAUACUUAACAACCUUUAACAUAGUUCAAUUGGCACAACGUGCCUACAUGUAUACUAAAUCAAAUGCGAAGCGAAAGCUCAUGACAAACUUAGUGGAGUGACCAAUUGGCUUAGGGACCUAUUGGAUACCAAAAAUCGAUUUUUCAAUGGACAACCUUUGCCACGCACUAUCCAGUGGCUUAUUUAUCUGCACAUGGUACAAAUGGGUGAGUCAUCUAAUACUUAAUGAGAGGUGCCAAUAAAUAACAUAGACACACACACACACACACACACAUAUAUACACAUACACAUAUAACGUACUCAAAUCUAACAAGGUGCUCUAACAAACAUCUCCAAUAUUAAAGGCAUAACAGUCAUUGCUGUUCAAUUUUUUACCCAAACAAGUAUACGUAUCACAAAGAUAAUAUAGUAAUGAGUAAAGUGUUGAUCCCAUAAAGAAUUGAAUUAAUUCUUACUGUUAACUACUAAAAUUAACACAACCUAAUUUUAUCUAAAUAAUUAAAAUUAAAAUUAAAACUAAUAACUAAAACUAAUCUAAAAUAUAUCAACAAAUUAUUUUAUUAACUUUUAGUAAUAAAAUUAUUUUAUUUUAUAAACUAAUCUAAAAUACAUCAUCACUAAAUUAAAGUUAAUCAUCAAAACGAAAACCAAGAAAUAAAAUAACAACAAAAAGAUAAAAGGAACCCAAGAGUUGAAUUAUUGAUCUCCAAAUCUUCUUGAAUUCUUCAAUUUCUUCUUUAGCUCAAAUGAGAUUUUUCUUUAAUGAUUUUGUAGCUUGACUUUUAGCUUUCAAUCUGGUGUUUCAUUCUUCCCUUUAAAAGUCCUUCGAAAUGUUGUUUUUAUAGUGCUUUAAAGUUAAUCCAAGUUGGGUGAAGAAAAAAUUCCAUUUGAACUAGAAUUUCCUCAUUAGACUAUGUGGUCUACGGCCUACUUCCUCCAAAGCUAUGGCCUUGACCAUUUAAAUAGCAAAAAUCGUAAUUGUUUUAGGACUGCUAUAGUGCUCCAAAUUCGACAAGAUUUUUGAUCACCUUCCAUGCCAAAAUGGGCAAAGUGGUAAACAUGAAAGUUAUCGAUUUUUCUCUUAUCUUUCCAAUGGUCCAAGAAUCACUUCAUUUGAAGCUUUGUAGAGAGAGUUAUGGCCGAAAUACUGAAACAUAUGCAGUGGAGGUUUGCACUUUGAAAUUGCUCUUCUUUUUCCACUAAAAUUCUUCUUUUAUCAAACACCUACAAAAGGACAAAUAAAUCAAUAACAACCUAUCUUAAUCACAUUAACACCAAAUUAAGUAUAAAGUUAACUAAGAUUAGAUUGACUCACCUAAAUUAACUAAUUUAAAAUAAUUAAAUAAAAUCUAUUAAUUUCUAUGUAUUACUACAAGAACUAAGCUAAAUUACAAUCAAAAUUAAGCCCAAAGAACUCUAUAUCAUAGAGUUAUCACACUCCCAAACUUAAUAUUUUGCUAUUCCUCAAGCAAAAUAUAGAAAAGAAACUAACUUACGAAAAUCAAAUUCAGUUAAUGAAAACUAAAAUAAAUAUAGUUACUAUUACUACUACUAUUACUAGUAGAGAUAAAGUGCACCAACUCAAUGAUUCUUUAUAAUUUUCUUAAAAGUAUGUCUAUUGAUUAUUAACCCAAGGAAAAAUAUAGGCAUCAUUUAAAUUCAUGUUUCAAUUCUAAUGCAAGUACAUUCUUGAAUGGAUUUCCAUUUGUGUGUGAAAUCUUUUACCAAUAAUAUCAUGAUAUCCGAAUAAGUUUAUACCAACACAAAUUUCAUAUUAGUACUAAAUUCCAUAUGUUUACUUUUCAUCUCUCUCUUCACUAAUGUAGACCAAUACAUAGCUAGGGAUCAAUAGGACUUAAUAAUGCUUGUAAUGUAUGGCUAAGGUCAAAGUAGGAUAAAGGAUAUUAAUGUGGCUCAAAUUACCCUAAAUGCAUAGUUAUUCUAGGACCUAUAUAUAGAGCUCUAUUUUCCUUCUCCUAGUACACCUUUUCUUCUACGUUUGAACUUUUCCUUUUUUUUUCACAUAUUUUUUUCAUAAUUCCACAUCCCCCAAACUUAUUUUCUUUGUAUUAGAGGUAGUGAGGUUAUUUUUCAUAUUUUGAACUUAAUUAUUAUUAUUAUUAUUUUCACAUCAACAUCACCUUUCCACCUUUUUUAACAUUUAGCUCAAUCUAUAUUUCUUAAAACAGUAUACAUGCUUAGGAGUGAAGGUUGUAAAAUUGAAAAAUUAAUUUUAAGGCUAAGCUCGAUUAUUAUGUAGUUAAACAAAGAAAAGAAAAAUUAGACUCAAAAGGGGUAUACUAGGGAUACAAAUUUAACAAGGUAGGUUUUUUAGGCUCAGACGGUCUAAAGAUGGCCUAAAUCAUCUCCCUAACUAAGUAUUGCCUAGGAUUUCGUAUCGAGAGAAAAUCAAGCAAAUUCUAGAAUUCUUGACAUAAUCUACAAUUUACAUCAAUAUAAACCUUCUCUAGAUAUUCAUAAUAAUUCAAAGUAAAAGGCAAAGUGCUCAAAAUUGUGGAAAACACAUCCUAACAAUUAUGCUGAAUAAAAGAAUUUAACAUGAAUCCCAACAAAAACCUUAUUAACCAGAAGUAAGAAUUCAAGAUAACUAAUUAUCAUCAUUGGAUAGAGACAUCAUCGAAAAAUUAGCACAACUUUACUCUAGAUCCCUAAAAUUCAAAUAAGUAACAAAUUCAUUUACCAACUAAUCCUAAAUUAUUUAUAAAACUAGAUAUGCAUGGAAAUAAAAUUAAAUCUAAAACUUUCAUAGAAUAUUCAUCACCUGAAAAAUAAACUUACCCCCCCAAACUUAAACUAAACAUUGUCCUCAAUGUUAAAAAAAAAUAAAGGAAAGGUAAAGAACACUCCCCUGAUGGUUUGAUGAAUCUAGAGAAGCUUUAAUCCUCCUCCUCGUCACCAUCAUCCUUUGCAUCAUUGUCCUUAUUGUCCGUUACCUCAUUGGCACCCUAGGAGGAUUAGGUGCUAGUGGAAGAGUAGACAUGUACAUUACCAAAAAAGCACCAUAAGCUUGAAACAUGUGGUCCAUAUGUUGUUGGAUCCUAGGUGGUGCUUAAGGAGGGGUGAAUAGUACUUUCUAAAUGUCACUAAACUUAACUUCUAAUUAAAAGCUUAUUAAAGGUAGAUGAUGAGAAGUUGAGAACAAGAUGGAAGGAUGAUUUAAAGAAGAGUGAAAUGAAGAAAUAAAAAGGGUAGACAAUGCAUAAAGAUUUAUAGUGGUUCGGUCUCUUUGACCCACAUCCACCACCUUAAUCUUCCAAUUAAAGAUUUUCAAAUCAAUUCACUAGAAUCAGUGAAUUUCCCAAGCAUCCAUCAAGCUUUUAUAAUGGCUUUUCACAGGCUCAACUAUAACCUUUCAACAAUGGUUUUUCAUGGGAUCAACUAAAAACCAAAAUCUAACUUUUUUAACGUUGAGUUAGAACCUACAAUAACAACUAAGCUAACCUAAGCUUAAUUAAUCCCCUUAGAGUGCCUCGCACACUCUAAGUAAUCAAAGAAUACAGAUAUAAAGAUGUACCUAUCAUCACUAACCUAAUUGAAUGGUACAAGAUGAUGUGCUAAACUUUAUUACAGAGAUUGAAGUGAAACACAAGAAGAAUUGAGAGGAUUUUUGCUAUUUUUGGUCUCUUUUUGUUCUUAGAAGCAUCUCCUUAUCUUUUUAGCCAUUGGAAAAGCCUUUUAUACUUGAAAAAUCAACUUUGAUGGAUGUUGACAACUUCAGACUAUUGGAUCUAGUUUAAAAUCUUUUCUAGCCGUUAGUUUGUCUUCAGACAUUCAAAUUCAAAUUCAUUGACAAUAAGUUAUUAGCUAGCUAACCAUAUUUCUUAGUCGAUUAAGUCUACUCUGUCUUGUAAUCUGCUUUACUUUAUUAAUCGAUUAAGUAAAACUUUAACUGAUUAAGAGCUUAUUGUCUUUGGAGCAGCCACCUUCACUUUUUGAUUUAGCUAACUCCUUUGGUUAUUUGACUAAGAGGUUUUUGUUUGUAGCUCAUUUGUAACUCCUUAUUCUGAUGAGUUUUGAUGUUCGCUUUCAAGUAAUUAAUUUAGCAUUGACAUACAUUUUUAUCCUGCACACUCAAGUAGUAUAGUUAAACAUUAAUGAAUGAGAAUGUUUUGUUAUCAUCAAAAACUUAUGAAGCUAACGAUCUCCCCUUUUUUAGAUGAUGACAAAACAUCCUUUGAUUAAUAGAACAGUGUUUAUUCCUUCCUUUUAUACUGCACAUGAUGAGGAAUUGGUCCCCCUAAGUGUGUGCUCUCCCUUAAUUUAUGCAUGAUAUUUUUAAGUUAUUUUGUUUUCCAACUCAGCAGGCCAACUAAUUUCUAUCUAUUUCUCAAUGCAGAUAGCAAACAUUAAUUCAGUGCUUAUGAGGCAUUUAACAAAACAUAUUCAUGAGUUAACAUACAAACUUGCAUAGCUGUUAAUAAUAAGUGACAAGAUAUCAUCAACAUUGUGACAAAAUAUCAUCAACAUAUCAUCAUCAAUAGACCAUAUCCAUUCUAAACCCAAAUGUCAUCAACCAGCCAACUAAAAUAACAAAAUAGCAUAACGAAAAGUUAUCAACAUUUAAGCACUAACUAUCAGCAAUUAAUAAAAUAAUAGAAUGUCAUCAACAAUUAAGCAUCAUCAAAGUCAGGUUUUUAAAUCAUUGUAUUAUUACUUCUAUUUUCUCCUUUUUUUUGUCAUCAACAAAACAAGGGUGUCCUUAUGCAUGGGCUGAUUCAAGAGGAGUUAGAAGGGAUUGAUUCAUUAGUGCCGAAGUGAACAUUAAUGGGUUUGGAAGAUGAUAAAGGUGAUGAUUUUCAAGGUGAGGAAUCAGAGGAAGGAGUGUUCAAGACUUAAAGAGAGUUCUAGUUAGAAGAUUUAAUUGAGGAUCUAGCUUUGUCAAUCAACUUGGAAGACAUUCUUCUUUUGAGGAACUUAGCUUUCGUUACCAUUGUCUUUUUCCUUUUCCAAUAGGUUUGACUGAAGCCUAUGCAGAUGUAGUUGCUUUCCCUUCCUCUUUGUCAAUAGGUUUACUUCUGCCUAUAGUGUGAAUUGAGUCAGGUGAAGUCCUUACAGGUGUGGGUGUUUAUGUUUUGUGUUUUGCUUUUUGCUGCUUCUUUUUCAACUUUUUCUUCUCUUACUAUUUGAUGAAACACAUCCAUAAUUAAGAUUUCCUUAGAAUUUGUCGGAGAUUGCUUAGUUUUCUUUGCUUCAUCAUGUUGUUGAAGAUUAAAAUUUUCGAUGAUGUCAUCAAGAGAACCAAUUACUUCAUUCUUGUUGUUCUUCAAGUUCAAGAGUAGGCUGUUUCUUUAAUAUGGCAGGUUCAAUUUCACCACCUUUAGUAUGAGGUGUAGGAUUCUCAGUAGUUUGACUUUCUAGUAUAGGACUUUGGGCUGUUAAAAUGCCUUCAGAUGUAAACUAGAUGAUGUUCUUCCUUUUUCUUCCAUAAUAGUGGCCAGGCUUUGUAGUUGAUCUUCAACUUUUAGAAUCCUAUCAGACUGAUCAUUUAGCUUGCCAUCUGUUUUCAUUAAUAAAUUUAAAAUCAUUUCAUUGGAAAUUUGAGAGGAGGUUGUCUUUGUCUGAACAGGGGGAGGAUUCUCAUUUCUUGGGGUGUCUUUAGGAGUUUUAAUAAAAUUUUCUCCUUCAAGUUUAUAUCCCAUUUUUGGUAGACUUCCCAAAUAAAUGGCUUGGUCUCUACUUUUGACCUGAUCCAUUUGAUAUCUUGUACUCCAAAUUUCCUUCUUCCUUACCAAGGAGCUAAUGAGGUUCCCAUAAGCUAGCUUGAUUUUAUCUACAUGAUAACUCUAUGAUAUAGAGUUAUUUGAGCUUAAUUAUGAUAGUAAUUUAGAUUAGUUUUUGUGGUAAUGCAUAGAAAUUAGUAUGUUUUAUUUAAAUUAUUUUAAAUUUGUUAAUUUAGGUGAGUCAAUCUAAUCUUAGUUAAUUUUAUAUUUAAUUUGGUGUUAAUGUGAUUAAGGUAGGUUGUUAUUGAUUUAGUUGUACUUUUGUAGGUGUUUAAUGAAGGAAGAGUCUUAAUGGAAGAAGGAAAGCAAUUUCAAGGUGCAAACUUUCACUACAUAUGUUUCGGUAAUUUGAUUAUAAAUCUUUUUACAGAACUUCAAAUGAGAUGAUUCUUAAACCAUUGGAAAGCUAAGAGAAGCAUCUACAACUUUCAUGUUUACCAUUUUGCUCAGUUCGUCCUAGAAGAUGGUCAAAAAUCUUAUUGAAGUUAAAGUACUGCAACAAUCCUAGAGCAAUUACGAUUUCUGCUAAUUAAUUGGUUAAGAUUGCGGCUCACUUAGUCUGAUGAGGAAAUCCUAAUUUGAAUUGACUUCUUUCUUUAUCCAACUUGGCCCAACUUCAAAGCAUUAUAAAAACAACUUUUUGGGAGACUUUUGGGGAAGAACAAAAAAUCAGAUUAACAGUUUAGAGUCAAGCCAUAAAGUCAUUGAAAGCUGAGAAGAAUUUAGAGGAUUCAAGAAAAAGAUUUGGAAGAUCAAGAUUAUAAUUCUUGAGUUUUAUCUUUUUGUUAUUCUUUUAUUUUUCUAAGUUUGAUAUUAUUGUUUAAAUUUAGUUUGAUGAUGAUGUGUGAUUUGAUGGGGAAUUAAAUUAUUUAUCUAAGAUUAUGAUUAAACUCAUUAUGUAGUAUGAUAUAUUUAUAUCUCUUUUGCUUAUGUUUGAUGGAUUUAAGUUGUUUAUUUUAUUCUAUUCUUAAUGCUUCUAAUUGCCUGAUCAUCAAUUAGAUUAAAUUAGAAACCAAGGUUAAACCUUAACGAAGGAGAUUUAGGUAGACCUUGAAUAGAAUAGCUUAUGAUCGAAUACACUUAGUUAAUUAGGUAACUUGAUUUGUAUAUAGGGUAGACAUACACCUAUAAGCCAUGGGCAGCCAAGAUUAGAGCAUGAACAUACACCUAUAAGACAUACUCCUAAACCCUUGAGAAGUGAGAAACGUUGAAAGCCUUUUCUAGCUAGCACUAUGCUUAGUAGUAAAACUAAACCCCAAAUCACCAUUAGUGCUAUUCUACUUGAAGUCUGUGUGGAUCACCAUUAAAGGCUAAACUAUUGAACAACUUGAGGUUUGCAACAACUCAUGCUUUGUAGGGAGAAGAUCAUGACAUCGUAGAUGUACAAGGCACUUGAUUUUGACGUCAAAGCCUUUAAGAUAUAAAUCUUCUACCAAUUAGUUAGAAUUUAUCUAUAUUAAACAAUCACAGUUGAUCUUACUUAAAGGAAAAGUUUUAGAUUUUUGUUAUGCAUGUAUACUGAUUUGCAUGGCUUUUAUUCCCAACAAUACUAUCAAAGUCUCCUUUGUUUUGAUUAAUAGAGAUUAAUGUUUAAUUGUUAUUGAUUUCCAAAGAGUUGGAUUGUAUGUUGAUUUGGUGAUAAAAUGAUGUAAAAAUAAAAUUUUCAUAACAUUUUUUUUUUUGAAAUCAGGAUAGCAAGUUCUCCUCUUCUAUUUGAAUGUUUUUCUUUUAUGUUAGCCCAUAAGUUUUAUGUAUAUAAUGCACGAUUAUGUUAGUAGUAUAUUAAAGUGUGUAUGGAUUAAAUUUGGUUGAUUUUCUAUGUUGUUUAUAUGCUUAAAGAAUUUAGAAUACAUUCUAGAAAUUGUUUAGUAUAUUCUAUAAUUUUUUCGGAAGUCUUAGGUGUUGAUUUAAUUCAAACUAUUUUCCAUUUUGUUUGCCUGCAUAUUUAUAAAUAUGAUGCAUGACUAUGUGGGAAAGACAUGGAAAAAAUUUGAGAAUUUUUGGAGUUGAUAUAGGUUCCUUAAAGUUAAGUCGAAAUUGAGGCACAAACUACAAAAAAUCCAUUUUUGCACUUUCUUGAAAUUUAGGUUACAACCUUAUUGUGUAAUUGUUACAUGAUAGUGAACUAUGUGCCUAUUUGACACAAAAAGAAAAACAAAUAGAAAGUAAUUUUUUGGCUAACUUUGUUCAUAUUUUGGUUUUAACACAUAUCCACCUAAAAGAAAAAUAUUCCAUUACCCUAGUCUUCAUCGUUGUUGAUUUUUAAUUUAGUCAAAAUACCUCAACAGUCCUUGUACUCUUACACUUUCUUCAAUUCAGUCCCUCUACUCAAAAUUGCAACAAUUUAGUCUCUUAAUUUUGAGAAUUGUUCCAAUUUAGUCCCUACAACAUUUUUCUUUCAAAAUAACCCUUCACAAAGUUGAUGUGGCGCUAAUAUAACACUACUUGCUAACAUGGCAUGUGAGGUGGGCUAGAAAUGCUGAUGUGGUAGUGUCACAUCACUUUGAUAUGCUAUUGUUGUGGUGCCACUUGGCACGUCAAGGAAAGCACCACGUGUUAGACUCUUGUUUAGCACCCAUCUAUGUCAUGCCAUAGGGCAUGUCUAGAAGGUGACACAUGGCAAGACAAGAAAGUGACACGAGGCGUGUUAGGAGGGCUCCUUGUGUCUUUUCCUUAUUUCUCUAAAAAUAUUUUGUGUUCGUUAACUUUCAAAGACCAAAUCUCAUGCAAGCACAACAAGCUAAUGUGAAGUUUUUGAGAGACGUCCUAACCAAGAAAAGGAAAUUGGAAGGCUUUGAAAUAGUUGCACUUACUUAAGAGUGCAGAAUGUAGUGUUAUAAUCGCACUUACUUAAAAGUGCAGUGUUAUAAUCUAGAAUAAGCUUCCACAAAAGCUUAAGGAUCUAGGGAGUUUUUCUAUCCUUUGUACUACUGGCAGUUUUAAGGUUUCUAGAUCUUUGUGUGAUUUAGGUGCUAGUGUUUUAAUAAUGCCUUUGUCCAUUAUCAAGAAACUUAGACUUAAUGACAUACAACUUAUUAUAAAAUCUUUGUAGCUAGCAAACAAAAUAAUCAAGUACCCUGUUGGGAUUAUAGAGGAUGUGUUCGUUAAAGUUGGGCAUCUCUAUAUUCUGGUGGACUUCAUUGUGCUUGAGAUGGAAGAGGAUGUGGAAAUUCCUUAAUUCUUAGGAUGACGAUUCUUGGCUACUAUAGGCAUAAUCAUUGAUGUGAAGGAAGGCAAGAUAACUUUUAAAGUUGGAGAGGAACUAGUGAGUUUAAUAUUUUCAAUACAAUUAAGCAUCUUGCCUCUACAAAUAGUUGUUAUAGAGUGGAUUUAGUUAAUAAGGGCAAAGGUAAGCCUAUUUCUCCCUCUACAAGUAAGCAAACACCAACCUUUAAGUUAAAGCUACCACCUCCAUAUAUCAAGACCAAGAAGUCACAUGAGAAGCAUCUUCCACCACUUUCGAAUUGUCUUGAUUUAGAGGUUGGACAACAAGUGUUACUCUUUAAUUCACGCUUCAAGCUUUUUCCAUAGAAACUUAAGGCAAGAUAGUUGGGUCUUUUCAAUAUGGUAAAGACUUAUCCUUGUAGUAUAAUAAAGGUUGAUAAUAAGGAUACUAGCACAUUCAUCGUUAAUGGACUAAGUCUUAAGCCUUAUUCUAUAGAUGAAAAAGUGUAAAAAGGGGUGCCAUAAUUAAGCUAGUGACUAUAAAGAAGCACUUCUUAGGAGGCAAUCAAGUUUUUGAAACUCUUACUUUUUUCAUUGGAAGUCAUUUUUUUCAGAUUUUCCCAUUAAUUUGUUUUUGUUCUUUUUUUUUUUUUACUUUUCUUCUUUACUUUUUAAGAUUGGGGACAAUGUUAACUUUAAGUUUGGAGAGGGAACUUUUUAGUUUUUAAGCUUUGUUUUCCUUUUUUAGCAUUUAUGUUUUUAAACAUUAAGUUAGUUAAGUUGGUUAUCAUUUAAUUUUCUGCAUAUUUGAAGUACUUGAGCUAGAAUUAGUUGUGCUAAUUUCUUUGAUUUAUCUAUCCAAUGGUGAGAACUUAGUUAUAUUCUUAUCUUGAUUCUUUGCAAAUUUGAAUAUUGUUUACGUAUUAGGUUAAAUUCUUAUGUUAAGCUUCAUUGUUAGGAUGAGAUUUUCACAAUCUAAGCACCAUAUCUUUUGCUUGAAAUCAUUGUGCACAUUUAGAGAAGAUUUAUGUGAAUGUAAAUUUUUGAAUUAUGUAUUGAGUUCUAGAAUUUGUUUGAUUCUCUCUUAAGGCGAUAUCUUAGGCUAUACAUAGUUAAGGAAAUUAUUUAGCCAUCUUUGAACCGUUUGAGCCUUUCGAGCCAUCUUGAUAUAUAUUUAUCCGUAGUAUACCCUUUGGAGCUUAAUUUUUCUUUUCUUUGUCAAACACAUAAUUAAUUUAGCCUAGCCUUUAAAUAAAGUUCUAAUUUUGCACCCUUCACUUCUAAGUAUAUAUAUCAUUUUAGGAUGUGUGUUGAGCUAAAAGUUGAAAAAAGUAGAAAUGAUGGAGUUGUUGAAAAUGUUCAAGAAAUGUGUUCGUUUUCACCCCACCGUCUACAAAAAGAAAUAAGUUUGGAAGUGUUAAAAUUGUGAUGAAACAAAAAACCAAAAAGAUAAGGUGUUUGAUAAAUAAAAAAAAAGUUGGAAGAAAAUAAAAAGAGUGUACUUAGUGAAGGAAAAUAAAGCUCUAAAUAGGUCCUAGAAUGUUUAUGUGCUUAGGGUGAUUUGAGCCAUAUAUUAUUUGUUAGGAUGAGCCUUGUAACCAAUUGGGAUUGGUUAAGGCUUGAUUCCAAUCAUGCAACAAUAUCAUUCAUGUUGAAUGAUUAGAGGUUUUCCUUCAUCAAUAAAACGUUAAUUAUAAUGGCCUAUAAGUCUAAUUGGAUGAAGUCCAUGAGAUUAAUAUGCCUUCGAAAGGAACUGUAAUAGGUUGCAGUUAUGAGAUCCCUAUACAUCUAAAGCAUAAUCUCCUAGUCAAUGUAUCAUUGCAAUUGGACAUCAAUAAUGACUAGAGACUGAUAUAUUCUAUGUUUCUUACUUAAAAAGUAAGCAACCGAUCUCAUAGGUUGAAGAAUAGAGAUACUUGGAACUAGAAUGUAGAUGCUUGCCUAGGAGAGCAAAUUCACUAAACAUGACUCACCAUGAGAAGUGCAUUAGGUAUUUCACUCAAGUGUCUAUGAAAUACUUCUUAUGUGAUAGUUGUGUAAAUACUCUUUAGACUUAAGACACCGGGUUAUCUUAUGUGUGGAGUGCUAUGCUUUGAUUUCAUCCCUACGGGUGCCGAACCAAAGAUGCCAAAAUAGAAGGCUUUUGGGUAUAGCAUGAAACAUGUGAAGGCAAACAAGUGGUCAAGAAAGGAAUCAUCAUCCUAAGUGAUUUAAGGGAAAUAUCCUAACAGUUCUUGGUUGAUAUUAGCUUGUUGAAGUCCUUGGCCAAGGCGUUAUGAAAAAUAGUUUCAUAAGUCUCUACAAAACUAAUGAUCUAACUUCAAGAACGAAUAUGGAGAUCAAUAAGAGUAGACAUUGUACCAUAUUCUUAUCAUUUUUGGGACAUAUGAUAAAGGAAUGAAUUACACUGAUAGAUUGUACAUUGAAAAGUUGUCAAAACACUAUUUGACUCUUUUAACAAUUAAAUGGCUAUGAUGUAUUGCUAGAUGCCAAUCUAGGUCUAUGGAAUUGAAUUAAUUAAUUUAAAAAAAUUAUAAUUCAAUUCCAUUGCCAACAUGUUAGUAACUUAAUGGGUUACAUACAAUAAGUUGCAUUAUGAAUUAAAUUAGGAAUGUAAUGAUUUAAGUUGGACUUAAAUCAAACACUAGGUUUUUAACUUCUAAAAACUUAAUUAAAAUAGUUUAAUUAAGUAUAAGGCCAAUAUUAUAAUUAGUUAUAGUAUUAAAGCCUUAAUUGUAAACAAAUAAAGUAAAUUUAAUUUAAUUUAUAAUGACUUAAUUAAAAAGGUUUAAUUAAGUGUUGGGCCAAUAUUAUAAAGGGUCAUUAUAUUAAGGCCUUAUUUAUAAUUUAAGAAGUUAAUUAACCUAGAUAUAAAUAUCACUUUUCAACUACUCCUUAUAACACAUGUGAAACAUACAAGUUAGGUUUUUGAGUUGUCAGAAAACUAACAAAAAAGCCUAGUCGCACACUUUUUUAAGUGACUUAAAAAUAGUUUUCCAACUUUGUGAUUCGGCUAGGAGGAGUGUGAUUAUAUGGAGAGGACAACAAGUUGUUGUCCACCUUGCUAGCACUAAGGCAUAGUUGAGAAGCUCCUUGCUUGUGAAGGUUCAAGUGCAACCGUGUGUGCAACUGUUAAAGGCCAAACGCUUGGGUGGCUUGGGUUCUUCUUCUUUUUGUGGUGUUCAUGGGUUGGACUAGGAAGAAGUAACAUCAUGAUAGCCACAUCACUUGGUAAAGGUAAUGUUAUUUUUUUUUUGAAUACUUUUCUUCUAGUUUUGUUUAUAUUAAAACCACCGUGGUGAUCCAUGGGUGGCGACAUGGCAUGGUACGUUUAAAUUUUAUUUUCCAUUGCAUACGAUAAUUGUUAUCUCUGAGUUUCAUGUCAUUCCAGCAUUAUCCCAUAUCCUACCUUGACCCUAGCCAUACAUUACAAGCUUUUUUUAUAAAGACCUAUUGAUCCUUAAUUUGGUAUUAGUCUAUAUUAGUGAAGAGAGAGAUGUAAAGCAAACUUAUGGAACUUUAGUACUAAUUUGAAUUUUGCAUGCUAUAAACUUAUUUGAUUGUAUGAUGUUCUUGGUGAAAGGAUUGCACACACACAUGAAAAUUCAUUCGAGAUGAGCUUGCAUUUAAAUUGAAACAUGAUCUUGAAUAAUAUUUAUGUGUUGCUUAGAAUUGAGAAUAUGGAAUAACUUAUGAGGAUAUUAAAGGUGAUUUUUGAGUUGGUGGAAUCUAUUUCUAGUUAAGUUGUUUUCUUCAUUUAUGUUAUUUCAUUUUAUCUUACGUUUUGCUCGAUGACUAGCAAAAUAUAAGUUUAGGGGUAUUGAUAACUCUAUUAUAUAGCUAUUUUCAGAGCUUCAGUAGCUAAGUUUUUGAGAUUUUAGGUUCGAAAUUAAAUAUUUUAAUUGUUUUUCUUAGUCAAGUUCAAUGCAUGUUGAGUAGUUUAAUUUAAGUUAUUUUAGUUUAAUUUUAUGUUAAAUUGCUUUAAAUUACUUUAAAUUUAGUUAUGGCUAAUCUCUUUUAUUGCUUUUAUAAGAAAUCUUAUUAAAAGACCUUAUAUGGUGAUAAUUUGUCCAAGUAUGGCGAUAGCUUGAUUUGUACAUACUGCAAUAUUUUUGACCAUAAAGUUUUCUAUAGAAGUUAAAUUGAUGUGAUUCAUAUGCCAUUGAAAAGCUAAGAGAUAGGGCUAGAACUUUCAUGUUUACCACUUUUCCCAUUUCUAAUUAGAUCGAGAUGAAAAGCACAUUGGAAGAGGCUGAACUGUUGUAGUUUCUACACAAGGCAGCAUAAGGAAAUGGAGGUUGCGACCUUGAAUGGGCCAAGGCUGCAGCUCCAAGAUGAAGCAAGAUCCCAUACAUGGACCAAAGAGCAUAGCGCUAUGGUGCCCUAGUAAGUUUAAGCACCCAUAGUUCACUUGAGAAUAGGGCACCGCAAUGCUUGGACGUGCUUCCAAAAAUAUGUUUUUAUGGAAUUUUUUAAAUUAGGGUUUUUUAGGAGUAUUUAAAGGGCUUUUUUCAGAGCUUUCAAAAGGGGGAUAGAGAGCAAUUAUUCUAGAGAAACAAAGGCUAAAAAAAAAAGAAGCAAAAAAGCAAGAGAAUUCAAAGAAGAUUAGAGAUUCAAAAAGCUUCAUUUAUUAGUUUUUCUCUAAUUUUGUUUUUCUCCUACUUCUUUUGACUUGGAUUUAUGGUUAAUUUUCUUUGGAUGAUGAUUUAGUUGAUAUUAUGAACUAAUUUACUUUUUCUAGGAUUAUAAUUGAACUCAACAUGUUAUUUGGAUACUUUAUCUCUCUUGCUUAUAUUCUAUGAAAUAUGAGUUGUUUAUUCCAAUUCGAUGUUUAAGCUUUUAACUACUUGAUCACUAAUUAUACUGAUUUAGAUAUCUAAAUAUAACUUGAUGAAGGAAGUUUAGAUUAAACCAUGAAUGGAAUGGCAUAUGUUUGUAAUCACUUAGUUGAUUAUGUGAUUUGAUUUGCAUAUAGGAUAGACAUAUACCUAUGUGUCACAUGUAGCCAAGAUUAAAGCACAAACUUAAUGAAUCUAUCUUCAGUUGAAUUUGCAUGGAAUCCACAAUUAAGGCUAUCAUGCCUUUGAUAUCACAUAUAUAUGCCAUUCACAUCAAAGAUCAUACUUAAUGAGCUUCAGAUACUAAUUAACUCAAUAUCGUUUUAUGUGUCUUUAAUCCUCCAAGACAUCAAAUACUUAUAUCCUUCGAGAGGUUAAUUGUCUUGAGUAAACUACUCCUAGACAUUGAUCACAUUCACUAGACCUUUAGUAUAGGCUCUAACAUACGCCACAUUGUGGUUCACACUAAGGCACACAUACACAUUGCAUAUAACAUAUGUGUGUGUGUGUGUGUGUGCGUGUGUGCGUUUAUAUAUAUANUGUGUGUGUGUGUGUGUGUGUGUGUGUGUGUUAUAUAUAUAUAUAUAUAUAUAUAUAUAUAUAUAUAAUUUACUAGCCUAGGCAUAUUCAUCUAGGCAUAUACAUAUCAUUCAAGUACCAUGGCAGUGCAUUAAACAAUGCAUCAUGCAUUACAUGAAUUUUUACUCAACAAAUGAACCCACUCAUAGUGACAGUCGAAGGCAAUUUCAACAACCCAACUCCACUUAUAAACUCCAACAAUUUCCUAGCUUACUAAUGCAUCAAUAGCUUCAAUUUUCCCUUGAACAAAUCAAUGAAUCAAUUAUUUCCCAGUUUUCAAAAUUUUCCAACUUUUUCUGUCAUGACCAAUUCUCGGGCCAUGACAGGCGCAUGGGCCCAAUGGACAUAGCCCACUAAGCCCAAGCAAACCUAUCUAUGUGACUCCAUUCAUCGAUUUCAUCAUUCGUUCUUACCACUAUAUUUCGAAGUUCUUACUAAUGAGUAUGUCAAAACUUUUCUAUCGAAACCAUAUAUUCACAUUUAUAUGAUACAAAAUAAUAUCAUCCGUGCCAUUACAUAGUGGCCACAUUAAACAAUAUAAACAUCUAUUGCUUAAGACAUAUACACGUCUUAACAAUUUACAUCAAGGCACGUGUGUGCAACAAAAAGGACUCUAGACUUCCAACAGAGCAACCAUAGCGAAGGUGCAGCUACUAAAUGCCAUUGAUACCUACCAAAAUAUGGAUACAAGUCUACGUGGACACCUCGUCCUAG
rnacentral:lncRNA from 1 species